rnacentral:lncRNA from 1 species
AGACUAACAAAAUGAAGUGACAACAAGAAGUCAGUGUCCUUUGAUGGAUGCAUUUUUAGGCAGAAAUAGGUUUGUAAUUGACCAAAUUUGUCUGGCAUGCCAAUUUCAAAAAAAUUAAAUUAUGUGGUUAUUAGCUGUAAUGAAGGGGGAUUGUAGGUCCAAUCAGGUGGAUCCAUGAAAGUUCAACAAAGUUCUGGUAUGGCGUAGAAAUUGGUUUGUGGCAACUCAAGAGUCUUUCUGGUGAACGAUGAUGGGUUUGAUUUAUAAAUGUUAUAAAUCUACUGUGCAUAGUAUUCUAGUAGAAUCAUCUAUAAGUUCUAGUUAUUGAAAUUGUCUACCUUGUUCAGUUUGAGUUAAGGGCACAUGUAAUAUGAAAAAUAGUUGUUGCAUCUUUUAGGUUACCUAACAUUUGAUCAAUCCUAUUAUGAGGGCUUCAAGAUGUCUAACAAUAUGUGGAAUGCCCAUGCUCCUCCCCAUUGUUUAUCUUAUAUAAUAAUUUGUUUUAGAUGCUAAUAUCUUUGUCGAUACGGUAACAAUAUUACAAUAUCUGCGUUUAUUGGGUUUUACAUAGGUUCGACUGUUUGACAGUACACACUCUCUGAAGGCAUUUGGAAAUGGAAUGUAUGGAUUGCUGUUGGGUGGAGUAGUGAUGUUCUUCCUGCUGUCAAACGUAUGUCUAAUGUUGCAGUUGUUGUUCCCAGUCUGGUGCUAGCUUAUGGGCUGAUCUUUGGGUAUACCCAUGCCUGCCAUUCUACUUCAAUAUUCACAUUGUUAUCUCCUUCAUAUUAGUGAUCAGUAACACGAUAAUGUGACUAAUAAGUUCGUAUUCUCUUUAUAGGCAAUCCCUGCUGCCUCAAGACUGAAACAAAACAAAUUGGAGGCGAGUCAGAGGUGCAUUUCCAUUAAUCCAUCAAUGGAUAGAAUUCUGCUUGCAAACAGCGAGAGCAUUGCCUUUCAAGCAAGAGGUUAUCCCGAGCGCAUCUCCCUCUGCCCUUGAGAGUACUCUGGUUAAGUUGCCUGAAGAACUUUUGAAGGGUAAACCAAGUCUGGAUACUAACUUAAUUGCUGAGUACCCUGACGGAAAUUCUGGCCAGAUGUGAGUUUUUGGAGCCAUUAUCUGAAGCUACAUUGUCGGAUUAUGAGUGGCUGGUUGCUAAUCUGCAAAAAUCCACUCCUGUACUGAUCAACAAGAUGCAACAUUACAUGUCAUCAUUGAUCUUUAGCUAAAGGUACAUUGAAAAGUUAAUGGCACUGCAUACCAGUCAUUAUAAUUGGGUCAGGCAAUUGGGUCAGGGCAAUUGGGUCAGGGCAAUUAGGUCAGAGCAUAACUUCAUUAGGAAAAGAGGCUUCAGCUACGUUAAAUAUUACAGGAUGUACUGAUGGCUGAAGUUGUUGACGUUGUACGAGAAACGAAAGAUGAGUGUUUGUUUUGAACAAAGUUGUUGCCAAUCUUGCAGAGUUCGAGAAGAAAGAUCACGAAGCAAAUGCCACCGAUUUCUUCAUCACUGUAGCCUCCAUAGUUGAAGUUUCCUCAUUUGAAGCUGUUUAUGCAUAUGCUUUUUCCCUUCUCAAGUACAGGAAAUUGAAGAAUUAACCAGAUGUGAUAUGCUGAAAGAGGGAAGUUUCUCCCUUGAAUGUGGCCUUGUGAUUUGUCUUGAAGGAAUAGGAUGAUCACUGGCAAGAACCCUAUCAAGGUAGAUUUUAUGAUGUUAACAUAUUAUUAAGCAUUUUGUUACAUCAGCAAUGAUGCUUUCAUAGCAUGAAAGUGUUUAAAUUUAACUGAAUGAUCUUGAUUGAUCAAUUAUGAGUUUUAAUCGAGUAAAAACUAAAUACAAUAAUCGUUAACAAAUAUUGAAAUUGGGUAAAUAUGAUCUUGAUAUUGAUGAAUUUGAAAUCACAACCCACACAGGAAAUCACCCUGCGCGUGGGAUGGAAAUGUUUACUGCAGCGAUAUUGAAUAUGUCCACUGCUGGACUAAUUCUGAUUACCUAAUUGACUCAGGAUCGGCUGGCAAUAAUAACAGUUUAUUAACAAUGCACAGUCCGAGUACUUUUCCAGGAUCAGAUACGACGUGGUCUAAUGUUGAUAAUAAUAGAUUAUCAAAUGACAAAUCGUUGUUCUACUAUUGCAAGCCCCCAGAUUUAAGAAUCUUUUUCAGAAAUUAAAUACAUUCUGAGAGAUGCUGGUCUACUAUUGCAAGCCCCCAGGUUUAAGAAUCUUUUGACGGUAAUUUAUCACCUGUAACUGUGCCGGAAGAUUCAACUAGCACUGAAAAAGAUGAUAAAUUAAUUGAUAUGGAGAGUUUUCAUAUCACUUUUAAAUCAUCUUAUGUAAUUGUGAUGUUAGGAAGCAUUAGUGAUCUAUAUGUGAAUUAUUAUUGGCGCCAUUGGUGGUUUUAUCUUGUUAAAAUAUGGAUGACUUCCAGUUACUAUUUUGUUGCAGACAAUCUUCUUCAAUUAACAUAUGGUUUAAAAUCAUUAUGUAAAUCAAUCUAUUAAUUUUCAAGAUAUUUAACUGAGUUAAAACUAAGUGCACUCAAUAAAUCUCUUUUCCUUUAAAAAACUGUUACGCUUUAAUUUUAGUGCUUAAUAUUUAUUGAACUCCGAUACAGGGAAUUUGAAAUCAAACUCGUAACUACAUAUUAUCUAAUUGCAAGUUUCUAUCCAUAGCUGCUGAUUUGUAGUGAUUAUCUAAUUGACUGAGGUGACGACAAUUUUUUUUUUUUAAAUUUUCAAUAGCACAAUGUGGAAUUCAAUAAUUAAAUUCUCCUUUUUAAUUUGUUUCCAGUUAAAUUAUUAAUUACUUAAACUCUGUUUUAAGUCUUUAAGUUUAUGUGUUUAUGCAGAAUUGGAUUCUUGAGCGUGUUGGACACGACCAACAAUGAAAUUGACAGUAAAAAAACAAUACAACGUGUGGACUCCGGUAGAUGCCAUACAAGUCUACAACUUUACAAAUAAUAAUUGAGUAAGCAACUUUGAUUCUCGGGCCCUUCAAUGAAUUUCUAGCCCCGUUGACUCCGCCAACUAAAGUUUGUAAAAUAAAAAAAUACAUAGAAUUCCACUAAAUGCAAAACGCGUGGAAUUUAAUUUUCGGCCAUGUGGACCAAAACAUAAUUUAAUGAAAAAGGAAAAAAAUGAUAAGAUUUCUAAAAUAUGUGAAAGAUGAUCCAUAUUUUACUGAAACGACUUAUUAAAUUUUUCAAAGAUUUAGAAUAUUUAGUCAUAAAUUACGUGCAUGUUAAUUUUUCCGCCAUUGACUAUCAUAUUCUAAACUUAAUAGUACAUUUCUUGUUGAAGGGUACUUAGUCUCUCUUCUCCUCUUAUAAAAAUUAUAUUGAUGGAUUUCUUGUUAUAGUUAAUAGUCUUUAAGAACGGAUAACUUUAUUGUUUUCGUGACCAAAUUAUGUCCGCCUAAGGUUGUGACUAUUAAUAAAAUUAAUAUUUAAUGUUUAUGUUAAAAGAUAUAAGAUUUUAUGCGUUCAUUAAUUGUUAUUAGCUAAAGGAUGAAUUAUUUUUUCAACCCAAUCAGUUGAUGCAUCUGCAAGAGUUUUUUCUUUUAUUGACCAUAAUUAUGUUCCGGGUACAAUAAAUUGUCUUUGGUGCUUGGAAAAUAUGACUUCUUACUUCAAGUUUGAUAUGUCUCUCACCAUAAACUUACUGGAAAUAUAUCCUCAUCUACUGUCAUUUAUCUAAUAUCAAUUGAAGAUCUCACUUUUUCAAACUAUCACUUCCAAGUCUCAUUGUCACUUGGCCAUUCUUGGAUCAUUCAAAACCAAUCAAGUGUUGAAAUAAUCAAAUAUAUGCAAAAUUAGAGUCACGAUUUUUUGGUCCCCCAAAUUCUAAUUAUAUAACUUCUAUAUAUUUCAUUGCCAGGUCACGAACUUGUUGGCACAUUUUCCAAAUUCCUCUUCCAUCAGCUCUCACACGUUAACUUAAGUGGAAAGUUUCCAAGUUGAUUGCUAGAAAGCAACGCAAAAUCAGACACACUUGAUCUGUCCCCUAAUUCUCUUUUCUACGUUGAAAAAGAAAAAAAAAUAAAAUACAUAUAUAUAUAUAUAUAUAUAUAUCUAUGUAAAAAUAAAUAAUAAACUGAGUAAAAGUACAUUUGUUUAAUUAACAUCUGAUCGGGGCAUUUUUGGUGUAAGCCACAACUAAAAUCAAACAGCCCCUUAGCAUACUUCUUCCAUUUUAUCUGCUACUUUUGUGGAUCUUAUAGGGUGGGCAUGUGGACAGAAUUUAAAAGUUUUAAUAGGCUCAAAGAAGAAGAUGUGUUAAAUCUAAAGUUGUUGCACCUUCUGAUUAAAUAAAGUUGUACAAUUUCAUCAACUUGAAAGAAUUGACAUUAAUGAACUGGUCGCCUCUCCAUGUAUGAAGCCUUCUUAAAAGUUAAUUUUUAUUUCAGAAAAAAAAAAGUUUAAGUUACAUAUAUUACAGUAAGAUUUUUUGAGACCAAUUCCCUUCUUGAAAUAAUAAUAGAAAAGUAUUAAUUUAAAAAUAAAAUGAAUAUGUAUUGAUUAUAUCCUGAUUUUCAUCGAUUAUAGUUAGAGUUUCACCAAAUCAAUUCCCUUAUUCAAAUAAUACAGAAAAAAUAGUAAUUUAAUAGUAAAAUAAACAGGUGUUGAUUAUAUAUCCUAAGUUUCAUCGAUUAUGUGAUCAAAGUGGCAUUGUUGAUUUAUUUUUUGUUCAAUGUUAAUUUUUAGGUUAUAUAAAUUUCAAGGAUUUAAAAUCUUUGGCCAUGAAUUACACGCUUGUUAAUUUUCCUGCCAUUGACUGUCAUAUUCUAGACUUAAUGAUACCUUUCUUGAUCAAGGGUAAUUACUCUCUCUUCUCCUCUUAUAAAUUCCUCUUCCAUUAACAUCACUAGGAGUAUGUUGAUCUCUCAGACGUUAACUUGAGUGGAGAGUUUCCAAAUUGAUUGUUACAAAACAACACAAAAAGUAGACACACUUGAUCUGUCUAAUAAUUCUCUUUCGGUAAAAUUAAAUAAUUUUAGGGGAAUAUUCGGCCAACCUCUAUAAUUUCAGAGUGAUCAUUAAUUAAUUAAUCGAUACAAAUAUCUAAAGUGAUUAAAUGUGACUUGAAAUUUGAUCUCUAUCGAUUGGUUUACAAAUGGACGUACUUGUGCCUUUGUGGCGAUAAUCGAACAAGUACCCAUGAUUAUUAUUUUUUCCAAAAACUUUUUUACAACAAAUUCAUCUCGUCAAAAAUUCUAUGUUGCUAACUAACAAUAAUUGAGCACUUGGCCGCAUUGACUCCACGUCUUCACCUCUUUCUAAAUUCUAAGUAAAAACAUGGAAAUGUAAUUUCCACAAAAUGCCAAAUGUGUGGAAUUUAAUUUUUUGCCUUGUGGAUCAAAAUACAAAUGAAAGAAACAGAAGAAAAAAAAGGCCCAAAGACUUCUAAAAGAUGAAGAAGUCUUUGUGCCUUUUUAUAAUGGUGAAUUUUUUAAAAGAAAAAAAAUAACAACAUUUUUAUGGUUUGUUUUGAUAAUCAUAUUUACAUAUACUCUCUAAUUUUCAAAAUGGACACAUAAAUCUUUUUUUUUUACAAAAUAUAUAUUAUUCAUAUUUUUUUUUAUUUUUUUAUUAUCAUAUUUUUAUUUAUUAUAAAUGUUUAGAGCAAAUUUUUAGGUUGAAAUAUAAUAAAAAGGUAUAAUUGUUCUCUUAUUAAACACACAUACUUUUAUUAGUUUCUAUCCAUUUGUCAUCUCAAUCUCUCUCAAUUAUUCUUUAUUGCUAGCUCAAAACGCGUUGCUGUUGCAAAUUAUAGCAAAAUGACAAAUAUGGAAAAAAAGGGAAGAAAAUUAAUGCAUGAAAGACUUGGAGAAAACAACAAAAUAAGCCAACUAUGAGUUAGUUGGGUGUAUAAAUUGUUAGAUGUGUUAUAUACAAAUAGCGUAGAGCCCUCUAGUUGGUUCCAAAGACAGAAAGAGCGUGUGUGUUUUUUCACAGUUAGAGAUAUAGUUAGAAUGGGUGGUUCAAAAUCAAAAAUGAUGAUAAUGUUUAUUAUGUUAUUAAUAAUAUUUAAAAGUGGGUGGAGUGAGGGAUGUUUGGAUCACGAGAGAUUUGCUUUUUGAGACUCAAACAUUUCUUCAAUGAUCCUCUUAAUUCUCUUUACGACUGGGUAGAUGGUGAGGGAGCUACUGAUUGUUGUCAGUGGGAAAGGGUUGAGUGCAGCAACACCACAGGCCGAGUGAUAGCACUGGACCUUUCUUAUAUAUAUUCGGGAGAGUACAGCUGGUAUCUGAAUGCUUCUUUAUUUACUCCCUUCCAACAACUUGAGUCACUUGAUUUAACUCAAAACAAAAUAGCCGGAUGUGUUGAGAAUGAAGGUACUUUGUUUAAUUUAAUUAAUUUACUUUCUCCCCCCUAAUUUAAGUUGAAUAUCAAGACUGAGCAAUUAUACGCAUAUUCAUUUAGUCGACAAUUUUGACUUUUUUUUAAAUGAUUAAUUUUGAAAUUACACCAGUAUCUAUGAUCUUUUUUAUUUUAUUUUAUUUGCAGGUAUAGAGAGGCUAUCAAGAUUGAACAACUUGAAGAUGCUUAAUUUAAGUGGAAACUCAUUCAAUAAUAGCAUUUUAUCAUCUCUAACUCAUCUUUCAUCAUUAAGAUCAUUAAAUUUAUUGUGGAAUAGAUUGGAAGGAAGUAUUGACGUUAAAGGUACAUAAUUAAAACUUCAAGCUCUUUCAUUAACUUGCUAAAAUAAGAUUCAAGGCUUUGAAUUCAAUUUUUUUAUGAUUAAUAUUAAAAAAACAGUUUUAAGCAAUUUAUAAAAACAAGUUUUAAUGUUUCUUGUAAUUUCAUCUUGUACUUUCAUAUGUCUUGAAUUUAAGAUUAAAAAAAAAACUCUAAUAGCGAACCAAACACCUCCACAACUUCUUAUUAUUUGUGGUGAGGUUUGAAACAUUCAACUCAAUUUGUACUUAUUACAGAAUUUGAUUCUUUGAGAGAUUUAGAGGAGCUAGACAUUGGCGGGAACAAGAUUGACAAAUUUGUGGUCUCAAAAGGUACUACAAAUACCAUAAAAAAAUAUGCUAACUUUUACAAAUUAGUUAGAUUCUUUGCCAUUUGGUUUAUUAUUUUACAGGUUUGAGUAAGUUGAAGUCUCUCGGUUUAAGUGGUAUCAAACUCAAUCGUAGCAUCUUAUCUUCUCUGACUGUCUUUUCUUCGUUAAGAGAAUUACAUCUACGUGAUACGGGAUUCAAAGGAACAUUCGAUGUUCGAGGUAAGCCUAAGUCUUGCUUUCUCAUUUUAUAUAUGCCAACUAGAUUUGUGUAUCAUCGACAUAAUUUAAUAUUUAAUUUGAUAAGUUUGAAUGAAUUACAUGCUAAUUUAAACACACUUUUAUUUACUUUGUCAAUUAAUUAAUUAAUUAAUUAAUACUAUUUGGCUUGGUUUGGACGAAAUUCUCAUGAUGUUUUAAUUUCUUUAAAUUAAUUAAUUAAUUAACUCUGUUUUUAAGUCUUAAGUCUGGGCGUGUUUGCAGAAUUUGAUUCCUUUAACGACUUAGAAGUGUUGGAUAUGAGAUACAAUGAAAUCGACAAUCUUGUGGUUCCUCAAGGUAAACAAUUAAAAGGUACAGAUGUGGCCAAAUUUAUAAAUAAAUUGUUAAUUAAUUAAUUUUUUCGUAUUAUUAAUAAAGCUAAAUUCGUUGCUCCUUCCUUCUAAUUCUAAACAGAGUUGCACAAUUUCACCAACUUGGAAUAUUUGACAUUGGAAUCUUCCUCUCUCCAUAUAAGCCUUCUGCAAAGCAUUGCAUCAAUAUUCCCUUCGUUAAAAAAUCUGUCGAUGUCUUUUUGUGAAGUCAAUGGUGUCGUACGCGGUCAAGGUAAAAGAAAAGCGUUGAUUGUGAACUCACUCAAUGGUGUCCUACGUGUUCAACAUUUUUAUUUAUUUUAUUGUUUAAUGUUUCUGCUAGGUUUUCCUCAUUUCAAGAGUUUGGAACAUUUUGACAUGAGGUUCGCGCGCAUUGCGCUCAACACCAGCUUUCUUCAAAUCAUCGGUGAAUCGAUGCCCUCUCUUAAGUACUUAUUACUGUCAUAUUCUACUCUUGGCACUAACAGCAGCAGGAUUCUUCAUCAAGGUUAAUGAGAUGCUGCCACCCUCCCCUCUUAACCUAUAAUAUUAAUUUUCGAUUAAAUAUUUAAUUACACAAACCAAUCACUUAUUAUAAAAGAACAAUACGCAUUCAUUAAUUUUUAUAUUGUAUUAAUAAUUGAUGAAUUUAAUAAAUUUUCAGGCCUCUGUUCGUUGGUGCACCUGCAAGAGUUGUACAUUGAUAAUAAUGAUUUAAGAGGUAGCUUGCCUUGGUGCUUGGCAAAUAUGACAUCCCUCCGAAUAUUAGAUGUUUCUUCCAAUCAACUUACGGGAAGCAUCUCCUCAUCUCCCCUCGUUCAUUUGACAUCCAUUGAAAAGUUGGAUCUUUCAAACAAUCACUUUUGGAUCCCAAUUUCACUUGAACCACUUUUCAAUCACUCACGACUCAAGCUUUUCUAUGCUGACAACAAUGAAAUAAAAGCUGAAAUAACUGAGUCACAUUCUUUGACUGCCCCAAACUUCCAAUUAAAAUAUCUCUCAUUGUCUUCCGGUUACGAAGAUGGUGUCACAUUCCCCAAAUUCCUUUACCAUCAACAUGACCUGGAGUAUGUUGACCUCUCACAUAUAAACAUGAGCGGAGAAUUUCCAAAUUGGUUGUUGGAAAACAACACAAACUUAGAAUAUAUUUUUUUGGUUAAUGAUUCUCUUGCAGGACCUUUCCGGUUGCCAAUUCAUUCACACAAGCGGUUAAGACUGUUGGAUAUAUCCAACAACAACAUCAGAGGCCACAUUCCAGUAGAAAUUGGAGAUGUUUUACCGGGUUUAUUUUCUUUAAACAUUUUCAUGAAUGCUUUAGACGGUUGCAUUCCCUCUUCAUUUGGUAAUAUGAAAUUCCUCCAAUUUCUGGACUUAUCCAACAACCAAUUGACUGGUGAAAUCCCUAAGCACUUGGCCGUGGGUUGCGUCAACUUAGAGUCUCUUGCGUUGUCAAACAACAACUUAGAAGGUCAUAUGUUCUCCAGAAACUUCAACCUGACAAACUUGAAAUGGUUACAAUUGGAAAGCAAUCACUUCGUAGGAGAGAUCCCACAAAGUUUGUCUAAAUGCUCCUCACUAAAAGGAUUGUAUCUUAACAAUAAUAGUCUUUCGGGUAAGAUUCCACGAUGGUUGGGUAAUCUCACAUGGUUACAAUAUAUUACAAUGCCCAAUAAUCAUCUUGAAGGUCCUAUUCCAGUGGAGUUUUGUCAGCUUGAAUGGCUUCAGAUUUUGGACAUUUCAGACAACAACAUAUCUGGAAGUUUACCAUCUUGUUUCCAUCUUCUCUCUAUCAAACAAGUUCAUCUUUCAAAAAAAUAUGUUACAUGGACAGCUAAAAAGAGGUACAUUCUUUAAUUGCUCUUCCCUUGUGACAUUAGAUCUUAGUUAUAACCGCUUGAAUGGCAGCAUUCCGGAUUGGGUUGAUGGACUUUCUCGGUUAAGCCACCUUAUCUUGGCUCACAAUAAUCUUAAAGGUGAAGUGCCAGUUCAAUUGUGCAAAUUGAACCAACUACAAUUGUUAGAUCUUUCUAAUAAUAAUCUUCAUGGUCCUAUUCCUCUUUGCUUUGAUAACACCACACUUCAUGAAAGUUACAGCAAUAGUUCUAGUCCUGAUGAGCAAUUUGAAAUAUAUGUUUUCAUCGAAGGCCCUCAGGGAGGUGUAGAAAAGAAAAUCCAUGAAAUUUUUGAGUUCACAACAAAGAACAUUGCGUACAUUUACCAAGGAAAAGUGCUUAGCCUCCUAUCAGGACUUGAUCUUUCUUGCAACAAGCUAAUCGGUAAUAUUCCUCCUCAAAUUGGAAAUUUGACAAGGAUUCAAACAUUGAAUCUAUCGCACAACAACUUGACAGGAUCGAUCCCAUCAACAUUUUCAAACUUGAAGCAUGUCGAAAGUUUGGAUCUUUCCAACAACAAAUUGAAUGGGAAAAUCCCUCAUCAACUAGUGGAGUUAAAGACAUUGGAGGUUUUCAGUGUGGCAUACAAUAACUUAUCAGGCGAAAUUCUAGAAUGGAAAGCACAAUUUGCAACCUUCAACGGGAGUAGCUAUGAAGGAAAUACUUUUCUUUGUGGACUGCCAUUGCCCAUUUGCAGAUCACCAGCAACUACGCCGGAGGCUUCAAUUGGCAAUGAACGAGAUGAUAAUUUAAUUGACAUGGACAAUUUCUUUAUCACAUUUACAACAUCGUACGUAAUUGUGAUAUUCGGAAUUGUUAUUGUUUUAUAUGUAAAUUCUUAUUGGCGACGUAGAUGGUUUUACUUUGUUGAAAUGUGGAUAACUUCAUGUUAUUAUUUUAUUGUAGACAAUCUUAUUACAACAAGAUAUUGUCAUUGAAAUUAAUUAGGAGUUUAAUUACGAUUCUUUAAGUUCUAAUCAAGUUUGCUUAGGAAAUAAAUUUAUUUUUAUUUUUUAUUAAAACUGUAGUAGUAUUUAGCUCUAUAUAGCUUCCAACUUCCAAGCACUUCACAUUUGUCUCUACACUUCCAAACCCAUAUCUAUCCACCAUAACUUAUACUUCCCUAUACUGUGCAGCAUACUUAAAUAAGAGAACCAUCUCCAAUGUUAAAACCAGCCACUCUAUAACAUUCAUUUAGAAUAGUUUUAUUAUCAUACACAAGAAAUGAAACACCUAGAUGCACUUGAUCGCCUAUUUUACUUUAAAAAAUAAUGAUUAUGGUGCUAUCAUCAUCUUCUUCACUAGCAACAUUAACACCAAAUCCAGCGAUGGACCCAGACAUUUUAUCAAGAAAGGUAUAUAUAUAAUAAAGUUGAAGCUUGACAAAAAAUUCAGGAAGAUUAAUGCCUCGCCACAACAAGGGGCACAACAACAUCAAAGUAGAGAUGAAGCAAUAUUUUCAAAUCUAAAACUCUCAAAUCCACCCACCAAAAUUUCAUAUCUCCUCAACAAUUUUAAGAACUAAAGAUAAUUAGGAUCUAACAUUAGUUUUUUAUAUAUUAGUUUCAUAAUUUACAAAUCAAUGAAGAUGAAGAUUAUGCUAAUGAAUUCAAAUUAUACCAUAGAUUCUCGAGAUGUUACCAAAAAUUUCUAAGCCAAUCCCACAUAUUUCAUAAUUUUAAGACUAGAAAAUUUCAUUAGUUAGAAGUUUCAUUACCUUCAAGUGGAAGAUGAAGAACAUUAUACAAUUGAUUCAGAUUAUAUCAUACAUACUCCAAAUGCAACUAGAAAUUAACAAGUUCAUGCGCACAGAUUUCAUAACAUUAUGAUUGGAAAGUUUCACAAAGAGAAAUUCUAAAUUCAAUCUCUUGCAUCAAGGUAGUUUGAUUGAUUUGAGUUACUUUCUCAUCAAGCUACUAAUAUAACAUUCAAGUCAGGGAGAAAGUAAAUUAAAACGGGGAAGAAACAACAGUAAAAAUUUGUUGCUAAACAUGAUGUGUAUUUUUUUUUAAGGCAAUUUGGAAACACAGUUGUUACUACAGAUAUUCUCCUCAACUUAGAGAUAAAUACAAAUAUUAAAAUGCAUAUGAUCGCACAUAUUACUUGGAGCUUAGUAAGAUUUCAUUAAGAGAAGCAAUCAAACCACUUAUCAAUUGUUGCAAUCGUUCUAUAAGCUAAAAUAGCAAUAUAAUACAAGAAAAAGAACAUAUAGAUACUUGGCAAGAGUUCAUUAAGAAGUCGCAUCACAUUCGGGUGAGUUUGCUUCUGAUAUCUUGCUAGCUGGGGCUUUUUCUUGUCUUUCUACGUAUGCCGAGGGAAACCAACCAGCUUGGCCCUUGCAUUCACCUUCCGACCAUCCAGUAGGAGCCACCUUGAGAAGUUAUAACUAAAAGUCUAAAACAAUGAAUUAAACAAAAGUUGACCGUUCAAAGACCUAAGGGGAAAACUAAUUCUUUUACGUAGGAGGAGUGAAUUAGUUGUGAUCACUGAAAUAACAGCAUAACUAUGGAAGCAUAACAAGAUAUAAAUUCACACGUCUAUAAGGGUAAACUGGGUGGUUUAGAACUGAGCUAGCAACCCUACUAUAUUCUGAUUUGCACAUCAAUGUAAAAGGGAAUAUAUGGUAGGAAGAAAGAAAACCAACCAUCAGUUGUUAACUCAUUGCUUUUCAAUCAAAAUUUUAAGAACAAAAUGCCAUGUGCUUUGAACAUCAAAUAAGUAUAAGCAUUAGUUCUAAAUUCCACAUAUCAUAAGUUAGAAGGACAAGUCAAUAGCAUAGUAGAAAAAUCUAUGUGUUGUUAUUUAGAGGGGAAAGUACCUGGCGAACCACAACAUAAUCAUCAAUUGAAAGACUUAGCUCUCCAUUUGCUUGAGCAUCAAAUGGAUGUAUAACCUGCAAGAUAAUGGGAUAAAUAGAACUUAAUCUUAAAAAAAGCAUAACAAAAGCAGCAACAGUAGCAGCAGCGUUCAUUGUAACCACUAUGAUCAUGGCCAACAAAGAUAUAUUACAAACAAAAUUCCAUUUUUACUACGACAUUAAUAUGUACUAUAUGAUAUCAUGACGAUUGGGUUACCAAGAGCUAUCAAAGUCCAAUAAAUUCUGUAUAACUUUAGGUAGUUAUUCAAAUUAUGGAUCAGAUUUUAAAUCCGAAAUUUUGACUGCUCUCCACAAAACAUGGCCUAUGCACAAGAAAGUCAUAGAUAAUGAGGAUUACAAGUGUCUGACAUCUUUUGAGUGAUGGAUUUAACAUGAGAGCUUAUGGUCAGUCAAUUUCCUCUGCCUAGCAAUAUAAGCUUUCUCGGCCAGAUUUAUCAUCAAAUACAUAGAUUGGCCCCAAGUCACAUCCAAAUAAACAUAGUUUUUCUAGGUAAACCAAGUAAGGAGAAUCAUAAUUCAGACAUAAUCAUAAAAAGGCCCAUCUAACUUAAGAGAAAAUCUCAAAAAGAGGGAUGUUGAGCUAUCAGUCUUGUAUCUAUAAGCAAUAUCAAGACUUUACAUCACCUACUACAUCGUGAGUGGCUACACAACUUUCAGUGGUUUGUCUUUCUUUGGCAUGCCUAACUCAGCUUUGAUGUUGCUGAGAUAUUGAUAGUAAAGACACAUGAUACUUCUAGCCCAUGCAUUCUAUCUAGCUCAUCCGACAACUAUCUCUUUUUUAAUUCAUUAGUGUUUGCUAAACCUCAUGCUUAAAAGUCCUAUUCUCCUAAACAAAGCUUCCUAAGAAUGACUUCCUCAGCACCACAUUUGGACACUUUUAGAGCAAUUUUAUUUGGGGGAAAAGAAUUUUCAAGGUGUUAACUAAUAAAUUUUAAAAAAUAAUUACAAUUUGUCCUACAAUUAUAUGACAAUUUAUCUGGGAUGAAAGGAUACAGACAGACAUCUUCCACUUUCAAGACUAAUCACUACUUCCGUAGAUGUUUUGCAAUAAUACAAAUACUUGACCAGAUGGUAGAAAAAAAUUUUAUUGCUCCAAAAUUAAAAUAAGAAUGCAAUAUGUUAAGCAAAAGACUGUGCAACAUCAAAUUAAUUGAUAAGUUUGUAAUUCAGUAAAUUAACAACUUUCAUGGUAAAAUACAACAAAUUUCUUUUCAAAAAAAAAAAAAAAAAAUUAAAAGACGGCAUUCAAUUUUUUGGGCAUCUUAUUUCUUAAGAUUUUCCAGGAGGAGGGCACUAGAGGGACUUUCACCUAUGCAAGAGAGCAGAAGCCUUACUUUCGCUAUAAAGUAGACGUCAUUCUGAUUAAUAUGCGUUUGCAAAUCAGCUCCAUUUGAAUCAGUAUUCUGAUAGACACGUGAGGCAUUUACAUCCAUUUCCAAAGUCACAUGUUGCGAGGAGGACUCAUUUGAUUGCUCCUCUAGGAUCAUCUAAUUCAAGUAGCAAGGGUUGGAAGAGAAUAAAAAGUCACAAUUAUUCUUUUGCAUAAGUGAGACGAAAAUGAUAAAUGCAAUAUUAUCAGCAGUAAACAAGAAGAGAACACUCCAAGGAAUAGAUAGAUGCCGACAAGCAAGUUAAAAUGCACAGUUCCAAACCUCCGCAUACAACUUCUCUAAAAUAGCAAUAAUGUGUUGAUGAUAUGUUUUCUCAGCAUCUACCUGCAAAGGCCUGAGACCAGGAAAACAACAAUAAAACCACUAGCUAAAGGAGAAAGUAAAGAAAGAAAUACACUUGACAUAAAUCUUGACAAGAAGCACAAUUUAAGACAUAACAAACCCCAAUCAGAUUGUUUAGAACUACCAUUCGUUAUUUCGUUAUUGUAGCAUUUCGAACAAGUGUUGACUUAAUUCAACAUUGUUGGAAAGAUAGGCUUUUAGAAGCGGAAGAAAGCCUCUCAAACCAAAGUGAUUGUCCUUGUAUUGAUCAAGGGAUGUAAACAUAUUACAUUUGCAGGAUGAGUUUUAAUCACUCCCCUGAUUUAUUUGGGUUGCAGUAAAACUAAGCGAGCAACUGUUUGACUUUCAAGCAACAUCUAAAUCAGCUAUUAAAAUUCAAAUAAAAUUAUAAUAGAAUAAUAACAGGCCAUCUUGCAUAAAAAAUUAAGUUUAAUUUGUGAAUUUUUUUCUAUAGACAUGUUAGUUCCUGCUAUUGAAAUGUUAAAAGCAUUGAAAAAUUAUUCAAUAAAUUAUGCAAACAUUAAAAUAGAGGACAUAUUAAAAAGUUUCUAAUUACAAUGUUAAGAUUUCCUAUAUUUUAGCAUUUGCAUAUUUUAAUUUAAUUUAAAAGUUACGUCAAUCAACUUUGGGCGUGAAGAUUUUAGCUUCUACGAGACUUGAUUGGAAUAUGCAUAAGGAAGAGUGUUAAAAUAUGAUGCAUCCAACGAAAGACAAACCACGUGUAGUCUUUUAAUUAAGCCAAAGUAGCAGCUCAAACAAAUGACACUUGGACCAACAUGCAAUCAUGAAGUGGCCGGUAAAAGGACAAAUGCAACUUUGGCUUAAAUAAAAAAUAACAUGUGACUUGACUUUUGCUGACAUGCAUCAUGUAUUACAAGACAACAGAAAUCAGUAUGAUAGUACUAAAAGUUGACAAUAACAUGAAGAUAAGAGCAGAAUGUCAACACCUGCAUAGGCACACACAAGAAAGUAUUAACAUAUAUACCAUAGCAAAAAGUCUUUGAUAUGUCAUCUGUUGCUGCUGUGAUUCAACUGACAGCAUGGCAGCUGUCGCUUCUCUACCAAGAGCCAUUAUUGUAGAUUUAAGCUCGGUCAAUCUUGCUUCUGCAUUUCGAAGCUUCACAGCACUCUCUGCUGAUAUAUCAGAUUUCCUUAUCUUUGAUCGGUGCCUAAAUACUUCAGCUGCCUGGUGAAAAUAUUCAAUAUAAAUCUAACAUAAUUCUCAUCUUGCCUUAUACAUGCAUAUGUUACCUCAAAGCUUGCCUGGGCUUCAAACUUCAUGUCGAAGUUGUCAUAACGAUGAGUCAGGUGUCGAGCAUCUUCCAAAGGUGCUCCGUUGAUUAACGCCCGUAGUGGCUCAGAUACCUACAUGUCCAAAAACCUGUAACAUAGUUAGAAAAAUGAAAAGAAAGAGCGAAACCUCAAUUAAAAAGUUCCUCCAACAUAAUCAUGGAAUUUGGGCCUACUUCAAGGAUAUAUAUAAGAUAAUUUAUGCAAUUUUGGGUCUUAGGAUGAUUCAUAUUAGGUUAGUGUUCUUCUCUUCUGUAUUUAAGGUUAAAAUAGAAAUAAACCUAUGCAAAUAUCUAAAUUAGGGCUGUAAGACUUCCACAUGCAUCCUUCAUCUCAUGGAUUUGAUUUACUAUAGAUGCAAGUGUCUUUAUCGAAAAUGCUUGGAGUCAAUUGAGAGAACUCACAGCCAAUAACUUGUCACAUGCUAGUCUUUGCUAUGAUGCAAGAAGUCACAAGGUCUCUUCAACAUUUGAACCAAUAAAAUUAUUAAGUCAUGGAUGUCACUAGCAAUGAUUUCAAUAUAAAACAUUAAAUAUUUCAAGUUGUAACUUUAAAAUGGAUUCUUUUAUUCAAUAUCUUAGAACUAAGUUUCCUUAUGAGAAGAUAAUAGUUUCAGUAGUAAUUACAUGAAAUUUUCUAUAUUUGAAUUAUUUUCUAGUUAGGGAUGAACUAACCUGAUCAUGAAGAAUCCCAAGCAAAGUUUCCCUCUCAUUUUCCAUCAAAUCAUGUGAAGUGCCAAAUUGAAGAGCAGCUCUUGCAGCGCAAGAAUUGUCACUUUGAUUCUCCGCUCCAUACUUGCAACAAUCUUCAGCCAACUUUCUCGCUACAAUAUUUGAAUACAAAAAUAUUGUACACAAGAACCAGUCAAGAAAAUAAAAAAAAAAUCAAAUAUAUAUAACGAGAGCAAGAGCAAACAAACAACCUAUUUCCAUUUGUUUCAAGCUUACUGCAACAAACCCUUCAACGCCACGGACAAUAUUCCUCUGAAAAUGCUGUGCUACAGAGCAUAUAUUCCAAAUUAUUGUUCAGAUAAAACCAUAGAAACCAUCAUAAUUAUCAACAUACAUUAAGCUCCGUUUGGUAAAACUUGCAACUUCAGUCUAGAAAAUACAGUUUGUUUGUACCAUAUUUGACAAAAUUAUAUUUAAAAAUCAUAACUAAUUACCAAAAGCCACAAUAAAUCAUAUCAAACAGAGUCUUAUUAUUAGCUAAAGGAGGAUGGUGCCUUAGCUGCCCUGGUGGAAUUGUAUAGAUUUUAAAGUUGUUGGUGACACUCAAUUUCAGCUUCAUGAACCGCAAUAUUUUCAAUACCAAGAUGGAGCAGAUGCUUCAAUGCUGCCUGUACAAAUCAUAAAAAACUAAUAAAAAUAAAUAAAAUCGAUAAAUUCACUAACUAAAAGUCUAAAUAUAAUUUUUGAAAAAAGAAAAGAAACGGACUUGCUGCUGCUUGGCGACUUGUUCUCGGUGCUUGAUUGCCUGUUCUUGAUAGCUUCCAUACUGUUUCUUUCAAAAAGCAACGACGCUCAGCUCAUGGAGGUGGAAAAAAAAAGUAUGAUCGAGAAAAAUAAAAAGCGAUGAAUAAUUUUUUGACAAAAAGCGAAAAUAAAAAGGCAUGAAUAAUGAAUAAUUUUUGACAAAAAGCUCUUUCCAGAAAAUAAAAAAGAAAAAAAGAAAAAAGAAAAUUAUAAGUUUGAAAGGAGUAGAUGAUAGUGGAAGUGUGCGGUGUGGCUGCCAGCUACUUGAAUUGUAUUGUCGGGUAAGGUAAUAGUAGAGAAAUUUUUUUUUUGAAGAAAAAUGGGUAAUUUUUAAAAACCUCCCCUGAGGUUUGGCUUGUUGUAAGUAGAUGGCGAGAAUCCAUUUAUUUGUAAAAAACCCCCUACGUUUUUGCUCCGCUUGGUUGCCGUUUGGGCAAUUGUGGCUUGUUGACAUUUCGCAAUAAAACAAAUCUUUUGCAACUUUCGUUUCCUUGAGAACAAUAGCUAGAUUUCUCAAUCUGUUUCAUCCAACACUUCAAAAAUUUCAACUUUUAUGAGUUAUUGCAUUCUCUGGCAAAGUAGACUUCUUCUAAUUUUAUCACAGUGCUUUCAGGAACAAGAAUGGGAUCCAUUAACAUCCCCUCAAAUUUUACAGCUUCCUUACAGCUAUACACUGCUGUAACACGAAGUUUAAUGAUUCCAUCGCCAAAUAGUCCCCAAAAUCUAUUCUUCCCCAUAUUGAACAACUUAAGUUCACAACACUUGCAUUCUAAAGGCUUCCACUAACAUCUAAUAUCUCAAGACUCAACGUUGCUUUACAAUAAUUGUUAUUACUACCAAACAAACAUGAAGAAACCCCGAUUAUCGGAUAAAUCAACCAAAAUGAACAAGAGAAGAACCCAAAACAAGUGAAUCGCUAGAGCAAAACCCCCAACCCAUAUCCCUAAUCCCACACUCAAAAAAACCCAAUUUCUCUCCAAAGUCAUUGACACUAGCAUCACUACUAGACUCUAAUUCCAAUCCUAGAUUACAUUUAAUGUUAACCCAACUAAAAUGAAUGUUCUUACUACAAUACGCAUCGUUUACACUCUCAAACAACGCGCUGAACUUACUCUUAAACGAUCCCACAUUGGUCAAACACUCAUCACUCACAUCGACAUCCAAGAAUUCACUCAAAAACUUCAUAGACUCGACAAUUGGAGAAAACAAAACCACUAAACUCAACUUUAUACAAGCAUACCCAUCGAGAAUCUUACCGUCAUUAACCGAAUCACAACAAAUCACCGGGUCCCACGCGCAGUCGUGAACGAGCUUACGCAUGGACGGGGCAACAUUUAACCCCCGCGGCAAAAACGACGAAGCUUUGGAAAAAUUGUNUUUUUAAAAGGCAAAAAUAACAACACUUCUAUGGUUUGUUUUGAUAAUCACAUUUACAUAUACUCUCUAAUUUUCAAAAUGGACACAUAAAUCUUUUUUUUUCUACAAAUGUAUAUUAUUCGUAUUUUUUAUUAUUUUUAAUAUCAUAUUGUUAUUUAUUAUAAAUGUUUAAAGUAAAUUUUUAGGUUAAAAUAUAAUAAAAGGGUAUAAUCGUUCUCUUAUUAAACACCCAUACUUUUAGUUUCUAUCCAUUUGUCAUCUCAAUCUCUCUCAAUUAUUCUUUAUUGCUAAAAACGCGUUUUGUUGCAAAUUAUAGCAAAAAGACAAAUAUGGAAAAAAAAAAAGGAAGAAAUUAGUGCAUGAAAGACUUGAGAAAAACAACGAAGUAAGUCAACUAUAAUCUAGCUGGGUGUAUAAAUUGUUUGAUGCUUUAUAAGCAAAUAACAAACAGAGACAGACAGUGUGUGUUCGUUUUUUCAUAGUUAAAGAUAUAGUUAGAAUGGGUGGUUCAAAAUCAAAAAUGGCGAUAAUGUUUGUUAUGUUAUUAAUAAUAUUUAAAAGUGGGUGGAGUGAGGGAUGUUUGGAUCACGAGAGAUUUGCUCUUUUGCGACUGCAACAUUUCUUCAAUGAUCCUCGUAAUUCUCUUUACAACUGGGUCGAUGAUGAGGGAGCUACUGAUUGUUGUCAGUGGGAAAGGGUUGAGUGCAGCAACACCACAGGCCGAGUGAUAGCGCUAGACCUUUUUGAAAUGUAUUCGGGAGUACAGCUGGUAUCUGAAUGCUUCUUUGUUUACUCCCUUCCAACAACUUGAGUCACUUGAUUUAACUGCCAACAAAAUAGCCGGUUGUGUUGAGAAUGAAGGUGCUUCGUUUAAUUUAAUUAAUUUACUUUCUCCCCCCUAAUUUAAGUUGAAUAUCAAGACCGAGCAACUAUACGCAUAUUCAUUUAGUCGACAAUUUUGACUUUUUUUUAAGUGAUUAAUUAAUUUUAAAAUUACACCAAUAUCUAUGAUUUUUUUUUUUUUAAUUUUGCUUGCAGGUCUAGAGAGGCUAUCAAGAUUGAACAACUUGAAGAUGCUUAAUUUAAGUGAAAACUCUUUGAAAAAUAGCAUUUUAUCAUCUCUAACUCAUCUUUCAUCAUUAAGCUCAUUAAAUUUAUUUUUAAAUAGAUUGGAAGGAAGUAUUGACUUUAAAGGUACAUAAUUAAAACUUCAUCCCUUCUCCAAGCUCUUUCAUUAACUUGCUAAAAUAAGACUCAAGGCUUUGAAUUCAAUUUUUUUUAUGAUUAGUAUUAAAAAAAACAGUUUUUAAGCAAUUUUAUAAAUACAAGUUUUAAUGGUUAUCGUAAUUUCAUCUUGUAAUUUCAUAUGUCUUGAAUUUAAGAUUAAAAAAAACUCUAAUAGCGAACCAAACACCUCCACAACUUAUUAUUAUUAUUAUUAUUAUUAUUAUUUGUGGUGAGGUUGGAAACAUUCAACUUAAUUUGUACUUAUUACAGAAUUUGAUUCUUUGAGAGAUUUAGAGGAGCUAGACAUUGGCGGGAACAAGAUUGACAAAUUUGUGGUCUCAAAAGUACUACAAAUACCACAAAAAUGUAAACUUUUACAAAUUAGCUGGAUUCUUUGCCAUUUGGUUUAUUAUUUUACAGGUUUGAGUAAGUUGAAGUCUCUUGAUUUAAGUGGUAUCAAACUCAACCGUAGUAUCUUAUCUUCUCUAACUGUCUUUUCUUCAUUAAAGAAUUACAUCUACGUAAUAUCAUAUUCAAAGGAACAUUUGAUGUUCGAGGUAAGCCUAAGCCUUGCUUUCUCAUUUUCUAUAUGCCAACUAGAUUUGUGUAUCAUCGGGCAUAAUUUAAUAUUUAAUUUGAUAAGUCUGAAGGAAUUACAUGCUAAUUUAAACAUACUUUUAUUUACUUUGUCAAUUAAUUAAUUAAUUAAUUACUAUUUGACAUUGGACGGUUCCUCUCUCCAUAUAAGCCUUCUGCAAAGCAUUGCAUCAUUCACUUCGUUAAAAAAUCUGUCGAUGUCUGAUUGUGAAGUCAAUGGUGUCCUACGUGGUCAAGGUAAAAGAAAAGUGUUGAUUGUGAAUAAGCUGUUAAUUAAUUAAUGUUGUUGCUCCUUGCUUCUAAACAGAGUUGCGCAAUUUCACCAACUUGGAAUAUUUGAAUUGGAUUCUUCCUCGCUCCAUAUAAGCCUUCUACAAUUGCUUGAACAAUUUAUUUAUUUAUUUAUUUAUUAUUAUUGUUGUUGUUGUUGUUGUUGAAGUGGGGUGGGCAAGCGUUCACUCAGUUAAUAUGUGGGGAAUUAAAUAUUACAAUCCAAGGUAGAAUUGUGGAAAAUUAAAGCUAAAUGAGAAAUAUGGAAAGAAAGGAAGAAAGUUAAGGGCAUGAAAGACUGGGAGAAUACUAAAAACCACCAAAUAAGUCAACUGAAAACUAGCUGAGGCCUGGGUGUACAAAUUGUUAGAUGUUUGUUAUAAAUAACAUAGAGCCAUCUUGUUGGUUGCAGAGGCAGAGAGACAGAGAGUGUGCAUUUUGUCCAGUUAAAAAUGAUAAAAUUUAUCAUUUGUUUAUAUUGAUUUAUUAACUCUAUUUUAAGUCUUAAGUCUUGGCGUCUUGGCAUGUUUGCAGAAUUUGAUUCCUUGAGCAACUUAGAGGAGUUGGACAUGAGCGGCAAUGAAAUAGACAAUUUCGAGGUUCCUCAAGGUACACAAUUAAAAUAUUAUUUAAUUACAUUAAUUUAAUUCGUUUGAUUAGGGAAGGCCCAAAAUGUACAAAAACAUAAUUAGAAAAAAUAAAGAAACAGAGAAUUCAUAUUAUUUCAAAUAACAAAAGGUAAUACUAUUAUUUCAAAAACAGAUUGUAAUAAAGAUUUGAUUCCAAUUCUUUAAUCUUUACAGUGAUUGAAAAACGAUACUACUUCCCAAAGCAUAAAAUACGAAUUGACUCUCAAUUAAAUUAAUCAUUUAUUUCGUUUAGGUCUAAAUUUAGAAAAAUGAAUUUUGAUUCUCUUGAAUCAUUUCCUAAUAUUAUUAUUCAACAGGUUACAGAGGUUUGAGGAAGCUGAAAAGCCUGCAUCUAUCGGGAGUUGGAAUUAGAGAUGGAAGCAAGUUGUUACAGUCAAUGGGAUCAUUUCCAUCCCUCAACGCUCUUUACCUGAGCAAUAAUAAUUUUACCGGUACAACGUCAACUACUCAAGGUAAGUAAAAGGUACAGAUGUGGCCAAAUUUAUAAAUAAACUGUUAAUUAAUUAAUUUUCUGUAUUAUUAAUAAAGCUAAAUUUUUUGCUCAUUCCUUCUAAUUCUAAACAGAGUUGCACAAUUUCACCAACUUGGAAUAUUUGACAUUGGACGAUUCCUCUCUCCAUAUAAGCCUUCUGCAAAGCAUUGCAUCAAUAUUCCCUUCGUUGAAAAAACUGUCGAUGUCUUAUUGUGAAGUCAAUGGUGUCGUACAUGGUCAAGGUAAAAGAAAAGUGUUGGUUGUGCACUCACUCAGUGGUGUCCUACGUGUUCAAUAUUUUUAUUUAUUUAUUUUAUUGUUUAAUGAGAUGCUUCCACCCUCCCCUUUAAAUCUAUAAUAUUAAUUUUCGAUAAUAUAUAAUUAUAGAAACCAAUCACUUAUAAAAGAAUGCUAUGCAUUUGCCAAUUUUUUUAUAUUUUACUGAUUGAUGAAUUAAUAAAUUUUCAGGCCUCUGUUCGUUGGUGCAUCUACAAGAGUUGUACAUUGCAACUCUUGUAGUAAUUAAUUAAUUAAGUAUUAGUUAAUUAAUUAAUUAAUUAAUUUUCUGUAUUAUUAAUAAAGCUAAUUUUUUUGCUCAUUCCUUCUAAUUCUGAACAGAGUUGCACAAUUUCACCAACUUGGAAUAUUUGGCAUUGGACUCUUCCUCUCUCCAUAUAAGCCUUCUGCAAAGCAUUGCAUCAUUAUUCCCUUCAUUAAAAAAUCUGUCGAUGUCUAGUUGUGAAGUCAAUGGUGUCGUACGCAGUCAAGGUAAAAGAAAAGGGUUGAAUGUGAACUCACUCAAUGGUGUCCUACGUGUUCAACAUUUUUAUUUAUUUAUUUUAUUGUUUAAUCUUUCUGCUAGGUUUUCCUCAUUUCAAGAGUUUGGAACAUUUUGACAUGGAUUUCACGCGCAUUGCACUCAACACUAGCUUUAUUGCACUCAACACUAGCUUUCUUCAAAUCAUCAGUGAAUCGAUGCCUUCUCUUAAGUACUUAUCACUAUCAUAUUAUACUCUUGGAACUAAUAGCAGCGGGACUCUUGAUCAAGGUUAACGAGAUGCUCCCACCCUCCCCUCCUAAUCUAUAAUAUUAAUUUUUUAUUUAAUAUAAUUACACAAACGAAUCACUUAUAAAAGAAUGAUAUGCAUUUGUUAAUUUUUUUAUUGUACUGAUGGAUGAAUUAAUAAAUUUUCAGGCCUCUGUUCGUUGGUGCAUCUACAAGAGUUGUACAUUGCAAGCAAUGAUUUAAGAGGUAGCUUGCCUUGGUGCAUGGCAAAUAUGACAUCCCUCAGAAUAUUAGAUGUUUCUUCUAAUCAACUUACUGGAAGCAUCUCCUCAUCUCCCCUCGUUCAUUUGACAUCCAUUGAAGAGCUGAUGCUUUCAAACAAUUACUUCCAGAUCCCAAUUUCACUUGAACCACUUUUCAAUUACUCAAGACUCAAGAUUUUCAAUGCUGAGAACAACGAAAUAAAAGCUGAAAUAACUGAGUCACAUUCUUUGAUCGCCCCAAAAUUCCAAUUAAAUACUCUCUCAUUGUCUUCCAAUUACGGAGACGGUUUCAUAUUCCCCAAAUUCCUUUACCAUCAACAUGACCUGGAGUAUGUUGAUCUCUCACACAUAAAGAUGAAUGGAGAAUUUCCAAAUUGGUUGUUGGAAAACAACACAAAAUUAGAAACUCUUUUCUGGUUAAUGAUUCUCUUGCAGGACCUUUUCGGUUGCCAAUUCAUUCACACAAGCGGUUAAGACAGUUGGAUGUCUCCAACAACAACAUUCGAGGCCACAUUCCAGUAAAAAUUGGAGAUGUUUUACCAAGUUUAUACGUUUUCAACAAUUCCAUGAAUGCUUUAGACGGUAGCAUUCCCUCUUCAUUUGGUAAUAUGAAAUUCCUCCAAAUUCUGGACUUAUCCAACAAUCACUUGACUGGUGAAAUCCCCGAGCACUUGGCCGUGGGUUGCGUCAACUUGCAGUUUCUUGCAUUAUCAAAUAACAACCUACAAGGUCAUUUGUUCUCUAGAAAUUUUAACUUGACAAACUUGCAAUGGUUACAAUUGGAGGGCAAUCGCUUCGUAGGUGAGAUCCCACAAAGUUUGUCUAAAUGCUCCUCACUAGAAGGAUUGUACCUUAACAAUAAUAGUCUUUUAGGUAAGAUUCCACGAUGGUUGGGUAAUCUGACACGGUUACAAUAUAUUAUAAUGCCCAAUAAUCAUCUUGAAGGCCCUAUUCCAGUGGAGUUUUGCCAGCUUGAUUCGCUUCAGAUUUUGGACAUUUCAGACAACAACAUAUCUGGAAGUUUACCAUCUUGUUUCCAUCCUCUCUCUAUCAAACAAGUUCAUCUUUCAAAAAAUAUGUUACAUGGACAGCUAAAAAGAGGUACAUUCUUUAAUUGCUCUUCCCUUGUGACAUUAGAUCUUAGCUAUAACCGCUUGAAUGGCAGCAUUCCGGAUUGGGUUGAUGGGCUUUCUCAGUUAAGCCACCUUAUCUUAGGUCACAAUAAUCUUGAAGGUGAAGUGUCAGUUCAAUUGUGCGAAUUGAACCAACUACAAUUGUUAGAUCUUUCUAAUAAUAAUCUUCACGGUCCUAUUCCUCCUUGCUUUGAUAACACCACACUUCAUGAAAGUUACAGCAAUAGUUCUAGUCCUGAUGAGCAAUUUGAAAUAUUUUUUUCCAUCGAAGGCCAUCAGGGAUUUUUAGAAAAGCAAAACAUGAAAUUUUUUGAGUUCACAACAAAGAACAUUGCGUACAUUUACCAAGGAAAAGUGCUUAGCCUCCUAUCAGGACUUGAUCUUUCUUUGCAACAAUGCUUAAUUGGUCAUAUUCCUCCUCAAAUUGUGAAAUUUGACAAGGAUUCAAACAUUGAAUCUCUCGCACAAUAACUUGACAGGAUCGAUCCCAUCAACAUUUUCAAACUUGAAGCAUGUCGAAAGUUUGGAUCUUUCCAACAACAAAUUGAAUGGGAAAAUCCCUCAUCAACUAGUGGAGUUAAAGACAUUGGAGGUUUUCAAUGUGGCAUACAAUAACUUAUCAGGCGAAAUUUCCAGAAUGGAAAGCACAAUUUGCAACCUUCAACGAGAGUAGCUAUGAGGGAAAUACUUUUCUUUGUGGACUGCCAUUGCCCAUUUGCAGAUCACCAGCAACUAUGCCGGAGGCUUCAAUUUGGCAAUGAACAAGAUGAUAAUUUAAUUGAUUAUGGACAGUUUCUUUAUCACAUUUACAACAUCGUACGUAAUUGUGAUAUUCGGAAUUGUUAUUGUUUUAUAUGUAAAUUCUUAUUGGCGACGUAGAUGGUUUUACUUUGUUGAAAUGUGGAUAACUUAAUGUUACUAUUUUUGUUUAAACAAUCUUAUUGCAACAAGAUAUUGUCAUUGAAAUUAAUUAGCAGUUUAAUUACGAUUCUUUAAGUUCUAAUCAAGUUUGCUUAGGAAAUAAUUUUUUUUUUAUUUUUUUAUUAAAAUUGUAGUAGUAUUUAGCGCUAUAUAGCUUCCAACUUGGUAGAAAGCUCCAUUUUUUGUUUGGCUACAGUAAAAGCAUGUUGUUUUAUUCUUCUUAUACUUUACGCCUGCAUCAGCUUAAAUCACUUCUUAAACGCUUGCUUUAACUGCACCGCUUCGUACUGCUCUAUAUAUGUAACGGUUAUGCGGUUGUAGCUCACGGCUCAAGCUACGCGUUUGUUUGACGUGGUAGUUACGUUAUGAUGUUUCGAGUCUGUUAAACAUUCGGUGAUAAGAUUAGUUACAACAAACCUACUAGUUUUAUAAAAUUCAAGUGAGAUGGAAUAAAAUAAAAAAUAAAUAUAAAAUUGGCUUUUAUUUUUUUAGGUUAACCAUAUUUGUGUUCUCUUCGGGCACUACUACAAUUGUUCCCUAUACAUCAGUUACACUCACGUAUCAUCGACACGAAAAAUGAAAUCUAAUAUCACCUGUUUAGUUAAAGAAUCACUCAUGAAAAAAAAUUACCAUUUUGAUUGAAGAUCCAUAUUUUGAACUACCAAUUAAUGUUCAUCAAGAACAGAGUGUGGCCGUUAAGUAGAAAAACUAUUUUUGGACAAAUUAUUAAAUUCCAAUAUUGUAUCCAUAUGCAAACGAUGCCUGAAGCAGAGCCUCCAAACAAUGACCAGGGCACAAAACAAGAGUGUAGUAAUCAAGUGUAUUGUCUCAUAAUCAAUUAAAAGCAGAUAUACAGGAUACCAUAUUCAAUUCCAAAUAACAAAAGCAUAAUGAGGAUGAGAAGAACAAUGAUCACUCAAAUAUUUCUUCACUUUGGUUGUCAAUUAUCUAUUCAAAUUAAUCAGUGUCAUUAUGGACUUAUUUAUUUAGAAGAGCGGGUGAUAAAUAUAUUCAAUAUGUGAACAAGAAGUUGAUUAACUUUAUGAUCAUUUGGAAGGUCGGCCGUGUCAUCACUCGUCAAACACAUUGCAUCGAUCCACCAGCAUGAACCGACCGGAUUAUGCCCAAAAAGUUGAAAUAUCAAUAAAAAAAACAAUUAAUUAAAGUCGAAGAUGGGUCCUUUACAUUAUGUUUUGUUUUCGUAUUAGGUAGGAGGUUAUUAUAUUAUAUCAUGUAAUUAAUUUAUUAUUACUCAACACUAAGUAAUAACUUAACUAUAUAAAGACAACAAGAAGAUAAAAUGAUAUAUAAAAAAAAAAAGAAUUUCAAAGAGAUAGCAACAUACAAUAGACUGAAGCCAUUUGAUCUGCUCAUUGAUUUCAGCCUUAAACUUGUAAAUAGUUACUGUCAAAUAUUCUAUUCAUACGAAAAAAAUGUUUAGAUAUCUUACUAUAAAUAUAGCCGUUUGACUGUCUUAAUAAAGUCACACACAACCAUUCUUAUUAAAUUAGCAAGAUCAAACACUGCCCUGGAUCUUGAACAGAUCAACACAAGAUGCACAACUUAUGAUUGAACCAGAAACAAUCAAAUCUUUAGCAAGAACAAUUAAUCAGAGUCAAGAAACAAGUUUAAUGAAUAUAAAACCUAUAAUUGAAACAACAUAGCAAGAAAAAAAUACAGAUUUUACACGGUUCAGUUGUACCUAGGAUGGCACAACCUACACCACGAGAGAAGCUUUCUGGUGAGAUUUUAUUGAUGAUCAAAGAAGAAUCUUUUGACAAAGCUAAUAAUAGAGAUUUCAGAGAAUAAGCUGUAACCCUCUCUCCCUCUUCAAUCUCUCUCUAUUUUGUUCCCAUUGAUGACCCCAAUCUGCUUAGUUAUCCAGCUUUAUAGCUGCAUCAGUAACAAACCAGCAACCCAGAUUGAGCAGAUUGACGACACGUGGAUAACGGCUUUAACGAACCUGGUAAGAACUGCUCACAUGUUCGUCACGCGUGCUGCUUAAAUGAUGGCCAAAACGACUUCAAACAAAUGUCGUUUUGAGGCUUAUGAAUUACAAGUGAUAACACGAGCUUGUCUCAUGACUUUUAAAUGCAACAACGUGCCCACAACGCCGUCGUUUUACUCUGUUGAGUUUGAUUCAUUACUAAGCUUUACGACUGGCAAUGGAGAAGAUGAUAAUUUAAUUGACACGGACAGUUUUUUAUAUCACUUUUACAACAUCCUAUGCAAUUGUAAUAUUGGGAAUUAUUGAUGUUUUAUUCUGUGAAUCCUCAUUGGCAAAAACUAGUGGUUUUAUCUUUGUUGAAAUAUAGAUGACCUCUCGUUACUGUUUUAUUAUAAACAUAUAUUUCGUAAGUGAAACUAUAUGUUUAUAAUAAAUUAACAUAUAGUUUUGUUACAUUUCUGCCUCAUUAAGAUUCUCAAAUACCAGUCAGGUUUGCUUAAGAAAUAAAUUUUUUCCAUUAAAAUUGCAGUAGUAUUUCCAAGCAUAUCGCAUUUUCUAUGAGUUUUCAUAAAUUAAUUAAUCUGCGGUGCCAAUAUCAGAUUUAGUUUUUCAAACUAAAUAAUCAAGAAAGCAAACAUACAAAUAUACAGUUUAGAGGGUAAACUAGGUAGGUGGUUUAGAUUUUAGAACUAAGCCAGCUACCUCGCUAAAUUCCGAUUCGUACAGUGAACUGCAAGAAACUGAGAAAACAAUGUAUUUAUAAUUUAAUAGAAUCAUAAGAAAACAAUGCAGUCAUUGCUCAAUAUAAGAUGAUGAUUUCGGAGAGGCACAUUGUUUUCAAGUUAAUUUGAUCCGUUUAUAAGAGAUGAAGUGGAAUGAAGUUGAAAGUUUAAAUAACAAAUCCUUGUUCUUGAGUUUUACGACGUCGUUACUCCUUCAAGUGGCAGAUUAUGCAAGUGAAUGCAGAAACACAAUGCAUCAUCCGCGGGGAUGAUACAUCAAAAGCGGGAUUUGUUUAUGCCUGCAGAUUAGCAAUUUCACUCAUAUAGAAAAUUAAUUUUUUAUAUAUACUAAUCAACACUAAAUUGAUUAUGUGUUGUAUGUUUAUAUGCUAAUCAACACGAAAUUAUAUUGAAUUAUUAACAUUCAUAUUCCUAAUAAAAAUUAUUUUCCAUCAGUAUUCAAAAUUUUCACUUAUAGAAAAUGCGUUUUACGUGAAUACUAGUUAUUGUGUAAAUUUGAAUGAUAGCGAAAAUAAACCUAUUUGAAAACUGUAAGGGUGUGUUGGGAUAUUUUACAACUGUCGGAAUCUGGUAGGAUAUUGCACCAUUUGCCCAAUAUUUUUAGACGUACUCAACCGGUAUUCAAGAUAAGUAAAAUUUACAAGCGUGGCAAAAUAAAAAAAAAUUAAAUUCGUAACUUGUAAACGAAUUUUCCUGACAUGUAUAGUAAAUGAAGUUGUUGAUCCUUUCUUUGGAUUAUUUCAGCUCUGGUUGUUGGUCACCGAUGAGCCGAAGUCUUAUUUUAAUUUUAUUUAAACUCAUCAUAAGAUUCGUGGAGCACCUAACUAACUUAACUGACUGCGCAGAUCAUCUCAACAUGGCAUAUUUAACCAUCAUUCAAGUGAUGGGUUUAAUAAGACUGCUUUUGUUCUAUCAACUAUCAAGUUCCUCUGCCUCUAAGCAGAAUUACUAUUGAAGGGCCAAAAGAAAAUGAAAACGUGUGAGCUCCAACAACCACCCCACAAAUUCAAUGACGAUGCUCGGAGAGGGUUAGGUUGGGCCUCUGAGAAAAAAAAAAAUUAUUUUGUUAAAAAGUUACCCUUAUUGAAACCUGUAUAAACAUUUUAUAUUAAUUAGUUAUGUCGCCUCUUCAACGAUGAUCAAAUUCUUAUCUGAGCUCAUCAUUUAAUGAGUAAACAUGUAUUUUAAUGAUCUCAAUUAAUAUUUAGAACAAAUAUUUUAAGAAGUAAAGCUCAUUAUAUCUUCCAUUAUUAUGUAUUUCUUUAAUUUCUUAUUUACAUAAUUAUAUUGUACAUUAAAAAUGUAUUGAAUUUGAAGAAAAAAAAAUUCAACUCAAAAAAAAAAAAAAAUGCUGGUAGCUUCGUAAUAAUUACUGUAUUGACUGCACCAGAUAAAGUUUUGUAAAAUAAUAAGUUCUCAUAAGUGGUUUUUCAUUUUUAAUUUUUUUUCCGGCACACCUGAUCAAGAAUUCUAUUUUGUUAACUAAUCAAUUGCAAAGCAUAAGUGUUGAACGGUACAAAAAAAUUUAAAAAAAUACACUUAAAACGUGGGGGUAGGGUAACGGCUUCACUCAAAUCGUUAGGUAGAAAUUGUGGAAAACUUCAAAGCGAAAUGAGAAAUAUAGAAAAAAAGAAGAGGUGGAUUUUUUCUAGUGAAAUUUCUAUGGGUAACGGCUCACUCAUCCUUCUAUGAAUUUCUAGCUGUAUUGACCCCAACUGCUAAAGUUUUGUAAAAAUAAAAAUAAAAAUAAAAAAACUGGAAUUUCAACAAAAUUCAAAACGUUUGAAAUUAAUAUUUUGGCCAUGUGGAACAAAAUGUAAAUUAAGUAAAAAUAUAAAUCUCAAUUGCUUAGUAUGGUUAGGAUUUUGUGAGCAUCACUAAAAAGUGAAAACUAUGAAUGAUAGAGGUGAUGUUUGCAACAUGAAUAAAUGAUGAACUGAAUCAAUUGAUGAUCGUAAUUACAUAAUGAACAAAAUUUACAAAAUCAACAAAAGUUAAUAAAAAAUUUAUUUAAUAAUAAAAAAUCAAUAAAACUUAUUAUUUAAGGGCGCUCUAACCAUGGAAUACCAUAAUCAUAAUCUUCUUUUAAGAAAAUUAUAACUUAUUAUUUUACAGGAUUGAUCCAUUUGGAAUGAAGUGGUCUCAAGUUGAAAGUAAUUAAUUUAUUGAAUAACUUUCGACUUAUUAAUAGUUAUAUCAAGGGUGUUUUACCUCAUCAUGUCUUCAAGUGGAAGAUGAAGACUAUGCAAGUGAAUUCAGGAAUAUUGCAUGCCUGUUGUCUAAAGCAUUACCUCACAAGGUUUCAUGAGAAACGAAAGAUGUGUUUGCUUUGAACAAUUAAAGUUACUGCUACGAACCUCCCCAAAGGUCAAGAAGACAGAACAGGAAGCUAAUGCCAUCAAUGUCUUGUUCAUUAUAGCUGCUGGGUAGUUAGGUGUAGUUUCCUCAUUUGAAGCUGUCUAUACAUAGGCAUUUCCCUGCUUAUGUACAAAUAAAUGAACAACCUUGAAGCUUUAUUAUUCGCAACAAAAAGGGAUUACUAAUUGGAGAAGACUAUACAGAGUUUUCUCUCACACUUUGCUCUCUGUCAAUUUCAUCCAGAAGUCCCUCUGAAAGCUUCUCCCAAAACAGUUAGUCAUCUUUUAUGCUCUGUUUUCUGAAAACAGAGUCCUAACUAAAUUAAUUGACUGUACAGUGCAUUUCAACAUAGCAUAUUUAACCGUUUUAACAGUUAUUUGGACCGUCUUCAGAGGUAACAUCAACAAACUCAUUCAUAUGCUUAAUAAUGAACGAAUAGUCUUGGAUUGAUGUUUUGCAGCAAGAGCAACACGACACAAUCUGGAUUCAACCUCCUCCUUUCUAACAGGGGAUUUCGAUUUGAGUUACUUUGUGCUCAAGCAAAUUCACAUCAUAGUUUUGAUUCUUUAGAUAUGAAUUCAUCUCAUUACAUAUAUCAGAUUAAGUGUAACAAAAUUUGUAAUUUACUGCGAAAAGAAUAUGCACUAAAAAAUGAUUUCAAGACUAUUUGACUACAAAAAGCAGCUGUCAGAGUGCACUAAAAAUUUCUGUAGGAUAUUUUGUAGCUGUUUAAUAUGUUAUGAUGGGCAUAUAAUUCUCAAAUUUUGAUGCCUCUCAGCGAAAAAUAUAUCAAAGUUACGGAUGAUAUCACGUAAAACAUGCAUGGCUCAGGCUCAGGCUCAGGUAAGAAAGCCACAGAAAAUGGAAAAUCUCACUGUCACGACUCACGUCACGCAUCAUUCAAGUGAUGGAUUUAACAAGACUGCUUAUGUUCUAUCAAAUUCCUCUGCCUCUCAGAAGAUAACUUUUCUGGGCCAAAUUUCUCAUCUAAAGCAUAUUAUGCCCCAAAGUCACAGAUAACAAAAUGGGGCACUACCGAUUAUGAAAGAGAACUAGUAGUUGUCAGAAGCCUAAGCCAAAUUCCGGUAGUAAGAAGAGGCCUUUCUUGAGUUUAGAUUAUGUGUUCGAGUUUUAAUAAAUGCCUAAGUUAAUAAUAAUAACAACAGUAAUAAUAAACUAAAAAGCAUAAUUACUAUUGAAUGGUAAAAAAAAAAAUGAAAAUGUGUGAACUCCAAUAACCACCCCAGUGGCGAAUUUUGGAGAGGGCUAGGCCGGGCUUCUUAGAAAUUAUUUUUAUUUAAUUACAAAAUCACCUUUACUGAAACCUAUAUAAAAUUUUUUAUAUUAAUUAAUUAUGUUGCCUCUUCAAUUAUCAUUAAAUUCUUGUCCGUUCAUAAUUUGAUGGAUAAAUGUGUAUUUCAAUAAUUUCAAAUAAUGUCUAGAACAAAUAUUUUGAAUUAUAAAACUCAUUAUGUCCUGCAUUACUAGAUGUAUCUAUAAUUUAUUAUUUACAAAUUAUAUUGUAUGAUAAAAAUGUAUUGAAUUUUUGUUUAAAAAAAAGUUCGGCUCACUCAGAAAAAAAUGUUAUUAGCUUCGCCACUGCACAAAUCUAGAAUAAUAAUUAUUCCUUAUUAUAUUGACUGCACCAAGCAAUAAACUAAUAAGUUCUCAUCAGUGGUUUUUAAUCUUUUUAAUUCUUUUUACCGCACACCUGAUCAAGAAUUUUAUUUUGUUAACUAAUCAAUUGCAAAGCAUAUAUAAGUGUUGAACGGUACACAAGAUUGGAAAAAAAAAAUCUUAAAAAACGUGCGGAUUCGGGUGGCCACACCAGAAAUCUAUUUACAAUAAUUAGCUUUGAUGCUGGGAAUCUUUUAAUUUCUGGCCGUAUUGAAGUUUUUAAAAUAAUAAGUUCCCCUUCUCGUUUUUUUUUUUUUUUAAAUAUAUAUGCUUAUAACAAUUUUAGAAUAAUGAUUCAUUUGUAGAAGAACUUAUGAUUUCCCAUUAAUAUUAAUAUUGAAGUGGGGUGGGUCAAAUCUCAAUUGCUUGAAGAAUUUAUGUAUUAUUAAAUAUUACCAUCCAAGGUAGAAUUGUGGAAAAUUAAAGCAAAAUGACAAGUAUGGAAAGGAAGGCUGAAAGUAAGGCAUGACGAAAGGCUUUGAGAAGGCUGAAGACUACCAAAGAAGUCAACUGAAAACUAGCUGGGGCCUGAGUGUAUAAAUUGUUAGAUGCGUUUGUUAUAAAUAACAUAGAGCCCUUUUGUUAUUUAUAGUUAUAGAGAAAGAGAGAAUGUGUGUUUUUUAAUAGUUAGAGAUAUAGCUAGAAUGGGUUGCUCAAAAUCCAAAAUAGUGACAAUGUUAGUUCUCGUAUUGAUAAUAUUGGGGGGGGGGGGGGGGGGGGGGGGGGGGUGUUGGGAGGUCGAGUGAGGGAUGUUUGGAGCAUGAGCAAUUUGAUCUUUUGCGGCUUAAACAUUUCUUCAAUUAAUAUCGAUCUGGGAGAGUGGUAUCUGAAUGCUUCUCUAUUUACUUCCUUUCAACAACUUGGUAACAAAAUAGCCGGCUGCAUGCGUUGAGAAUGAAGGUGCUUCAUUUAAUUUAAUUUACUUAAUUUCUCCCUCCUAAUUAAUGUCUAUAAUCAUUAGGAGGAACAAGGGAUUUUAUUAACUCAAAUAUAUCUAAUGGAUCUCAUUCUUUGGUUUUACUUGCAGGGCUAGAAGCAGGUGUCAUCUAACAGCUGCUUUGAUAAUUUCCCUCCCCUUCAUCUUUGAUGGAAAGAUGAAAUAAAAACAAAUUGGUGAAAAUGGUAUUGGUACCUGAGGCUAUGUAAUCUAAUUCAAAAACUGCACCAUCAAAACGAUUACAUAAGUCUCAGAAGAAUCAAAUAUCAGUUUGCAAAAUAUCAAUUGCUGGAGGUUUGAUUCUAACUUCCGCUCUUCAUUUUUAUGGCAUAUUGUGUUGUACUUGCAUCCGAAAAUCAUAUUUUAGUUUACUUGCACUCAAUGCUUGGAUUAAAGUUUUUUUGGGGGGGGGGGGGGGAUUGAAGAAGACUAAAAUUACACCAAAAAAGAGUUGAGCGAGAGCGGGUUUUGUCUUCAUUUAAGGAGCUCUUUAUAAAUUUUGGGAUUUUUUUCCUGAGAAAAUUUAUGCCAACUCAUUCUUUGCUUCUUUUCUGAAGGGACACAUGCAACCGAAAGUAUAUUCUUGAAUUCUCCAGGAUAAGAGACAUACGUUUAGAUUCUGGAGCAUUUAAAACAAUGUCAAAUUUUAGAUUGCUGAAAUUUUAUAUAUCCGAGUAUGAUGGUGUUCCAAUUAUAAGCUCCAGGGUGCAACUUCACUGAGGUUUAGAAUGCCUUCCUAUAGAAUUGAGAAAUCUCCAUUGGCAUAAAUAUCUUUUGAAAAUACUGACAUCAGAUUUUGAAUUGGAGAACCUGAUUGGACUCAGCUUGCCCUGUAGUAAGGUUAAGCAAAUUUGGAAAAGAGAAAAGGUAUAAUGUAUUACUAUUACCAAAGUAUCUAUUUUUCUUUCUUUAAGUAUUUAUAAUGAAUAACUUUGAAAUUCAAUGAUGCUCAUUUAGUAUAGUUAUGUAUCUUUGGUUAUAGGAAGCUGUCAAGUUAAAAUCUAUAGACCUUCACCACCCCUUUAUCUCAAUAGGAUCCCAGAAAUACUAAAUCUUAAAAAAAUAAAUCUUUCAAAUUGUGAAAGCAUGCUUACGUUACCCCCGUAUAUCCACAAUUUCAACUAGCUGAGUAUGUUGUGUUUCAGGGAUGCAAAAUUCAUUUUGUUUCUCAUGAAAGGAUUGACUUGUCCGGAUGUAUUAGGGUUAGUAAACCAACUAAUCCCAUAAUUUGUUGAUGUAGGGUCCUAACAAAUUAUUGCAGUAGAUUGUAGAUCAGUACACUAUUCGAAAACGUAUUUGAUCCACACAGUGAAGUGGAUAUUGGACCAAUUUGAUGAUAAUGAAUUUCUUUCAAUCUCAAUCUUUUUUCUUUUUAGCAACAUGACUAGUCAUUGUGCAAAUUCAAACUCUGACAAUAAUUUCUCAAUCGGUUUCUAAGAUGAUGACCAUGCAUGUAUAUGUAUAUGCGUGUGUAUAUGUGUGUGUGUGUAGAGAGAGAGAGAGAGAUCACACGUGUGUGAUUUCCUUUUGCCAAUAGGAUAUGCAGAGAGCUUGAUCUUACCCAAUAGCGAAACAAACUUCCUAAUAAGUGAAGGUAUAGUAUAAAUACUUAUACUUUCAUGUUAUUUUGUUCAUCAGUAGCUUGAUUAUUUUAUAUGCGUCUUCGAUUUUAAUUUUCUUUCCCUAUAAUCGCUAUUAUCUUUGAACUGGUCAUAAUUUGCCCAUAAGAUUUCUCAUGUUGUUUUGAGGUGCAACGGAUUUUGAAUUUAGUGACAAGCAGUGGAAGCCAGAAGGCAAAUUAUGAAAAUGGAUAAAGAUCUAUAAUUAGCUGUUAUGGGAUGUCACAUAUCAUAUUGAUGGUAACGUUAUAUAUAUGUACAUAUAAUUAAUGGGGUUGGCUCACGAGCCCAUUAAUAAUGGUAUAUUAGCUUAUAUACUUCAAACAAUGUACUAUGAAGCAAUUUCACAAAUACUUGUUAGCUUAUGUUGAGCUUUAUUGAAUCAGUAGUUCACAGUUCAAUAAAAUGCAGGUUUGCUAUUUGAAGUACAUGGUUAUGGUGCGUACAUUCUUCAUAAGGCUAACUACUAAUUUAUCAUUGAAACUUGAAAAAUGUGAUAGAGAGAUGUAGAUAACAGCCGCAAAACACUGAGAUUGAAAAUCAGGGCUACUAAAUUCUAUUAAAAGUCCUUAAAAUAGACAGCGAUCACCCUGAAAUGUAUAUACUGAAACUAAGAAAUAUUAAUCGCAAAGUUAUGCAUUAAUAGAACUAUUGACUACUUAUCUUUAGCAUAAAGUAUAUUUUUAACUACAGCUUUCUGCUUUGUUCUAAGAACUAGGCAAAAGUGGUGUAUCUUCAAUCCAAUCAACAUAUAUACCACUUAUCUUCCUCUUCACUUCUGUCUAUUUUGAUUUGCACUUCAUAUCCUGCACUUGCUGCUUAGAAAUAGUCUUUAUUCUGGACAUUGAAAGUAGAAAAAGUACUUGAAACAAUCAUUGGCACAGCCCGAGAUUCCAUUGAAUCGUGGACUCCAAGCUUUCAUAGUUCUAUAAAGAAGAUGACAAAACUUCAUACAACUGGCAUUCUGCUUUUAACAUUUGCACAACCUGAGCGAGUUAGCAAGCCCCUUGUUGCGUUCCCAUUGAAUAGACCUACUUCUGUUAUCCGCAGAAGAUCCACCACUCAAAAUGUUUAUCACCAGGCUAUUCUUAAACUGAGCCUAAACUGAGUAGAAACUUCCGCACAUCUCUCAGCAUUUACAUGAAGAAAUCGACAACUAUCCUCAUCUCUCAGCAUUCUACAAAGUUGCAUUUCACUAAGCAAUCUAUCCUCUCCAUUCCUAGCAAAGUGACAUUGAUUCCCGUAUUUGUAAUCGCCUAACUUGGGUUUUGGGCAUAGCGUGGUCUUAAAAUUACCACCCAAUACUUUGUUCAGUGCCACUGGCAUCCACAAGCUCUAGCCCUGUUAGUUGAAUCAUAUUCAAUGGGACAGUGAGGCAGCAUUUCACUAACAUAUUCAAUUUGACUACUUAUAUUGACGCAAAUAUUAGAAUUUGAAAUCACUUCUUUUAUUGGAAUAUUAUAUUAAUAUGACCCCAAAUGAAAGUUCUUGAAUGGAAAUGAUUUUUAUUUACUUUUCGAACAGAUUCAAGAAAACCCAGAGAACACAAAAUUUACACAGUAAUAUGAUUAAGAGCUGAGAACGUACAUGUAGUAAAUGUCUAUCAAAAAACACCCAAGGGUUUCUUUAAAAUUAGUAACUAGUAAACAAAAAGAAAGAAUCAUUUUACAUUUUUAGCAACUUUGGGGUGAGUGAGUGAGUGAGAAAUUGAAACCCUCAAGUGAUGACAACAGUAAGAUUCAGUAUGAAGUGAAACCCCAAUUUGAAAUGUAGGCAUGAGUUGCUGAGUCAGUAGAUGAAGCUAUAAAUAGGCAUUCGGUUUCCUUCUUUUCGGUUUGGAGGGCCAUGGAAUAGUGUAUUGGAGUGGGCUCCAAGUAAUAGCCUCUAUCACUGGAACGACACAUCUAUAAAAUGUGAUACAUGGGGAAGGAUUGGGCAUUUUAUUCUUAGAUUAGCCCCUUAUUUAGGGUGUAUAUUAAGCAGAUUAUAUAUUACAUGGAGAUGGAGUUUAUGAAAUAGAUUAAAAAGAAAAGGAAAUUUUGGUGCCUAAAGUUUGCCACUUGGAAUAUUUCGGUGUCUAAAAUUCACUCACCACUUAUUUCAUGUUUGAUUAUAUGUUGAAAAGAUAUUAAAAUAGUAUAAUGCUAUUAAGGCUUAACGUAUAUUUUUUAUUAGUAGAGUGUAGAAUUUUUAAGAAAUAAAUUAUUAAAUUAUUAUAACUAACAUAUUAUUUUAAAGUUGUGUUAUGAAAAAAAUGAAAUAAAAAUGUACAGUAAAUAAGAAUAUUUUAAAACUUUUAUCUUUUUAAAAUUAGUUUUUAACAUAAGGUGAACUAUUUUUUUUUUAAAAUCACAUAUUCUAGUUAAAAUCAAAUAUGUAUUUAUACGAAGCUUGUAAUUUUUUUUUUUAGUACUGAUAUUUGAAUAUUAUCAAUAAAAAAAAGGGUAAUGUUCAUGCUGCAUUAUUUUUGUAGCACACAAAAGGACAACACCGUUUAUGGUAUAAUACUAUCGCUUCUGUUAUGAUAAUUUUUUUUGUGGCCAAAUAUCUUUUUUUUUUUUAAGUAAAAAAAAGUGGACAAAAUGCAAAUCAGUUUUUAAUCCUCAAUCUCUCCCAAAAUAUAUAUUUCGGUGUCUAAAAAUUCACUCACAAAACUAUAGCUGACAAAAAGUUACUAACAAAAAGUUAGGUCCAUGGGUUGUUAAAACUAUAGCUGACAAAAAGUUACUAACAAAAACAGAAUGUCCAUUUUAUAACUUUCUUAAAAAACUUUCCUUAACUUUUUAAACAAAAAGUUAUUUCCAAUUUUUAUUUUGUUAUAAUGUUUAUAACAAAAUUCGUAGUUAACUAAACUCUUCUUAUACCCUUUCUCAACUGCCAUACCCUAACCCACUAAACCACGCUCAAUUAAGGCCAUCAGAUUCUCCCGGGCCCACAUUAAUCCAACUGCUCACAGAGACCGACAGCCUCUCUAUCUCCAUUUCAAGCUCCCUCUUCAACUGGCUUCUGCUACCGUCCUACUCUUUCUCGGCUUCGGAGUCCGUAUUUGCUCGGCCUGUCCCACGAAGCUCCCUCUCACUCCAAUUGUCGCCCCACAAGACCAAUUGCUUAAUCAAGACACCGAACAAGAAAAGGAUGAGAAGUUGAAACAAGAAUUUGAGAAUUGGAAAUAAAAAACGUACGCAUUGACCGUGCCUUUGAGAGUCGUUUCUCUUCAGAACUCAGUGCCUCAAUCUUGGAUUAAGGAUUUUAUGCGAAGUCAGGGAAAGAGAUUGAAGUUUCAGAUGAAUUUGUGUGCUAGCAUUGAUGGGAUCUUUAACAAUUUAUCUGUGCCCUUUAACAAAGUUAAGGCUAAGUCAGCUUCUUAUAUGGCUGCUGAUUUGGUUAGUGUUGGUGAUUCAUGGCUUAGUUUUGCCAUUAAAAAGAGAUUGAUUGAGCCAAUGGCUGGAGCUGAAGACCAAGAUUGGUUCAAAUGCUUAAGUCACAAAUGGAAGGUAACAUCUUUGUCUUUGAUCCUCGAGGUAAAAUAUGGGCGGCACCGUACAGGUGGGGCACAACGGUGAUAGCCUACAAGAAAAGUAAAUUUCGAAAGCAUAAUUUGGCUCCGAUUGAGGUAAUAAUUUUCUUUAAACUCAUUUAGUUUUAUAUCAAACAAAAUCAAGACUGCCUUUCUCUUCAAUAUUUUUUAUGAUAAUAUCUUUAGAAGCAUCUCAUUGACGGGUAACAAUGGCAUCCCUGAAAGAGUCUAUAAACUCAAUGAUAUUAUCUUCUACAAAUGGUUCAUUAAACUUUGUCGUUGUACUCAAAUGUACACUCAGAUCAAUGAGAAGCUAUGCUACGUUAGCAUGUAGUGAUGGCACUUAAUAAGUGAGUUGCUAGGAUGUGAACUAGAAAAAUUAAAUAUUGUCUCCUUGGGUAUGCUAGCUGGUAAGUCAGGGUUAAUAUCAGAGCUUAAGAUAGUAUAACCGUGAGAACCUAUUGACUGCCAAUUAAAAUAUCCAUUGAAAUGUCUAGGGAGUUAUGAAGGUGGAGGUAACUUCCAAUUUCUAAGGCCACAGAGUAGACAUCAUCCAGGAUCCUAGGAAAGUCCAGUUAACCUCCUGCUCGAUGCAAUUAAUAAAUUUGGUCAAUGCCACUGAAACCUGCUAACUGACGUCACAAUGCGACAUGAGCACUUCAAAAUGGGACAGACGGUCAGUAGCACUAAAUUUUUCUUGCCCAAGAUUGAGCAAUUGGUCUAACUACUAAUCCCUAUUGUAGGUUGAUCAUUAUUUUUUCAAUUAUGUUCAGUUUGACCCAAAAAGUUGCAGAAUCUUGAGCUGAAUAUUGUCACUGAACACUGUCAAUGUCAUUUAGCAUAGCCAACUAACUUGAUGUUAAAACAAACACACAGUGUGUCUCAUGUCUCACAAUUCAAAUUAUCAUCUGUAAUGUUGGAGAAUUUUUCCAAUGUAUGAAGUAUGCUUUGAUACGUGGGUUACCUUGGAGAAGAUAUCUCAAAAUAAAGAAUAUGGGGAGAAAACAGUUCAGUAGUUUAUUAUUCUGUAGUCAAGUUUUGUCUCGAAAAUGGUCAAAAUUUAAAUGAAUAAGGACAGGGGAUCUUCAUUCUUUUUUCCCUUUUUUAUACCAAGAUAUCUCUCAACCUUUAUAUAAUCCCCACUGGAUAUCUGCUUCUAAUAAUUAAAAUAAAAAUUUCACCGCUCUAACAAUAAAAAGUAACAUCUUUCCUCAAAUAAUUUACAGUUCCUCAUCAUCUUAGUGUGAGACUAUCAGUACAUUCCAAAAACAUAAUAAAACUGGUUUGAUCCUGUUUAUUGAUGUUUAAAUGUUGUUCAUUGUGACAGGUAGAAAUGAUGAGGCGAAGUUUAUUUGGACAUCAAUUAGUAAGAUCUUGUUUGAAGUUGUUUUCUGAAAUGAACUGCCAAAUGGUAGUUUUUUGGGGGCAUUUGAUGGCUCUUUUUUUUUCCUCAUUUUCAACAUGUGCCUGCUUGGAACAUGAAGGAUUAGGCUGCAGAGUUGUUAUAUAUUUUGAGAUGCUCUGGUCAUUGCACAAUUUGUUCACACUGGAAAUUAGAAUGAGAAAUUUGUUGAUGCUGUUUUGAGAGAUCUGCAUUCUAUGCACAAUAACAUGAUUAAUGAAAAUGCAUUGUAGGACUGGAAAGAUCUGUGGCAGCCUGAGCUCGCAGGAAGAAUUUCAAUGGUUAAUUCUCCCCGAGAGGUUAUUGGUUCAGUUUUGAAGUAUAGGGGAACAUCAUACAAUUCAAACUAUAUUGAUUCGCAAGUUGCUGGUGGGAAGAUUGCUGUUCAGCAGAAUCUGGCAUUACUGGCAAACCAGGUACUCUUACAGAAAUCAUAUCUGGUCAUUGCAUGUUAUUGCCUGACAACUGAUUUUGUUUGUAAAAGUCUGCUUCUUCAUACAUAUGAAUGCAUAUGUUAGUGUUUUCUUCUCCUUUUCAUACAUAUAAAUGCAUAUGUUAGUGUUGUCUUUUCCUUUUCACACAUAUUAAUACAUAUGUUGGUGUUCUCUCCUGAGAUGGAUGCAAUAAAGGCUUUUGCUCCUAAAUUUAGCUGAAGAAAUGGCAAGGGAUGUGAGAUUCUGUCUCAUUAAAUUAACAAAAACCCAAAACAAUGAAAAUCCAUAAUAAUGUGGUGUGGGUAAAUUGGCUCCAUUUGGUUCGUUUCCUUAAUGUGAAUGCGCGAGCAAUAGAGACUAACAAAAUGAAGUGACAACAAGAAGUCAGUGUCCUUUGAUGGAUGCAUUUUUAGGCAGAAAUAUGUUUGUAAUUGACCAAAUUUGUCUGGCAUGCCAAUUUCAAAAAAAUUAAAUUAUGUGGUUAUUAGCUGUAAUGAAGGGGGAUAGUAGGUGCAAUCAGGUGUAUCCAGGAAAGUUCAACAAAGUUUUGGUAUGGCGUAGUGAAAUUGGUUUGUGCAACUCAGGAGUCUUUCAGGUGAACGAUGAUAGGUUUUGAUUUAUGAAUAUUAUAAAUCUACUGUGCAUAGUAUUCUAGUAGAAUCAUCUAUAAGUUCUAGUUAUUGUAUACUUUGCCCGGUUUGAGUUAAGGGCACAUGUAAUAUGAAAGAUAGUUGUCGCAUCUUUUAGGUUACCUAACAUUUGAUCAAUCCUAUUAUGGGGGCUUCAAGAUGUCUAACAAUAUGUAGAAUGCCCAUGCUCCUCCCCAUUGUUUAUCUUCUACAAUAAUUUGUUUUAGAUGCUAAUAUCUUUGUCGAUACCGGUAACAAUAUUACAAUAUCUGCGUUUAUUGGGUUUUACAUAGGUUCGACUGUUUGACAGUACACACUAUCUGAAGGCAUUUGCAAUUGGAGAUGUAUGGGUUGCUGUUGGGUGGAUUAGUGAUGUUCUUCCUGCUGUCAAACAUAUGUCUAAUGUUGCUGUUGUUGUUCCCAAGUCUGGUGCUAGCUUAUGGGCUGAUCUUUGGGUAUACCCAUGCCUGCCAUUCUACUUCAAUAUUCACAUUGUUAUCUCCUUCAUAUUAGUGAUCAGUAAACACGAUAAUGUGACUAAUAAGUUCGUAUUCUCUUUAUAGGCAAUCCCUGCUGCCUCAAGACUUGAAACAAAACAAAUUGGAGGGCGAGUCAGAGGUGCAUUUCCAUUAAUCCAUCAAUGGAUAGAAUUCUGCUUGCAAACAGCGAGAGCAUUGCCUUUCAAGCAAGAGGUUAUCCCGAGCGCAUCUCCCUCUGCCCUUGAGAGUACUCUGGUUAAGUUGCCUGAAGAACUUUUCAAGGGUAAACCAAGUCUGGAUACUAACUUAAUUGCUGGAGUACCCCCGACUGAAAUUCUGGCCAGAUGUGAGUUUUUGGAGCCUUUAUUUGAAGCUACAUUGUCGGAUUAUGAGUGGCUGGUUACUAAUCUGCAAAAAUCCACUCCUGUACUGAUCAACAAGAUGCAACAUUACAUGUCAUCAUUGAUCUUUAGCUAAAGGUACAUUGAAAAGUUAAUGGCACUGCAUACCAGUCAUUAUAAUUGGGUCAGGGCAAUUAGGUCAGAGCAUAACUUCAUUAGGAAAAGAUGCUUCAGCUACGUUAAAUAUUACAGGAUGUACUGAGAUGGCUGAAGCUGUUGAGGUUUUACGAGAAUCGAAAGAUAGUGUUUGUUUGAACAAAGUUGUUGCCAAUCUUGCAGAGUUCGAGAAGAAAGAUCACGAAGUGAAUGCCACCGAUUUCUUCAUCAUUGUAGCCUCCAUAGUUGAAGUUUCCUCAUUUGAAGCUGUUUAUGCAUAUGUUUUUUCCCUGCUCAAGUACAGGAAAUUGAAGAAUUAACCAGAUGUGAUAUGCUGAAAGAGGGAAGUUUUCUUCCUUGAAUGUGGUCUUUGUGAUUUGUCUUGAAGGAAUAGGGUGAUCACUGGCAAGAACCCUAUCAAGGUAGAUUUUAUGAUGUUAACAUAUCAUUAAGCAUUUUGUUACAUCAGCAAUGAUGCUUUCAUAGCAGCAUGAAAGUGUUUAAAUUUAACUGAAUGAUCUUGAUUGAUCAAUUAUGAGUUUUAAUCGAGUAAAAACUAAAUACAAUCAUCGUUAACAAAUAUUGAAAUUGGGUAAAUAAGAUCUUGAUAUUGAAGAAUUUGAAAUCACAACCCACACAGGAAAUCACCCUUCGCGUGGGGAUGGAGAUGUUUACUGCAGCGAUAUUGAAUAUGUCCACCGCUCUUUGGGUUAUGGUGCGACUUGCCCUGAAACAAUGGAAAAGAAUAAUUAAUAAUUUAACGCCAAGACAUAAAAUUAAAACGUGUGGACUCCGGUAGCUGCCCUACAAGUCUACAACUCUACAAACAUUAACUCUACAAACAUUAAAACGUGUGGACUCCGGUAGCUGCCCUACAAGUCUACAACUCUACGAGAAUAAUUUCUAGCCCUGUUGACUCCACUAACUAAAGAAAUUUCAAAACGUACAUAGAAUUCCACAACAAGCAAAACGUAUGGAAUUUAAUUUUUUGCCGUGUGGAACAAAAUACAAUUUAACAAAAAAGGAUAAGAAAAAUGGUAAGAUUUCUAAAAUGCAUGGAAGGUGAUUCAUAUUUUACUGAAACGACUUGUCCUGAACAUUAAGACGAUUGAUUUUUUUUUUUUUUUUAAUAACAUCAACUUCCAUAUCUUUCUAACCCCUAGAAUAUGCUCACGUUCAAGUCUAUCUUGGUAAUUUGAAAAAGAAAAUCAAAUCAAAUCAACACCAAAACAAUGAAAAGUAAAACUUUUGAAUUUCAACUUUAAACUUUUGUUAACCCCUAGAAUAUUCAGCGUUUUCAAAUUCUUCCGAUUGCAUAUCUUCUUCCUCCAUCAAUGCAAUAUUUGAACGAUUAUGAAAGAGUUUAAGAACAUAAAAAAUCUCCAAGGUUUAUACGGUAUAACAAAUUUAAAUUCUCAAUUACAAUAGAUAAUAAUUAAACUAAUAAUUUUUUAUGUACUUAUUUUAGUAAUUUCACCUAAGAAUAAUAUUGUAAUUAGAAAAAAAAAUCUAAUAAGUAGGGUGGUCUUAUACAAAAUCAACUGUACUGUGAUGAGUUUCCUUUUGUUAAUAAUUUUAGUCUAAUUUCAAUUGUACUGUGAUCGCUUCUCAAGGUAAGUGAAAGUUACAGAUGUGGCAAAAUAAAUAAUUAAGUUAACAAAAUGCUAACUAAUUUUCCUCAAUACCUAGGGUUGUACAAUUUCACCAACCUGGAAGAAUUGACAUUAAUGGACUGGUCUCCUCCCCAUAUAAUUAUAAUCCUUCUAGAAAGCUAUUUUUUAUUAAAUAUUUGCUUUUAAGUUAAUUUCAAUUAAAAAAUGUUUUAAGUUAUAUAUACUCUAAUGAGAUUCUGAAUUCCUUUAUUCCAAUAAUAAUGAAAACGUAUUAAAUUAGAAAUGAAAAAAUUGGUGUUGAUGAUUCAACCUAUUUGGAUAGAUUACGUGAAUAAAAUUAAAAUUUUGAUUUAAUUUUUGUUUAUUGUUAAUUCUCAGGCUAUCUUAAUUUCAAGAAUUUAGAAUGUUAAUUUGGUCAUGGAUUUCAACCCGUGAGUGUCAUAUUCUAGACUUAAUGGUACCAUUCUUUGAUUGAGGGCAAUGACUCUCACUCCUCUUGUAAAAAAAUAUUUUCAACUAUUUUGAUGACUUAAAAAUUGAUAGAUUUAUUGUUGUCAUGACCAAAUUAUUCAUUUUAAUGAAAUAUAAUUAAUGCAUCAAAGUUACCAGGUUUAUGUUCUAUCUUAAUGCGCUUUUUUUUUUUUUUUCAGUUAUAGCUUCUGCUUACGUCUGUUUCAUUUUUUUUUAAUAAAAAAACAAGGGAAGGUUUUUCCGAGUCAUCCAUUAUUUGAUUACCGUCAAUCAAGAAAACAACCAAAUUAAUUUCUCUCCAAAAUUUCCAAAAGCUAGAAAAUUUUGUUAUUUGAAAAUAACAUCAUUAAUUAUAGAGUGGAUCAAACCGCGUUAUUGUCUUUCAUAAAAUUGAUGUCUUUUUAAGAGUCAAUACUUUUUAUUUACGCAAACCAGUCGACAUCACACAUAUACUCUUUAAUUUGAUAAAUGGUUACACAAAUUUUGUUUACAAAAAUAUAUUAUUCAUGUUCUGUAUUAUUUUUUAACAUCAUAUUUUUAUUUAUUAUAAUUGUUUAAAGUUAAUUGUUAGGUUGAUAUAUAAUAAAAACGUAUAAUCGUUCUCUUACUAAACACACAUACUCAUAGUUUCUGUUCAUUUGUCAUCUCAAUCUAUCUCAUUUAUCCUUUGUUGAUAGCUCAAAACGCGUCACUGUGGAAAAUUAUAGCAAAACGACAAAUAUGGAAAAAAAUGGGAAGAAAAUUAAUGCAUGAAAGAGUUGCAGAAGACAACCAAAUAAGUCAACUAUACGCUAGUUGGGUGUAUAAAUUGUUAGAUGUGUUAUAAACAAAUAGCAUAGAGCCUUGGUUGGUUACAGAGAUAGAAAAAGUGUGUGUGUUUUUUAGAACUUAAAGAUAUAGUUAGAAUGGGUGGUUCAAAAUCAAAAAUGGUGAUAAUGUUUGUUCUGUUAUUAAUAAUAUUAGAAGGUGGGUGGAGUGAAGGAUGUUUGGAUCACGAGAGAUUUGCUCUUUUGCGACUCAAACAUUUCUUCGAUGAUACUGGUAGUUAUCUUUACAACUGGGGAGAUGGUGAGGGAGCUACUGAUUGUUGUCAGUGGGAAAGGGUUGAGUGCAGCAACACCACAGGCCGAGUGAUAGCGCUAGACCUUUUUGGCACGUAUCGGCGAGAGUACAGCUGGUAUUUGAAUGCUUCUUUGUUUACUCCCUUCCAACAACUUGAGUCACUUGAUUUACAUGGCAAAAAUAUAGCUGGUUUUGUUGAGAAUGAAGGUGCUUCGUCUAAUUCAAUUAAAUUACAUUUCGCUCUCCUAAUUUAAGUCGAAUAUCAAGACUGAGCAGCUAUAUGCAUAUUCAUUCAAUUGACAAUUUUUACAUAUUUUUUAAAAUGUUUAAUUUUGAAAUUACACCAAACAUCAUAUGUGAUCUUUGUUUUGAUUUUACUUGCAGGUCUAGAAAGAUUGAGCAACUUGAAGAGGCUUGAUUUAAGUCAUAACUUGUUCAACAAUAGCAUCUUAUCAUCUGUGGCUCAUCUUUCAUCACUAACAUCAUUAGAUUUAUCUGAAAAUAGAUUGGAAGGAAGUAUUAAUGUUAAAGGUACGUAAUUAAAACGUCAUCGCUUUUCCCAACUCUUUCAUUAACAUGUUAAAAUAAGAUUCAAGGCUUUGAAUUCAAUUUUUUUUAUGAGUAAAUAUUAGAAAAAUAGUUUUAAGCAAUUCAUAAAUACAAUUUUCAAUGUUUCUCAUAAUUACUCUAACUGUGAAGCAAAUACCCCAUGACUAAUUUAUCAUUUUGUCCAGUUAAAAAUGAUAAAAUUUAUCAUUUGUUUAUAUUGAUUUAUUAACUCUAUUUUAAGUCUUAAGUCUUGGCGUCUUGGCAUGUUUGCAGAAUUUGAUUCCUUGAGCAACUUAGAGGAGUUGGACAUGAGCUACAAUGAAAUAGACAAUUUCGAGGUUCCUCAAGGUAAACAAUUAAAAUAUUAUUUAAUUACAUUAAUUUAAUUCGUUUGAUUAGGGAAGACCCAAAAUGUACAAAAACAUAAUUAAAAAAAAAUAAAGAAACAGAGAAUUCAUAUUAUUUCAAAAAACAAAAGGUAAUACUAUUAUUUCAAAAAAAGAAUGUAAUAAAGAUUUGAUUCCGGUUCUUUAAUCUUUAUAGCAAUUGAACAACAAUGUUGCUCUUUUCCUAAAGCAUAAAAUAUGAAAUGAGUCAUAAUUGAAUUAGUCAUUUAUUUUGUUUAGAUCUAAAUUUAGACAAUAAAUUUUGAUUUUUUUUUCAAUCCUAUCCUUAUUAUUAUUGUUAAACAGGUUACAGAGGUUUGAGGAAGUUGAAAAGCCUCUAUCUAUCGAAUGUUGGAGUUAGAGAUGGAAGCAAGUUGUUACAGUCUAUGGGAUCAUUCCCAUCCCUCAACACUCUUUACCUGAAGGAUAAUAAUUUUACCGAUAUAGCGACAACUACUACUCAAGGUAAGUAAAAGGUACAUAUGUGGCCAAAUUUAUAAAUAAAUUGUUAAUUAAUUAAUUUUUCCGUAUUAUUAAUAAAGCUAAAUUCGUCGCUCAUUCCUUCUAAUUCUAAACAGAGUUGGCAAUUUCACCAACUUGGAGUAUUUGACAUUGGACUUGUCCUCACUCCAUUUAAGCCUUCUGCAAUUGCUUGAAGAAUGAAUUUAUUUAUUUAUUUAUUAUUAUUAUUAUUGUUGUUGUUGUUGUUGUUGUUGUUGAAGUGAGGUGGGCAAGCGUUCACUCAAUUAAUAUGUGAGGAAUUAAUAAUUACAAUCCAAGGUAGAAUUGUGGAAAAUUAAAGCAAAAUGAGAAAUAUGGAAAGAAAGGAAGAAAGUUAAGGGCAUGAAAGACUAGGAGAAGACUAAAGACCACCAAAUAAGUCAACUGAAAACUAGCUGGGGCCUGGGUGUACAAAUUGUUAGAUGUGUUUGUUAUAAAUAACAUAGAGCCAUCUUGUUGGUUGCAGAGGCAGAGAGACACAGAGUGUGCAUUUUAUUAAUUAAAAAUAUAUAUAAAAUGGGUGGUUCAAAAUCCAAAAUGGUGAUAAUGUUAGUUUUGUUAGUAUUAAUAAUAUUAGAAGGGAGGUGGCGUGAGGGAUGUUUGGUGCAUGAGAGAUUUGGUCUUUCGAGACUUAAAACAUUUCUUCAAUUCUCCUUAUAAUUUUUGUCACGACUGACCGUUGUCAAUAGAAUGGGGCUGGGUGCAGGGUUGAUUUACGUUAGAACAAUAUAGCCGGUAGUGUUGAGAAUGAAGGUGUUUCAUUUAAUUUAAUUAAUUUACUUUCUCCCUCCUAAUUUAAGUGGAAUAUCAAGACAGAACAAUUAUAUGCAUCUUCGUUCAGUUGACAAUUUUGACAUAUUUUUUUAAGUGAUUAAUUUUGAAAUUACACCAAACAUUAUUUGUGAUCUCUGUUUUGACUUUACUUGCAGCGCUAGAGACGUUAUCAAGAUUGAGCAACUUGACGAUACUUGAUUUAAGUUAUAACUUGUUCAAUAAUAGCAUCUUGUCAUUUGUUGCCCGUCUUUCAUCAUUAACAUCAUUAGAUUUAUCUUACAAUGGAUUGGAAGGAAGUAUUAAUGUUAAAGGUACGUAAUUAAAACGUCAUCGCUUCUCCCAACUCUUCCAUUAACAUGCUAAAAUAAGAUUCAAGGCUUUGAAUUCAAUUUUUUUUUAUGAGUAAUAUUAGAAAAAUAGUUUUAAGCAAUUCAUAAAUACAAUUUUCAAUGUUUCUCAUAAUUUCAUCUUGUACUUUUGUAUGUCUUGACUUUAAGAUUAAAAAAAAAUUACUCUAACUGUGAAGCAAAUACCCCAUGACUAAUUUACAAUUUUGUCCAGUUAAAAAUGAUAAAAUUUAGGGAAAUUAUCAUUUGUAUACCCUUAGUUUACUCUAUUAUCAAAAAUACUACAACACUUUGAGGGUGUAUCAAUCGUCCACCCUAAGUUGACAAAAUGUAUUAGCCAACCACCAAACCGUUAGUUGCCGUUUAAAUAUGAUAACAUCAUAAGGGUAAUCUGGUCUUUUCAUAUGAUACAAGUGAUAAUUUAAGGGUAUACAAGUGAUAAAAAGAGAGUUUAAGGGAUACAAGUGAUAAUUUUCAAGGGUAAAAUCGUCAAUUUACUGUAAUUCCAUUAACUUUCAAACGGCAAUUAACAGUUUGGUGGUCGGUUGAUACAUUUCAUCAACUUAGGGUGGACGAUUGAUACACCCUUAAAGUGUUGUAGUAUUUUUGAUAAUAAAGCAAAUAUAGGGUAUACGAAUGAUAAUUUCCCUAAAAUUUAUCAUUUGUUUAUAUUGAUUUAUUAACUCUAUUUUAAGUCUUAAGUCUUAAGUCUUGGCAUGUUUGCAGAAUUUGAUUCCUUGAGCAACUUAGAGGAGUUGGACAUGAGCGGCAAUGAAAUAGACAAUUUCAAGGUUCCUCAAGGUAAACAAUUAAAAUAUUAUUUAAUUACAUUAAUUUAAUUCGUUUGAUUAGGGAAGACCCAAAAUGUACAAAAACAUAAUUAAAAAAAAAUAAAGAAACAGAGAAUUCAUAUUAUUUCAAAAAACAAAAGGUAAUACUAUUAUUUCAAAAAAAGAAUGUAAUAAAGAUUUGAUUCCGGUUCUUUAAUCUUUAUAGCAAUUGAAAAACAAUGUUGCUCUUUUCCUAAAGCAUAAAAUAUGAAAUGAGUCAUAAUUGAAUUAGUCAUUUAUUUUGUUUAGAUCUAAAUUUAGACAAUAAAUUUUGAUUUUUUUUUCAAUUCUAUCCUUAUUAUUAUUGUUAAACAGGUUACAGAGGUUUGAGGAAGUUGAAAAGCCUCUAUCUAUCGAAUGUUGGAGUUAGAGAUGGAAGCAAGUUGUUACAGUCUAUGGGAUCAUUCCCAUCCCUCAACACUCUUUACCUGAAGGAUAAUAAUUUUACCGAUAUAGCGACAACUACUACUCAAGGUAAGUAAAAGGUACAGAUGUGGCCAAAUUUAUAAAUAAACUGUUAAUUAAUUAAUUUUCUGUAUUAUUAAUAAAGCUAAAUUUUUGCUCAUUCCCUCUAAUUCUAAACAGAGUUGCACAAUUUCACCAACUUGGAAUAUUUGACAUUGCACGGUUCCUCUCUCCAUAUAAGCCUUCUGCAAAGCAUUGCAUCAAUAUUCCCUUCGUUAAAAAAUCUGUCGAUAUCUUAUUGUGAAGUCAAUGGUGUCGUACAUGGUCAAGGUAAAAGAAAAGUGUUGGUUGUGCACUCACUGAGUGUUGUCCUACGUAUUCAAUAUUUUUAUUUAUUUAUUUUAUUGUUUAAUGUUUCUGCUAGGUUUUCCUCAUUUCAAGAGUUUGGAACAUUUGGGCAUGAUGUCCACGCGCAUUGCACUCAACACCAACUUUCUUCAAGUCAUCAGUGAAUCGAUGCCUUCUCUUAAGUACUUAUCACUGUCAUAUUCUACUCUUGGCACUAACAGCAGCAGGAUUCUUGAUCGAGGUUAAUCAGAUGCUCCCACCCUCCAUUCUUAAUCUAUAAUAUUAAUUUUCAGUUAAAUAUUUAAUUACACAAACCAAUCACUUAUUAUAAAAGAACAAUACGCAUUCAUUAAUUUUUAUAUUAUAUUAAUUGAUGAAUUUAAUAAAUUCCAGGCCUCUGUUCGCCGGUGCAUCUGCAAGAGUUAUACAUUGGUUCUAACGAUUUAAGAGGUAGCUUGCCUUGGUGCAUGACAAAUUUGACAUCCCUCCGAAUAUUAGAUGUUUCUUCCAAUCAACUUACUGGAAGCAUCUCCUCGUCUCCCCUCAUUCAUUUGACAUCCAUUGAAAAGCUGUAUCUUUCAAACAAUCACUUCCAGAUCCCAAUUUCACUUGAACCACUUUUCAAUCAUUCAAGACUCAAGACUUUUUAUGCUGACAACAACGAACUAAAUGCAGAAAUAACUCAGUCACAUUCUUUGACCGCCCCAAACUUCCAAUUAUCACGUCUCUCAUUGUCUUCCGGUUAUGAAGAUGGCGUCACAUUCCCCAAAUUCCUUUACCAUCAACAUGAUCUGGAGACUGUUGAGCUCUCACAUAUAAAGAUGAAUGGAGAAUUUCCAACUUGGUUGUUGGAAAACAACACAAAAUUGAGACAACUUUCUCUCGUCAAUGAUUCUCUUGGAGGACCUUUCCGGUUGCCAAUUCAUUCACACAAGCGGUUAGGAAUGUUGGAUAUAUCCAACAACAACUUCCGAGGCCACAUUCCAAUAGAAAUUGGAGAUGUUUUACCAAGUCUAUACCUUUUCAACAAUUCCAUGAAUGCUUUAGACGGUAGCAUUCCCUCUUCAUUUGGUAAUAUGAAAUUCCUCCAAAUUCUGGACUUAUCCAACAAUCACUUGACUGGUGAAAUCCCCGAGCACUUGGCCGUUGGUUGCGUCAACUUGCAGUCUCUUGCAUUAUCAAAUAACAACCUACAAGGUCACAUGUUCUCUAGAAAUUUUAACUUGAUAAACUUGAAAUGGUUACAAUUGGAGGGCAAUCGCUUCAUAGGUGAGAUCCCACAAAGUUUGUCUAAAUGCUCCUCACUAGAAGGAUUGUAUCUUAACAAUAAUAGUCUUUCGGGUAAGAUUCCACGAUGGUUGGGUAAUCUCACAUGGUUACAAUAUAUUAUAAUGCCCAAUAAUCAUCUUGAAGGCCCUAUUCCAGUGGAGUUUUGUCAGCUUGAUUUGCUUCAGAUUUUGGACAUUUCAGACAACAACAUAUCUGGAAGUUUACCAUCUUGUUUCCAUCCUCUCUCUAUCAAACAAGUUCAUCUUUCAAAAAAUAUGUUACAUGGACAGCUAAAAAGAGGUACAUUCUUUAAUUGCUCUUCCCUUGUGAUAUUAGAUCUUAGCUAUAAUCGCUUGAAUGGCAGCAUUCCGGAUUGGGUUGAUGGGCUUUCUCAGUUAAGCCACCUUAUCUUAGGUCAUAAUAAUCUUGAAGGUGAAGUGCUAGUUCAAUUGUGCGAAUUGAACCAACUACAAUUGUUAGAUCUUUCUAAUAAUAAUCUUCACGGUCCUAUUCCUCCUUGCUUUGAUAACACCACACUUUAUGAAAGUUACAGCAAUAGUUCUAGUCUUGAUGAGCAAUUUGAAAUAUUUUUUUCCAUCGAAAGCCCUCAGGGAAAUGUAGAAAAGCAAAUCCAUGAAAUUUUUGAGUUCACAACAAAGAACAUUGUGUACAUUUACCAAGGAAAAGUGCUUAGCCUCCUAUCAGGACUUGAUCUUUCUUGCAACAAGCUAAUUGGUCCUAUUCCUCCUCAAAUUGGAAAUUUGACAAGGAUUCAAACAUUGAAUCUAUCACACAACGACUUGAUAGGAUUGAUCCCAUCAACAUUUUCAAACUUGAAGCAUGUCGAAAGUUUGGAUCUUUCCAACAACAAAUUGAAUGGGAAAAUCCCUCAUCAACUAGUGGAGUUAAAGACAUUGGAGGUUUUCAGUGUGGCAUACAAUAACUUAUCAGGCGAAAUUCCAGAAUGGACUGCACAAUUUGCAACCUUCAAUGAGAGUAGCUAUGAGGGAAAUACUUUUCUUUGUGGAUUGCCAUUGCCCAUUUGCAGAUCACCAGCAACUAUGUCGGAGGCUUCAAUUGGCAAUGAACGAGAUGAUAAUUUAAUUGACAUGGACAAUUUCUUUAUCACAUUUACAACAUCGUACGUAAUUGUGAUAUUUGCAAUUGUUAUUAUUUUAUAUGUAAAUUCUUAUUGGCGACGUAGAUGGUUUUACUUUGUUGAAAUGUGGAUAACUUCAUCUUACUAUUUUGUUGUAGACAAUCUUAUUCCAACAAGAUUUUAUCAUUGAAAUUAAUUAGUAGUUUAAUUACGAUUCUUUAAGUACUAAUCAAGUUUGUUUAGGAAAUAUUUUUUUAUUAAAAUUGUAGUAGUAUUUAGCAUUAUAUAGCUUCCAACUUCCAAGCACUUCACAUUUGUCUCUACACUUAAAAAACUGAGUGAUCAUGUUUUGCAGAUCUGGAUUUGGAGCAGGAUGGAUCCAAACCCAUAUCUGUCCACCGUAACUUAUAGCUUCCCUAUACUGUGCAGCAUACUUAAAUAAGAGAACCAUCUCCAAUGUUAAAAGCAUUCACUCUAUAACAUUCAUUUAGAAACUAUAUUCAGAAUAAUUUUAUAAUUAAACACAAGAAAUGAAACACACAGAUACACUUGAUCGCCUAUUUUACUCUAAAAAAGAACGAUUAUUGUGCUAUCAUCAUCUUCUUCACUAGCAACAUUAACACCAAAUCGAUGGACCCAUACAUUUCAUCAAGAAAGGUCUAUAUCCAAUAAAGUUGAAGCCUAACAAAAAAUUCAAGAAGAUUCAUGCCUCGCCACAACAAGGGGCACAACAACAUCAAAGUAGAGAUUAAGCAGUAUUCUCAAAGCUAAAACUCUCAAAUCCACCCACCAGAAUUUCAUAUCUCCUCAACAAUUUUAAGAACUAAAGAUAAUUAGGAUUUAACAUUAGUUUUUUAUAUAUUAGUUUCAUAAUUUACAAAUCAAUGAAGAUGAAGAUUAUGCUAAUAAAUUCAAAUUAUACCAUACAUUCUCUAGAUGUUACCAAAAAUUUCUAAGUCAAUCCCACAUAUUUCAUAAUUUUAAGACUAGAAAAUUUCACUAGUUAGAAGUUUCAUUACCUUCAAGUGGAAGAUGAAGAACAUUAUACAAGUGAUUCAGAUUAUAUCAUACAUACUCCAAAUGCAACUAGAAAUUAACAAGUUCAUGCACACAUAUUUCAUAACAUUAUGAUUGAAAAGUUUCACAGAGAAAUUCUAAAUUCAAUCUCUUGCAUGAAGGCAAUUUGAUUGAUUUGAGUUACUUUCUUAUCAAGCUACUAAUAUAACAUUCAAGUCAGGGAGAAAAUAAAUUAAAACUGGGAAGAAAUAACAGUAAAAAUUUGUUGCUCAACAUGAUGUGUAUUUUUUUUCAAGGCAAUUUGGAAACACAAUUGUUACCACAGAUAUUCUUCUCAACUUGGAGAUAAAUACAAAUAUUAAAAUGCAUAUGAUCGCACAUACUACUUCGAGUUUAGUAAGAUUUCAUUAAAAGAAGCAAUCAAACCACUUAUCAAUUGUCGCAGUCGUUCUAUAAACUAAAAUAGCAAUAUAAUACAAGAAAAAGAACAUAUAGAUACUUGGCAAGAGUUCAUUAAGAAGUCACAUCACAUUCAGGUGAGGAGUUUGCUUCUGAUAUCUUGCUAGCUGGGGCUUUUUCUUGUCUUUCUACGUAUGCCGAGGGAAACCAACCAGCUUGGCCCUUGCAUUCACCUUCCGACCAUCCAAUAGGAGCCACCUUGAGAAGUUAUAACUAAAAUGGUGAAUUAAACAAAAGUUGACCGUUCAAAGACCUAAGGGGAAAACUAAUUCUUUUACGUAGGAGGAGUGAAUUAGUUGUGAUCACUGAAAUAACAGCAUAACUAUGGAAGCAUAACAAGAUAUAAAUUCACACGUCUAUAAGGGUAAACUGGGUGGUUGAGAACUGAGCUAGCAACCCUACUAUAUUCUGAUUUGCACUUCAAUGUAAAAGGGAAUAUAUGGUAGGAAGAAAGAAAACCAACCAUCAUUUGUUAACUCAUUGCUUUUCAAUCAAAAUUUUAAGAACAAAAUGCCAUGUGCUUUGAACAUCAAAUAAGUAUAAGCAUUAGUUCUAAAUUCCACAUAUCAUAAGUUGUUAGAAGGAUAAGUUAAUAGCAGAGUAGAAAAAUCUAUGUGUUGGUAUUUAGAGGGGAAAGUACCUGGCGAACCACAACAUAAUCAUCAAUUGAAAGACUUAGCUCUCCAUUUGCUUGAGCAUCAAAUGGAUGUAUAACCUGCAAGAUAAUGGGAUAAAUAGAACAUAAAAAAAGCAUAACAAAAGCGGCAACAGUAGCAGCAACGUUCAUUGUAACCACUAUGAUCAUGGCCAACAAAGAUAUAUUAGAAACAAAAUUCCAUUUUUACUACGACAUUAAUAUGUACUAUACGAUAUCAUGACGAUUGGGUUACUAAGAGCUAUCAAAGUCUAAUAAGUUCUGUAUAACUUUAUGUAGUUAUUUAAAUUAUGGAUCAGAUUUUAAAUUUGAAAUUUUGACUGCUCUCCACAAAACAUGGCCUAUGCACAAGAAAGUCAUAGAUAAUGAGGAUUACAAGUGUCCGACAUCUUUUGAGUGAUGGAUUUAACAUGAGAGCUUAUGGUCAGUCAAUUUCCUCUGCCUAGCAAUAUAAGCUUUCUCGGCCAGAUUUAUCAUCAAAUACAUAGAUUGCCCCCAAGUCACAUCCAUAUAAACAUAGUUUUUCUAGGUAAACCAAGUAAGGAGUAUCAUAAUUCAGACAUAAUCAUAAAAAGGCCCAUCUAACUUAAGAGAAAAUCUCAAAAAGAGGGAUGCUGAGCUAUCAGUCUUGUAUCUAUAAGCAAUAUCAAGACUUUACGUCACCUGCUACAUCGUGAGUGGCUACACAACUUUCAGUGGUUUGUCUUUCUUUGGCACGCCUAACUCAGCUUUGAUGUUGCUGAGAUAUUGAUAGUAGAGACACAUGAUACUUCUAGCUCAUGCAUUCUAUCUAACUCAUCCAACAACUAUCUCUUUUUUAAUUCAUUAGUGUUUGCUAAACCUCAUGCUUAAAAGUCCUGUUCUCCUAAACAAAGUUUCCUAAGAAUGACUUCCUUAGCACCACAGUUGGACACUUUUAGAGCAAUUUUAUUUGGGGGAAAAGAAUUUUCAAGGUGUUAACUAAUAAAUUUUAAAAAAUAAUUACAAUUUGUCCUACGAUCAUAUGACAAUUUAUCUGGGAUGAAAGGAUACAGAUAGACAUCUUCCACUUUCAAGACUAAUCACUACUUCCGUAGAUGUUGUGCAAUAAUACAAAUACUUGACCAGAUGGUAGAAAAAAAUUUUAUUGCUCCAAAAUUAAAAUAAGAAUGCAAUAUGUUAAGCAAAAGGCUGUGCAACAUCAAAUUAAUUGAUAAGUUUGUAAUUCAGUAAAUUAACAACUUUCAUGGUAAAAUACAACAAAUUUCUUUUGAAAAAAAAUAAAUAAAUCUUAAAAGACAACAUUCAAUUUUGUGUACAUCUUAUUUCUUAAGAUUUUUCAGGAGGAGGGCAAUAGAGGGACUUUCACCUAUGCAAGAGAGCAGAAGCCUUACUUUCCCUAUAAAGUAGACGUCAUUCUGAUUAAUAUGCGUUUGCAAAUCAGCUCCGUUUGAAUCAGUAUUCUGAUAGACACACGAGGCAUUUACAUCCAUUUCCAAAGUCACAUGUUGCGAGGAGGACUCAUUUGAUUGCUCCUAUACGAUCAUCUAAUUCAAGUAGCAAGGGUUGGAAGAGAAUAAAAAGUCACAAUUAUUCUUUUGCAUAAGUGAGACGAAAAUGAUAAAUGCAAUAUUAUCAGCAGUAAACAAGAAGAGAACGCUCCAAGAAAUAGAUAGAUGCAGACAGGCAAGUUAAAAUGCAUAGUCCCAAACCUCCGCAUACAACUUCUCUAAAAUAGCAAUAACGUGUUGAUGCUAUGUUUUCUCAGCAUCUACCUGCAAAGGCCCGAGACCAGGAAAACAACAAUAAAGGAGAAAGUAAAGAAAGAAAUACACUUGACAUAAAUCUUGAAAAGAAGCACAAUUUAAGACAUAACAAACCCCAAUCAUAUUGUUUAGAACUACCAUUCGUUAUUUCGUUAUUGUAGCAUUUCGAACAAGCGUUGACUUAAUUCAACAUUGUUGGAAAGAUAGGCUUUUAGAAGCGGAAGAAAGCCACUCAAACCAAAGUGAUUGUCCUUGUAUUGAUCAAGGGAUGUAAACAUAUUACAUUUGCAGGAUGAGUUUUAAUCACUCCCCUGAUUUAUUUGGGAUGCAGUAAAACUAAGCGAGCAACUGUUUGACUUUCAAGCAACAUCUAAAUCAGCUAUUAAAAUUCAAAUAAAAUUAUAAUAGAAUAAUAACAGGCCAUCUUGCAUCAAAAAUUAAGUUUAAUUUGUGAAUUUUUUUCUAUAGACAUGUUAGUUCCUGCUAUUGAAAUGUUAAAAGCAUUGAAAAAUUAUUCAAUAAAUUAUGCAAACAUUAAAAUAGAGGACAUAUUAAAAAGUUUCUAAUUACAAUGUUAAGAUUUCCUAUAUUUUAGCAUUUGCAUAUUUUAAUUUAUUUAAAAGCUACGUAGAUCAACUUUGGGCAUGAAGAUUUUAGCUUCUACGAGACUUGAUUGGAAUAUGCAUAAGGAAGUGUGUUAAAAUAUGAUGCAUCCAACGAAAGACAAACCACGUGUAGUCUUUUAAUUAAGCCAAAGUAGCAGCUCAAACAAAUGACACUUGGACCAACAUGCAAUCAUGAAGUGGCCGGAAAAAGGACAAAUGCAACUUUGGCUUAAAUAAAAAAUAACAUGUGACUCGACUUUUGCUGGACAUGCAUCAUGUUAUUACAAGACAACAAAAAUCAGUAUGAUAGUACUAAAAGUUGACAAUAACAUGAAGAUAAGAGGCAGAAUGUCAACACAUGCAUAGGCACACACAAGAAAGUAUUAACGUAUAUACCAUAGCAAAAAGUAUUUGAUAUGUCAUCUGUUGCUGCUGUGAUUCAACUGACAGCAUGGCAGCUGUUGCUUCUCUACCAAGAGCCAUUAUUGUAGAUUUAAGCUCGGUCAAUCUUGCUUCUGCAUUUCGAAGCUUCACAGCACUCUCUGCUGAUAUAUCAGAUUCCCUAAUCUUUGAUCGGUGCCUAAAUACUUCAGCUGCCUGGUGAAAAUAUUCAAUAUAAAUCUAAUAUAAUUCUCAUCUUGCCUUAUGCAUGCAUAUGUUACCUCAAAGCUUACCUGGGCUUCAACUUCAUGUCGAAGUUUGUCAUAACGAUGAGUCAGGUGUCGAGCAUCUUCCAAAGGUGCUCCGUUGAUUAACGCCCGUAGUGGCUCAGAUACCUACAUGUCCAAAAACCUGUAACAUAGUUAGAAAAAUGAAAAGAAAGAGCGAAACCUCAAUUAAAAAGUUCCUCCAACAUAAUCAUGGAAUUUGGGCCUACUUCAAGGAUAUAUAUAUAAGGAUAAUUUAUGCAAUUUUGGGUCUUAGGAUGAUUCAUAUUAGGUUAGUGUUCUUCUCUUCUGUAUUUAAGGUUAAAAUAGAAAUAAACCUAUGCAAAUAUAUAAAUUAGGGCUGUAAGACUUCCACAUGCAUCCUUCAGUCUCAUGGAUUUGAUUUUACUAUAGAUGCAAGUGUCUUUAUCGAAAAUGCUUGGAGUCAAUUGAGAGAACUCACGGCCAAUAACUUGUCACACGCUAGUCUUUGCUAGUGAUGUAAGAAGUCACAAGGUCUCUUCAGCAUUUGAACCAAUAAAAUUAUUAAGUCAUGGAUGUCACUAGCAAUGAUUUUAAUAUAAAAUAUUAAAUAUUUCAAGUUGUAACUUUAAAAUGGAUUCUUUUAUUCAAUAUCUUAGAACUAAGUUUCCUUAUGAGAAGAUAAUAGUUUCAGUAGUAAUGUACAUAUAAUUUUCUAUAUUUGAAUUAUUUUCUAGUUAGGGAUGAACUAACCUGAUCACGAAGAAUCCCAAGCAAAGUUUCCCUCUCAUUUUCCAUCAAAUCAUGUGAAGUGCCAAAUUGAAGAGCAGCUCUUGCAACGCAAGAAUUGUCACUUUGAUUCUCCACUCCAUACUUGCAACAAUCUUCGGCCAACUUUCUCGCUACAAUAUUUGAAUACAAAAAUAUUGUACACAAGAACUAGUCAAGAAAAUUAAAAAAAAAAUCAAAUAUUAUAACGAGAGCAAGAGCAAACGAACAACCUAUUUCCAUUUGUUUCAAGCUUACUGCAACAAACACUUCAACGCCACGGACAACAUUCCUCUGACAAUAUUCCAAAUUAUUGUUCAGAUAAAACCAUAGAAACCAUCAUAAUUGUUCAACAUACAUUAAGCUAAAGGAGGAUGGUGCCUUAGCUGCCCUGGUGGAAUUGUAUAGAUUUUGAAGUUGUUGGUGACACUCAAUUUCAGAUUCAUCAACCGCAACAUUUUCAAUACCAAGAUGGAGCAGAUGCUUCAAUACUGCCUGUACAAAUCAUAAAAAACUAAUGAAAAAUAAAUAAAAUCGAGAAAUUUCACUAACUAAAAGUCUAAAUAUAAUUUUUUUAAAAAGAAAAGAAACGGACUUGCUGCUGCUUGGCGACUUGUUCUCGGAGCUUGAUUGCCUGUUUCUUGAUAGCUUCCAUACUGUUUCUUUCAAAAAGCGACGACGGCUCAGCUCAUGGAGGUGGAAAAAAAAAGUGUGAUCGGGAAAAAUAAAAAGGCAUGAAUAAUUUUUGAAAAAAAGCGAAAAUCAAGGAAAGCCAGCUCUUUCCAGAAAAUAAAAAAAGAAAAAAGAAAAAAGAAAAUUAUAAGUUUGAAAGGAGAAGAUGAUUGUGGAAGUGUGCGGUGUGGCUGACAGCUACUUGGAUUGUAUUGUCGGGUAAGGUAAUAGUAGAGAAUUUUUUUUUUUUAAGAAAAAUAGUAGAGAAUUUUUUAAGAAGCUAGAACAGAGCAUGACAUUAGACUUUUGUUGACCAAAGGAUGUUGUUUUAUUCUUCUUAUACUUUACGUUUGGUUUGGUUUUUCAAACUAAAUAAUCAAGUAGCAAAAAUACAAAUUUAGAGAUUAGGGGGUGAACUAGCUAGGUGGUUUACAAAUAUUCCUAUUUGUAAGGUGAAUUAAUUGAAUCAUGAGAAAACAAUGUGACCAUAGCUCAAUAUGAGAUGAUUUCGGAGAGGCAUAUUGUUUUCAAGUGAAUUUGAUCCAUUAAGAGAUGAAGUGGAUUGAAGUGGAAAGUUUAAAUAACAAAUCCUUGUUCUUGAGUUUUACGACGUUGUUACUCCUUCAGGUGGCAGAUUAUGCAAGUGAAUUCAAAAACACAAUGCAUCAAUCACGGGGAUGCUACAUCAAAAGACGGGAUCAUAGUCUAUGCAUUGAACAGUUACAGUUGCUGCUACCAAUUGCCUCGGCAAAGAUCAAGAAGACUGAACGGGAAGUUAAUGCCAUCAAGGAGUUGUCUAGUGUUCUUUUCCUUAUGCUAUGAUCGGUGCUCUUGAGGCUGCCCUGAAACACAGGAAAAUACUUCGAUAUCCUCCAUUCGAUGAUGCAAAGAACCGGUUAAUGUAUGAUUACCUAAUUGACUCAGGAUCAGGUAACAACAACAACAAUUUAUUAAUAGUAAUAUCACAAACGAAGAAGAUUUCGGAGAGGGAGAUGUAAGCGUAUACUGUUUACAGGUUUGAUCCACUGGGGAUGAAGUGGUCUCAAGUGGAAAGUGAUUUAUUAAACAACAAAUCAUUGUUCUUGGGUUAUACCUCAUGAUGUCAUCAAGUGGAAGAUGAAGAUCGUUUGAUAUUGAAGAAUUUGAACAGAAAGCCCAUAGAAAGUACUUAAAUAAGCAUAUUCUUGUUGGGGUAGAAUAUUAAGAAAGGAGUUGUCUACUGUGUGUUGCGUAAUUAUGCUAUGAUCGGUGCUUUCAACAUUGCCCUGAAAACAGUGGGAAAUACUUCAUACCCUCGACAUGAUGAUGAAAAAUUGGUUACCGAUUACCUAAUUGACUCAGGUGACAACAAUCCAUUAAUAGCACAAUUUGACGUGAUGCCGUUUAGGUAUAUGGUUUUCAAGUUUGAUUCAUCAGUGAUGAAGCGGACUAAAAUUAAAAGUUUAAAUGAUAAGUCAUUGUUCUUGGGCAUAUCGUCAUUACUACUUCCAGUGAUCAACGAUGAAGAUGAAGAUGAAAAUUGUGCGAGUUCAAGAUUACCAUUUAUCAUUACUUGGGAUAUUACUUCAACAUAGAUGGGGUUAUAAUUUACUCCCACGAACAUCAACUCAACUUUAUGAUUGGAGUGUCUCACCGUGACUCAGACAAAUUCUGAUUCAACCUCCUUCACCAAUGGAUUUUGAUUAGUUAUUUUGUGAUCAAGCAACUUAAUUAAACUCACAGUUUGUUAGUCUAAUUUUAGUUUUACUGUGACCACUAUUCAAGGUAAGCGAAAGUUACAGAUGUGGCAAAAUCAAUAAUUAAAUUCAUAAAAUGUUAAAAAAUAAAACUUAUAAAUGUUGCAUGACUACUUACUAAUAAAUAAAUAAGUUAGAAUGUAGUUAGUUAAUUUUACACCAUAUUAUAUAUUAUUCGAUAAUAAUAUAAAAUAAAAAUAAUUAAAAAAUAAAUAAUUGAAUAAAUAAAUAUGGCUUUCUAAACAGUAAAAAUUCUAGAGUUAAAAUUUAUAUUAUUAUUUUAUUUUUUAAAAUUGACAUUUUUCUAUUGUCUUACAUGUACAAAGAUUUUGAGAGUUGAGAAGAAUAUAUUUAAUGAAGCUUGAUAACAUUUGAUGGGAUAGCAAGUAAGGGUAAAUAAGAUAUUUUUAUUUGUUAUUUAUUUGAAUUAUAUCUAUUUGUUCAAGUUAAAAUACUAAAUAUAAAUUGGAGGUAGACAUUUUAACAGAUCAUCUAAGCUCUCAAAUCUGAAAUUUUGUGUAGAUUUAAAUUCAUAAUCCCCAAUUAUUUGAUCAGCAACUAUCAAGAACUAACCAAAUUUAUUUCUUCAUGACUUCCAAACACUAGAAAAUUUUGUUAUUUGAUAAUAAUAUCAUUAAUUAGAGUUUAUCAAACCGCAUUAUUUUCUUUCAUAAAAUUGAUGCCUAUUAGUGUCACACUUUAUUUGUAUUACCUAGCGGACAUCAACUUUUUUUUUAAUUUUUUAAAUUAAAAAGACCAUUUGAUUUUAACCCAUGUUCUUGGCCUUAGGGAAGCUGACUUCUUUUAUAGUCAGGCGAUGAGUUAAGAAGUGACAUAGCAUUCAGGCGAUGAGUUUAUUUUUGUUAUCUUGCUAACAGUUUUAGUCUAAUUUUAGUUUUACUGUGACCACUAUUCAAGGUAAGCGAAAGUUACAGAUGUGGCAAAAUCAAUAAUUAAAUUCACAAAAUGUUAACUAAUUAAAUUCAUAGAGUUGCACAAUUUCAUCAACUUGGAAGAAUUGACUUUAAUGGACUGGCCUUCUCCCCCUAUAAUUCUAAUGCUUCUAGGAAGCAAAUUUUUAUAAAUUAUUUAUUUUUGAGUUAAUUUCAAUUUCAAAAAACAAAUUUUUUAAGUUAUUGAUACUCUAAUGAGAGUAUCUUCAUAACAAUUCCCUUGCUCCAAUAAUAACAAAAAGGUGGUUACUUAGAAAUAAUUAAAAUAAAUAAGUGUUGAUUAUAUAUCCUAAUUUGCAUCGAUUUUUUUUUACCUUAAUUUCAGGAAUUUGGAAUAUAAGUUUGUGAAUGGAGGAUGAUCACGCGUGUGUUAAUUUUUCAGUCAUUGACUGUCGUAUUCUCGACUUAACGAUAGUGUUCUUGAUCAAGGGCAAUGACUCCCACCCCUCUUUUAAAAAUAUUGUCAAGUAUAUUGAUGACAAAAUCUCUUAUAGUUAAUAGUCUUUAAAAAUUUAUAGAUUUACUAUUGUCAUGACCAAAUUAUUCAUGUUUAAUGAAAUAUUAAUGCAUCAAAAUAGAUAUCUUCGGAAUCUAAUCCGAUCGGCUCAAUCCGUUUCAUUCGCAAAAGUGCAAUCCGCAAAAAUUUGAUCUGUGGAUUAGUGGAUUGGAUUGGAUUGAAAGUUUAAAAAUCCAUAGUCGAUAAAUUGGAUAUCGAUUUACUUCUCUAAAUAUGCAAAAAUUCAUGAAUUCGCAAAAAAAAAAAAUGUAUUUACUAAUAAAUAAAUAAGUUAAAAUGUAGUUAGUUAAUUUAACACCAUAUUAUAUCUUAUUCGAUAAUAAUAUAAAAUAAAAAUAAUUAAAAAAUGAAUAAUUGGAUAAAUAAAUAUGACUUUCUAAACAGUAAAACUUCUAGAGUUAAAAUUUAUAUUGUUAUUCUAUUUUUUUAAAUUGACAUUUUUCUAUUGUCUUACAUGUACAGAGAUUUUGAGAGUUGAAAAGAAUAUAUUUAAAUAAAAUAUUUUUAUUUGUUAUUUAUUUCAAUUAUAUCUAUUUUGUUCAAGUUAAAAUACUAAAUAUAAAUUGGAGGUAGGCAUUUUAACAGAUCAUCUAAGCUCUCAAAUCUGAAAUUUGUGUAGAUUUAAAUUCAUAAUUUUAGUUAAUUUUCAUAUAUUCAUAUAAACAAAUUUAUGAGAUUUUUUUCUUUUCAACAUGUUAUAUUUUUAAACUUUCAAUGUAUUAUUUUAGCUAUAUUUAAACAAUUAAUUUAUUUAAUUUUAAAUUUGAUCAGUAUAAAAUGUUUUUAUAUCAAAUUUUUUUAUUUAAAUAGUUCGUGGAUUGGACAAAAUUAAACAUUUUUAAUUCUUAAAUGAUGGAUUGGAUAUGAAUUGGAUCAAAUCCACAUUCGAUCCGCAGUUAUAUGGAUUGAAUUUGAAUUGAAUUUCAUCAAUCUAUGGAUUAUAUUGGAUUAAAAAUUUAUAAUCCACAAAAUCGUUGAUUAGAUAUGGAUUGAUGUCCAAUUCGCAAAAUCUAAUUGCCGAACACUCCACUAUCAAAAUUUUCAAAAAUAUGUUUUAUCCUAUAAUUUUUUUUUAAAGUCAUAGUCUAAUGGCAGCUCAAUUUCUACUGCAUUCAUAUAAGCGGAGUUCAAAUCUCAUACCUCUUAUCUCCACACGAGAUUUAACCAGUUGAAAUAGCUAGCACCCACAAAUAUACUAGUACAGCAUCUCUUAACGUUUAACAUACGUAUAAUUAACGCCAUAGCUAUUGAUAAACACAUUGUUCAAUAUAUAUGAUCAAGAAUCUGAUCCUGCGAGCAACAGCAGUAAGAAGAACCAUUAUAAUGCCUAGCUCUUAUCCCGGUUAAUCCUCUGGCCCGAUGCUUCAUCAUAGUGAUUUAAAAAACAAACAACAGCUCUCUAAAAGAGAUGAAGAUAUCAUCUACGUAAAGAACAUGAAACGGAGAUUCACAACCCAUAAGAACUGAGAUAAAUUGGACCAGACCGGUAAUCUUGAGAUAAGUUAAACUGUGACCUAAGUUGAAAUCAGAGGACCAGAAUUUUAAAAUCUUUCGGCUAAGCCCCUGAGCAAUUUUCUAGAGUACGGCUUCUGCUUACCUCUGUUUAAUUUCUCUUUAUAUUUUUCUUUCAUUUCAUUAAUAAAGUCAAAUAAUAAAUCAAAGAACGAGGGAAGAUUUUUCCAAGUCAUGCAUUAUUUGAUUACCAUCAAUCAAGAAACCGACCAAAUUAAUUUCUCUCCGUGAUUUUUAAAAAUUAAAAAAAAAAUUAUUUGAACAUAACAUCAUUAAUUAUAGAGUGGAUCAAACUGCGUUAAUCAUGAAACUGAUACCUAUUAAGAGUCAAACUUUUUACUUAUGCAUACUAAAAGACAUCAAAUUGUUCCGAUCCCCAAUUAUUUGAUCAGCAACUAUCAAGAACUGACCAAAUUUAUUUCUUCAUGACUUCCAAACACUAGAAAAUUUUGUUAUUUGAUAAUAAUAUCAUUAAUUAGAGUUUAUCAAACCGCAUUAUUUUCUUUCAUAAAAUUGAUGCCUAUUAGUGUCACACUUUAUUUGUAUUACCUAGCGGACAUCAACUUUUUUUUUAAUUUUUUUAAAUUAAAAAGACCAUUUGAUUUUAACCCAUGUUCUUGGCCUUAGGGAAGCUGACUUCUUUUAUAGGUGAUAUCUGCUUGAACUUUGGUGUGUUAAUUAUUUCAAUCCCCAAUUAUGUAAUUUUUUAAAUUAUAGCCUAACGGCGGUCUCAUCACCACGUGUGUGAUUUUCUUUUGCCAAUAGGAUCUGCAGAGAGCUUGAUCUCAUCCAAUAGCAAAAUAAACUUCCUAAUAAGUGAAGGUAUAGUAUAAAUAUUUCACCCCCAUAUUAUUUAUUAGCAGCUUGAUUAUUUUAUAUGCAUCUUUGAUUUUAAUUUUUUUUCCCAUAAUUGCUACUAUGUUCGAACUGGUCAUGAAUUAUCUAUAAGAUUUUUCAUGUUGCUUUUAGGUGCAUUGGAUUUUUUGAGUUUAGUGCAAGAGUAGAGGAAGGCAAAUUAAGAAAAAGGAUAAAGAUCUAUGAUUAGCUAUUUUGGGAUGUCUCAUAACAUAUUGAUGCUAACAUUAUACAUAUGUAUAUCUAAAUAAUGGGCUUGGAUCAAGAGCCCAUUAAUAAUCAUAGAUUAGCUUAUAUAGUUCAAAAAAUGUACCAUAAAGCAAUUUUACAAGCACUUGUUAGCCUAUGUUGAGCUUUAUUAUCAAUAGUUCAUAGUUCAUCAGUGCACUGCAAGUUUACUAUUUGAAGUAAAUGUUGUGGUGCGUGCAUUCUUCAUAAGGCCAACUAUUGAAUUUAGCAUUGAAACUUACAAAAUGUAAUAGAAAGAGGUAGAUAACAGCCAUAAAACACUAAGAUUGGAAAUCAGGGCAACUAAAUACUAUUACAAGCCCUUAGAAAAGACAGCGAUCAUCCUGAAAUAUAUAUACUGAAAGUAAGAAAUGUUAAUCGCAAAGUUAUGUGCCAACAGAACUAUUGACUACUUGUCUCUAGUAGAAAGUAAAUAUUUUUAACUUCAGCCCUCUACUUUGUUCUAAGAACAAGGCAAUAUAAGGAAACAUCGGUGUCUAAAAUUUGCCGCUUGGAAUAUUUCACUGUCUAAACAUUCACUCACCACUUAUUUCAUUAAUGAAUUUUGUCUAAUUAUAUGUUGAUAAAGAUAUUAGAGUAAUAUAAUACAUUUAAGGCUUAACUUAUAUUUUUUAUUAGUAGAGUGUAGAACUUUUAAGAAAUAAAUUAUUAAAUUACUAUAACUAACAUAUUAUUUUAAAGUUAUGUUAAGGAAAAGAAUGAAACAAAAAUAAAUAAAUAAAUAAGGGUAUUCUAAAACUUUGAUCUUUUUAAAAGUAGAUUUUGACAUAGAUAAAAUAAUUUUUAUAUUUUUUAAAUCACAUACUCUAGUUAAAAUCAAAUUGUAUUUAUAAAGUUUGUAAAUUUUUUUUUUUUUAGCACUGAUAUUUGAACACUAUCAAGAUAAGAAAUAGGGCACUGGUCAUGCUACAACAUUAUUAUAGCACAUAAAAAGACAAUACCAUUUAUUUUAUUGUACUAUCAUUGUUGUUAUAAUAGUAUUUUUGUUAGUGGUCAAAUAUUAUUUUUUUAAGUAAAAAAAGUGAACAAUGUAAAUUAACUUUUAAUCUCUCCUAAAUUCUAAUUCCUAGUUACGAAACAAAAUUGUUUAAAACCAUAGGUGAUAGGUGAUAGAAGUUACUAACACAAGCAAAUUUGACGGUCCAUUUUAUAAAAUUUGUUAUUUACCAUUUUACCACCUAUAUAAGGAGUGCCGCAUCGACAUAUCAACUCAUUUGCAGAUUAUUUUAAUUUUGUAAAAUUCAUUUAACCUGCACUUGGUCGCCCCUAUUCUCUGAAUGGUUAUGGCGAUAUCAUCAUUAUCGUUACUUGUACCAACGCUAAACCCUUCUUAUUCCCUUUCUCGCCUGUCAUACCCUAACAUUAUAUCCCGUGUCCACACUAAAGACAAGUAGUCAAUUCAAGCCAUCAGAUUAUAGUGGACCCACAUCAAUCCAACUACUUACAAUGACCGACAGCCUCUCCAUCUCCAUUUCAGGUUUCCUCUUCAACUGGCUUCUGCUUCCGCUGUAUUUGCUCCAUUUCUUGGAUUCGGAGUCCGUAUUUGGUCGGUCGGUCCCGCACAGCUCCCUCUCACUCCAAUUGUCACCCAACAAGACCAAUUGCUUAAUCAAGGCACAGAACAAGAAGAGGAUGAGAAAUUGAAACAGAAUUUGAGAAUUGGAAAUCGAAAACGUACGCAUUGACCGUGCCUUUGAGGGCAAUUACUUUUCUUGAGAAUUGAAGUUUGGUAAUGUAAUUUGUUCUCCAUCUGUGUUCCUUUGUAGUCAUUUCAUUUAUUUGUUUGUUUGCUUUAUUUGCACUUACGAAGUCUCAGGUAUACCUACGCAGGAAUGAGCAGGAGAAAUUGAUCCUCGAGGUAACAUAUGGGCGCGCCAUAUCGGUGGGGCACAGUGGUGAUAGCUUACAAGAAAGUAAAUUUCGAAAGCAUAAUUUGGUUCCGAUUGAGGUAAUAAUUGUCUUUAAGCUCAUUUAGUUUUAUAUCAAACAAAAUCAAGACUGCCUUUCUCUUCAAUAGUUUUGAUGAUAAUAUCUUUAGAAGCAUCUCAUUGACAGGUAAUCGUGGUACCCCUUAAAGAGUCUAUAAACUCAAGGAUAUUAUCUUCUGCAAAUGGUUCAUUAAACUUCUUAGAUGUAGUUAAAUGUACACUGAGAACAACGAGAAGCUAUGCCACUGUAGCAUGUAGUGAUGGCACUUAAUGAGUGAGUUGCUAGGAUAUGAACUAGAAAAAUUAAACAUUGUCUCCCUGGGUAUGCUAGCUUGUAAGUCGGUUAAUAUUAGAGCUUGAGAUACUAUAACCAUGAGAAGCUAUUGACCGCCGAUUAAAAUAUCCAUUAAAAUGUCUAGGGAGUUAUGAAGGUGGAGGUGUCUCCCAAUUUCUAAGGCCAUAUAGUAGACAUCAUCCAGGAUCCUAUUAAAGUGCAGUUAGCCUCCUGCUUGAUGCUAAUGUCAAACAAUUAAUAAAUUUGGUCAAUGUAACUGAAACUUGCUAACUGACGUCAGAUUGCGACUUGAGCACCUUAAAAUGGGAUAGACGAUUAGUAGCACUGAAUUCUUCUUGCCUAAGAUUGAGCAAUUGUUCUAACUACUAUCUCCUAUUGUAGGUUGAUUAUUAUGUUCUAAUUAUGUCGAUUUUGACCCAAAAAAUUACAUAAUCUUGAUCUGCAUAAUGUCACUGAACAGUGUCAAUUUCGUUUACCAACUAACUUGAGUUUGAUAUAACAAACACACGGUGUGUCUCUCAUGUCUCACCAUGAUGGAGAAUUUUUCUAAUGCAUGAAGCAAGCUUCGAUAUGUGGGUUAGCUUGGAGAAGAUAUCUUAAAAUGAAGAAUAUGGGGAGUUAAUGGGAAGAAACAGUUCAGUAGUUUAUAAUUCUGUCGUCGAGCUGUAUCUCUAACAUGGUCAAAAUUUAUGUGAAUAAGGACAGGGAAUCUUCAUUCCUCUUUCCCUUUUUAUACCCACAUAUCUCUCAACCUUUAUAUGUUGCUCACUGGAGAUCUGCUUCUGAUAACUAAAAUAAAAAUUUCAUCCACUCAAAUAAAUUCUGACCAAGCUUUCACAAGAAAAAGUAACAUCUUUAGUGAAGUAAUUUACAAGUAAUUUAGAGUUCCUUAUCAUCUUCUUGUGAGUCUAUCAGUAUGAUCCAAAAACAUAAUAAAUCUUGUUAGAUCCUGUUUAUUGAUGUUUAAACGCUGCUCAUUGUGAAAUGUAGAAACAAUGACGUGAAGUUUCUUUGGUCAUCAAUUAGUGAGAUCUUGUUUGAAGUUGUUUUCUGAAAUGAACUGCCAAAUGAUAGUUUUUUUUUUUUUUUCUUUGGACGCAUUUGAUGGCUCUUUUCUCCUCAUUUUAAGCAUGUGCCUGCUUGGUAUGGGAAGGAAUAGGCUUCAGAGUUGUUAUAUAUGUUGACAUGCUCUGGUCAUUACACAAUAUGUUCAAAUUGGAAAUUAGAAUGAGAUAUUUGUCGAUGCUUUUUGAGAGAUCUGCAUUCUAUGCAGCAUAACAUGAUUAAUGAAAAUGGGUUUAAGGACUGGAAAGAUCUGUGGCAGCCCAAGCUUGCAGGAAGGAUUUCAAUGGUUAAUUCUCCCAGAGAGGUUAUUGGUACAGUUUUGAAGUAUAUGGGAGCAUCAUACAAUUCAAACGACAUUAAUUAGCAAGUUGCUGCUGGGAGGAUUGCUGUUCAGCAGAAUCUGGCAUUACUGGGAAACCAGGUACUCUUAAAGAAACGAUAGCUGGUCAAUGCAUAUUAUUGCCUGACGGCUGAUUUUGUUUGUAAAGUGUGCCUUUUCAUACAUAUGAAUGCAUAUGUUAGUGUUGUCUUCUCCUUUCCAUAAAUAUGAAUGCAUAUGUUGGUGUUCUUUUCUGAGAUGGAUGCAAUAAAGGCUUUUCUUCUCUAAAUGACGAGUUUUCAUUUAAAAAUGUUAUAAAUCUGCCAUGCAUAGUAUUCUAGUAGAAUCAUCUAUAAAUUCAAGUUAUUGAAAUUGUCUAUUUGUCCAGUUUGAGUUAAGGACGCAUGUAAUAUGAAAAUAGUUGUCGAAUAUUGUAGGUUAGCUAAUAUUGAUCAAUCCUAUAGGGAGGGCUUUAAGAUGUCUAACAACAUGUAGAAUGCCCCUGCUUCCCCCACAAUUUUUAUCUUAUACAAUUUUUAUCUAUAAACAGUAUUUGCCAGACCUUAACUGUUCAGAUUCCCCUUCUCGACUAUCAUACCCUACGCCCCGUCUCCGUGUCUCCGAUAAACAGCUCAAUUAAGGCCAUCAGAUUAUCCCGGUCCCACAUUGAUCAACGGCUCACAAUGACCGACAACCUCUGUCUCCAUUACAAGCUCCCUCUUCAACUCGCUUCUGCUUCCAUCCUACUCUUUCUCAGAUUCGGAGCCCGUAUAUGCUCGCUGGUCCCACGAAGCUCCCUCUCACUCCAGCUGUCAACCGACAAGACCAAUUGCCUUAUCAAGACAGAGAACAAAAAGAGGAUGAGAAAUUGAAACAAGAAUUGAGAAUUGGAAAUCGAAAACGUACUCAUUGACCGUGCCUUUGAGAGUUGUUUCUCUUCAGAAUUCAGUGCCUCAAUCUUGGGUUAAGGAUUUUAUGCGAAGUCAAGGAAAGUGAUUGAAGUUUCAGAUGAAUUUGUGUGCUAGCAUUGGUGGGAUCUUUAACAAUUUAUCUGCCCUUUAACAAAGUCAAGGCUAAUUCAGCUUCUUAUAUGGCUGCUGAUUUGGUUAGUGUUGGUGAUUCAUGGCUUAGUUUUGCCAUUAAAGAGAGAUUGAUUGAGCCAAUGGCUGGAGCUGAAGACCAAGAUUGGUUCAAAUGCUUAAGUCACAAAUGGAAGGUAACAUCUUUAUCUUUGGCCCGAUAAUUUUUAUUGUCUUACAUUGAAAUUUGGUAAUGUAAUUUGUUCUCUAUCUGUAUUACCCUUUUUAGUCAUUUUAUUUAUUUGUUUAUUUGCUUUUAUUUGCACUAACGAAGUCUCAGGUAUAUCUAUGCAGAAUGAUGCAGGAGAAAUUGAUCCUCGAUGUGAAAUAUGGGCGGCACCAUACAGGUGGGGCACAAUGGUGAUAGCCUACAAGAAAAGUAAAUUUCGAAAGCAUAAUUUGGCUCCGAUUGAGGUAAUAAUUGUCUUUAAACUCAUUUAGUUUUAUAUCAAACAAAAUCAAGACUGCCUUUCUCUUCAAUAUUUUUGAUGAUAAUAUCUUUAGAAGCAUCUUAUUGAUGGGUAAUAAUUGUAUCCCUGAAACAGUCUAUAAACUCAAUGAUAUUAUUUCUACAAAUGGCUCAUUAAACUUUGUCGUUGUAGUCAAAUGUACACUCAGAGCAAUGACAAGCUAUGCCACUGUAGCAUGUAGUGAUGGCACUUAAUAAGUGAGUUGCUAGGAUGUGAACUAGAAAAAUUAAAUAUUGUCUCCCUGGGCAUGCUAGCUCAUAAGUCAGGGUUAAUAUUAGAACUCAAGAUACUAUAACCAUGAGAAGCUAUUGACUGCCAAUUAAAAUAUCCUUUAAAAUGUCUAGGAAGUUAUGAAGGUGGAAGUAUCUUCCGAUUUCUGAGGCCACAUGGUAGAUAUCAUCCAGGAUCCUAGUACAGUGCAGUUAACCUCCUGCUUGAUGCAAUUAAUAAAUUUGGUCAAUGCCACUGAAACAUGCUAACUGACGUCGCAAUGCGACAUGAGCACUUCAAAAUGGGACAGACGGUCGGUAGCACUAAAUUUUUCUUGCCUAAGAUUGAGCAAUUGGUCUAACUACUAACCCCUUUUGUAGUUGAUCAUUAUUUUUCAAUUAUUUUCAGUUUGACCCAAAACGUUACAGAAUCUUGAUCUGAAUAUUGUCACUGAACAUUGUCACUGAACAUUGUCAAUGUCGUUUAGCGUAGCCAACUAACUUGAGUUUGGUAAAACAAACACACAGUGUGUCAUGUCUCACAAUUCAAAUUAUCAUUUGUAAUGAUGGAGAAUUUUUCCAAUAUGAAGUAUGCUUUGAUACGUGGGUUACCUUGGGGAAGGUAUCUCAAAAUAAAGAAUAUGGGGAGAAAAGUUCAGUAGUUUAUUAUUAUGUAGUCAAGUUUUGUCUCAAAAAUGGUCCAAAUUUAAAUGAAUAAGGACCGGGGAUCUUCAUUCUUUUUUCCCUUUUUUAUACCUAGAUAUCUCUCAACCUUUAUAUAAUCCCCACUGGAUAUCUGCUUCUAAUAAUUAAAAUAAAAAUUUCACCCACACAAAUAAAUACUGACCAAGCUCUAACAAUAAAAAGUAACUUCUUUAGUCAAGUGAUUUACAGUUCCUCAUCACCUUAGUGAGACUAUCAGUGUGUUCCAAAAACAUAAUAAAAUUGGUUGUUCCUGUUUAUUGAUGUUUAAAUGUUGUUCAUUGUGACAUGUAGAAAUGAUGAGGCGAAGUUUAUUUGGUCAUCAAUUUGUAAGAUCUUGUUUGAAGUUGCUUUCUGAAAUGAACUGCCAAAUGGUAGUUUCUUUGGGGCAUUUGAUGGCUCUUUUUUCCUCAUUUUAAACAUGUGCCUGCUUGGAACAGGAAGGAUUAGGCUGCAGAGUUGUUAUAUAUUUUGACAUGCUCUAGUCAUUGCACAAUUUGUUCACACUGGAAACUAGAAUGAGAAAUUUGUUGCAUUCUAUGCACAAUAACAUGAUUAAUGAAAAUGGAUUGUAGGACUGGAAAGAUCUGUGGCAGCCUGAGCUCGCAGGACGAAUUUCAAUGGUUAAUUCUCCCUGAGAGGUUAUUGGUUUAGUUUUGAAGUAUAUGGGAGCAUCAUACAAUUCAAACGAUAUUGAUUCGCAAGUUGCUGGUGGGAAGAUUGCUGCUUCAGCAGAAUCUGGCAUUACUGGCAAACCAGGUACUCUCAAAGAAAUGAUAUCUGGUCAUUGCAUGUUAUUACCUGACAACUGAUUUUGUUUGUAAAAGUCUGCUUCUUCAUACAUAUGAAUGCAUAUGUUAGUGUUUUUCUUCCUUUUCAUACAUAUGAAUGCAUAUGUUGCUUCUUUUCCUUUCCAUACAUAUUAAUACAUAUGUUGGUGUUCUCUCCUGAGAUGGAUGCAAUAAAGGUUUUUCUGAAGAAAUGGCAAGGGAUGUGAGAUUCUGUCUCAUAAAAUUAACAAAAACCCAAAACAAUGAAAACCCAUAAUAAUGUGGUGUGGGUAAAUUGACGCCAUUUGGUUCGUUUCCUUGAUGUGAAUACGCGGGCAAUAGAGACUAACAAAAUGAAGUGACAACAAGAAGUCAGUGUCCUUUGAUGGAUGCAUUUUUAGGCAGAAAUAGGUUUGUAAUUGACCAAAUUUGUCUGGCAUGCCAAUUUCAAAAAAAAUUAAAUUAUGUGGUUAUUAGCUGUAAUGAAAGGGGGAUUGUAGGUCCAAUCAGGUGGAUCCAUGAAAGUUCAACAAAGUUCUGGUAUGGCGUAGAAAUUGGUUUGUGCAACUCAAGAGUCUUUCUGGUGAACGAUGAUGGGUUUUGAUUUUAUAAAUGUUAUAAAUCUACUGUGCAUAGUAUUCUAGUAGAAUCAUCUAUAAGUUCUAGUUAUUGAAAUUGUCUACCUUGUUCAGUUUGAGUUAAGGGCACAUGUAAUAUGAAAAAUAGUUGUUGCAUCUUUUAGGUUACCUAACAUUUGAUCAAUCCUAUUAUGAGGCUUCAAGAUGUCUAACAAUAUGUGGAAUGCCCAUGCUCCUCCCCAUUGUUUAUCUUAUAUAAUAAUUUGUUUUAGAUGCUAAUAUCUUUGUCGAUACCGGUAACAAUAUUACAAUAUCUGCGUUUAUUGGGUUUUACAUAGGUUCGACUGUUUGACAGUACACACUCUCUGAAGGCAUUUGGAAAUGGAGAUGUAUGGAUUGCUGUUGGGUGGAGUAGUGAUGUUCUUCCUGCUGUCAAACGUUUGUCUAAUGUUGCAGUUGUUGUUCCCAAGUCUGGUGCUAGCUUAUGGGCUGAUCUUUGGGUAUACCCAUGCCUGCCAUUCUACUUCAAUAUUCACAUUGUUAUCUCCUUCAUAUUAGUGAUCAGUAAACAUGAUAAUGUGACUAAUAAGUUCGUAUUCUCUUUAUAGGCAAUCCCUGCUGACUCAAGACUUGAAACAAAACAAAUUGGAGGGUGAGUCAGAGGUGCAUUUCCAUUAAUCCAUCAAUGGAUAGAAUUCUGCUUGCAAACAGCGAGAGCAUUGCCUUUCAAGCAAGAGGUUAUCCCGAGCGCAUCUCCCUCUGCCUUGAGAGUACUCUGGUUAAGUUGCCUGAAGAACUUUUGAAGGGUAAACCAAGUCUGGAUACUAACUUAAUUGCUGGAGUACCCCUGACGGAAAUUCUGGCCAGAUGUGAGUUUUUGGAGCCAUUAUCUGAAGCUACAUUGUCGGAUUAUGAGUGGCUGGUUGCUAAUCUGCAAAAAUCCACUCCUGUACUGAUCAACAAGAUGCAACAUUACAUGUCAUCAUUGAUCUUUAGCUAAAGGUACAUUGAAAAGUUAAUGGCACUGCAUACCAGUCAUUAUAAUUGGGUCAGGGCAAUUGGGUCAGGGCAAUUAGGUCAGAGCAUAACUUCAUUAGGAAAAGAGGCUUCAGCUACGUUAAAUAUUACAGGAUGUACUGAGAUGGCUGAAGUUGGUGAGGUUUUACGAGAAACGAAAGAUAGUGUUUGUUUGAACAAAGUUGUUGCCAAUCUUGCAGAGUUCGAGAAGAAAGAUCACGAAGCGAAUGCCACCGAUUUCUUCAUCAUUGUAGCCUCCAUAGUUGAAGUUUCCUCAUUUGAAGCUGUUUAUGCAUAUGCUUUUUCCCUUCUCAAGUACAGGAAAUUGAAGAAUUAACCAGAUGUGAUAUGCUGAAAGAGGGAAGUUUUCUUCCUUGAAUGUGACCUUUGUGAUUUGUCUUGAAGGGAUAGGGUGAUCACUGGCAAGAACCCUAUCAAGGUAGAUUUUAUGAUGUUAACAUAUUAUUAAGCAUUUUGUUACAUCAGCAAUGAUGCUUUCAUAGCAUGAAAGUGUUUAAAUUUAACUGAAUGAUCUUGAUUGAUCAAUUAUGAGUUUUAAUCGAGUAAAAACUAAAUACAAUAAUCGUUAACAAAUAUUGAAAUUGGGUAAAUAAGAUCUUGAUAGUGAAGAAUUUGAAAUCACACCCACACAGGAAAUCACCCUUCGCGUGGGGAUGGAGAUGUUUACUGCAGCGAUAUUGAAUAUGUCCACUGCUGGACUAAUUCUGAUUACCUAAUUGACUCAGGAUCGGCUGGCAAUAAUAACAGUUUAUUAACAAUGCACAGUCCGAGUACUUUUCCAGGAUCAGAUACGACGUGGUCUAAUGUUGAUAAUAAUAGAUUAUCAAAUGACAAAUCGUUGUUCUACUAUUGCAAGCCCCCAGAUUUAAGAAUCUUUUUCAGAAAUUAAAUACAUUCUGAGAGAUGCUGGUCUACUAUUGCAAGCCCCCAGAUUUAAGAAUCUUUUGACGGUAAUUUAUCACCUGUAACUGUGCCGGAAGAUUCAACUAGCACUGAAAAAGAUGAUAAAUUAAUUGAUAUGGAGAGUUUUCAUAUCACUUUUAAAUCAUCUUAUGUAAUUGUGAUGUUAGGAAGCAUUAGUGAUCUAUAUGUGAAUUAUUAUUGGCGCCAUUGGUGGUUUUAUCUUGUUAAAAUAUGGAUGAAUUCCAGUUACUAUUUUGUUGCAGACAAUCUUCUUCAAUUAACAUAUGGUUUAAAAUCAUUAUGUAAAUCAAUCUAUUAAUUUUCAAGAUAUUUAACUGAGUUAAAACUAAGUGCACUCAAUAAAUCUCUUUUCCUUUAAAAAACUGUUACGCUUUGAUUUUAGUGCUUAAUAUUUAUUGAACUCCGAUACAGGGAAUUUGAAAUCAAACUCGUAACUACAUAUUAUCUAAUUGCAAGUUUCUAUCCAUAGCUGCUGAUUUGUAGUGAUUAUCUAAUUGACUGAGGUGACGACAAUUUUUUUUUUUUUAAAUUUUCAAUAGCACAAUGUGGAAUUCAAUAAUUAAAUUCUCCUUUUUAAUUUGUUUCCAGUUAAAUUAUUAAUUACUUAAACUCUGUUUUAAGUCUUUAAGUUUAUGUGUUUAUGCAGAAUUGGAUUCUUGAGCGUGUUGGACACGACCAACAAUGAAAUUGACAGUAAAAAAAACAAUACAACGUGUGGACUCCGGUAGAUGCCAUACAAGUCUACAACUUUACAAAUAAUAAUUGAGUAAGCAACUUUGAUUCUCGGGGCCCUUCAAUGAAUUUCUAGCCCCGUUGACUCCGCCAACUAAAGUUUGUAAAAUAAAAAAAUACAUAGAAUUCCACUAAAUGCAAAACGCGUGGAAUUUAAUUUUCGGCCAUGUGGACCAAAACAUAAUUUAAUGAAAAAGGAAAAAAAUGAUAAGAUUUCUAAAAUAUGUGAAAGAUGAUCCAUAUUUUACUGAAACGACUUAUUAAAUUUUUCAAAGAUUUAGAAUAUUUAGUCAUAAAUUACGUGCAUGUUAAUUUUUCCGCCAUUGACUAUCAUAUUCUAAACUUAAUAGUACAUUUCUUGUUGAAGGGUACUUAAUCUCUCUUCUCCUCUUAUAAAAAUUAUAUUGAUGGAUUUCUUGUUAUAGUUAAUAGUCUUUAAGAACGGAUAACUUUAUUGUUUUCGUGACCAAAUUAUGUCCGCCUAAGGUUGUGACUAUUAAUAAAAUUAAUAUUUAAUGUUUAUGUUAAAAGAUAUAAGAUUUUAUGCGUUCAUUAAUUGUUAUUAGCUAAAGGAUGAAUUAUUUUUUCAACCCAAUCAGUUGAUGCAUCUGCAAGAGUUUUUUCUUUUAUUGACCAUAAUUAUGUUCCGGGUACAAUAAAUUGUCUUUGGUGCUUGGAAAAUAUGACUUCUUACUUCAAGUUUGAUAUGUCUCUCUCCAUAAACUUACUGGAAAUAUAUCCUCAUCUACUGUCAUUUAUCUAAUAUCAAUUGAAGAUCUCACUUUUUCAAACUAUCACUUCCAAGUCUCAUUGUCACUUGGCCAUUCUUGGACCAUUCAAAACCAAUCAAGUGUUGAAAUAAUCAAAUAUAUGCAAAAUUAGAGUCACGAUUUUUGGUCCCCCAAAUUCUAAUUAUAUAACUUCUAUAUAUUUCAUUGCCAGGUCACGAACUUGUUGGCACAUUUUCCAAAUUCCUCUUCCAUCAGCUCUCACACGUUAACUUAAGUGAAAAGUUUCCAAGUUGAUUGCUAGAAAGCAACGCAAAAUCAGACACACUUGAUCUGUCCCCUAAUUCUCUUUUCUACGUUGAAAAAGAAAAAAAAAAAUAAAAUACAUACAUACAUAUAUAUAUAUAUAUAUAUAUAUAUAUAUAUAUAUAUAUAUAUAUAUAUCUAUGUAAAAAUAAAUAAUAAACUGAGUAAAAGUACAUUUGUUUAAUUAACAUCUGAUCGGGGCAUUUUUGGUGUAAGCCACAACUAAAAUCAAACAGCCCCUUAGCAUACUUCUUCCAUUUUAUCGGCUACUUUUGUGGAUCUUAUAGGGUGGGCAUGUGGACAGAAUUUAAAAGUUUUAAUAGGCUCAAAGAAGAAGAUGUGUUAAAUCUAAAGUUGUUGCACCUUCUGAUUAAAUAAAGUUGUACAAUUUCAUCAACUUGAAAGAAUUGACAUUAAUGAACUGGUCGCCUCUCCAUGUAUGAAGCCUUCUUAAAAGUUAAUUUUUAUUUCAGAAAAAAAAAGUUUAAGUUACAUAUAUUACAGUAAGAUUUUUUGAGACCAAUUCCCUUCUUGAAAUAAUAAUAGAAAAGUAUUAAUUUAAAAAUAAAAUGAAUAUGUAUUGAUUAUAUCCUGAUUUUCAUCGAUUAUAGUUAGAGUUUCACCAAAUCAAUUCCCUUAUUCAAAUAAUACAGAAAAAAUAGUAAUUUAAUAGUAAAAUAAACAGGUGUUGAUUAUAUAUCCUAAGUUUCAUCGAUUAUGUGAUCAAAGUGGCAUUGUUGAUUUAUUUUUUGUUCAAUGUUAAUUUUUAGGUUAUAUAAAUUUCAAGGAUUUAAAAUCUUUGGCCAUGAAUUACACGCUUGUUAAUUUUCCUGCCAUUGACUGUCAUAUUCUAGACUUAAUGAUACCUUUCUUGAUCAAGGGUAAUUACUCUCUCUUCUCCUCUUAUAAAUUCCUCUUCCAUUAACAUCACUAGGAGUAUGUUGAUCUCUCAGACGUUAACUUGAGUGGAGAGUUUCCAAAUUGAUUGUUACAAAACAACACAAAAACUAGACACACUUGAUCUGUCUAAUAAUUCUCUUUCGGUAAAAUUAAAUAAUUUUAGGGGAAUAUUCGGCCAACCUCUAUAAUUUCAUAGUGAUCAUUAAUUAAUUAAUCGAUACAAAUAUCUAAAGUGAUUAAAUGUGACUUGAAAUUUGAUCUCUAUCGAUUGGUUUACAAAUGGACGUACUUGUGCCUUUGUGGCGAUAAUCGAACAAGUACCCAUGAUUAUUAUUUUUUCCAAAAACUUUUUUACAACAAAUUCAUCUCGUCAAAAAUUCUAUGUUGCUAACUAACAAUAAUUGAGCACUUGGCCGCAUUGACUCCACGUCUCCACCUCUUUCUAAAUUCUAAGUAAAAACAUGGAAAUGUAAUUUCCACAAAAUGCCAAAUGUGUGGAAUUUAAUUUUUUGCCUUGUGGAUCAAAAUACAAAUGAAAGAAACAGAAGAAAAAAAAGGCCCAAAGACUUCUAAAAGAUGAAGAAGUCUUUGUGCCUUUUUAUAAUGGUGAAUUUUUUUAAAGAAAAAAAAUAACAACAUUUUUAUGGUUUGUUUUGAUAAUCAUAUUUACAUAUACUCUCUAAUUUUCAAAAUGGACACAUAAAUCUUUUUUUUUUACAAAAUAUAUAUUAUUCAUAUUUUUUUUAUUUUUUUAUUAUCAUAUUUUUAUUUAUUAUAAAUGUUUAGAGCAAAUUUUUAGGUUGAAAUAUAAUAAAAAGGUAUAAUUGUUCUCUUAUUAAACACACAUACUUUUAUUAGUUUCUAUCCAUUUGUCAUCUCAAUCUCUCUCAAUUAUUCUUUAUUGCUAGCUCAAAACGCGUUGCUGUUGCAAAUUAUAGCAAAAUGACAAAUAUGGAAAAAAAGGGAAGAAAAUUAAUGCAUGAAAGACUUGGAGAAAACAACAAAAUAAGCCAACUAUGAGCUAGUUGGGUGUAUAAAUUGUUAGAUGUGUUAUAUACAAAUAGCGUAGAGCCCUCUAGUUGGUUCCAGAGACAGAAAGAGCGUGUGUGUUUUUUCACAGUUAGAGAUAUAGUUAGAAUGGGUGGUUCAAAAUCAAAAAUGAUGAUAAUGUUUAUUAUGUUAUUAAUAAUAUUUAAAAGUGGGUGGAGUGAGGGAUGUUUGGAUCACGAGAGAUUUGCUUUUUUGAGACUCAAACAUUUCUUCAAUGAUCCUCUUAAUUCUCUUUACGACUGGGUAGAUGGUGAGGGAGCUACUGAUUGUUGUCAGUGGGAAAGGGUUGAGUGCAGCAACACCACAGGCCGAGUGAUAGCACUGGACCUUUCUUAUAUAUAUUCGGGAGAGUACAGCUGGUAUCUGAAUGCUUCUUUAUUUACUCCCUUCCAACAACUUGAGUCACUUGAUUUAACUCAAAACAAAAUAGCCGGAUGUGUUGAGAAUGAAGGUACUUUGUUUAAUUUAAUUAAUUUACUUUCUCCCCCCUAAUUUAAGUUGAAUAUCAAGACCGAGCAAUUAUAUGCAUAUUCAUUUAGUCGACAAUUUUGACUUUUUUUUAAAUGAUUAAUUUUGAAAUUACACCAGUAUCUAUGAUCUUUUUUAUUUUAUUUUAUUUGCAGGUAUAGAGAGGCUAUCAAGAUUGAACAACUUGAAGAUGCUUAAUUUAAGUCGAAACUCAUUCAAUAAUAACAUUUUAUCAUCUCUAACUCAUCUUUCAUCAUUAAGAUCAUUAAAUUUAUUGUGGAAUAGAUUGGAAGGAAGUAUUGACGUUAAAGGUACAUAAUUAAAACUUCAAGCUCUUUCAUUAACUUGCUAAAAUAAGAUUCAAGGCUUUGAAUUCAAUUUUUUUAUGAUUAAUAUUAAAAAAACAGUUUUAAGCAAUUUAUAAAUACAAGUUUUAAUGUUUCUUGUAAUUUCAUCUUGUACUUUCAUAUGUCUUGAAUUUAAGAUUAAAAAAAAAACUCUAAUAGCGAACCAAACACCUCCACAACUUAUUAUUAUUAUUUUAAUUUGUGGUGAGGUUUGAAACAUUCAACUCAAUUUGUACUUAUUACAGAAUUUGAUUCUUUGAGAGAUUUAGAGGAGCUAGACAUUGGCGGGAACAAGAUUGACAAAUUUGUGGUCUCAAAAGGUACUACAAAUACCAUAAAAAAAUAUGCUAACUUUUACAAAUUAGUUAGAUUCUUUGCCAUUUGGUUUAUUAUUUUACAGGUUUGAGUAAGUUGAAGUCUCUUGGUUUAAGUGGUAUCAAACUCAAUCGUAGCAUCUUAUCUUCUCUUUCUUCGUUAAGAGAAUUAGAUAUAAGUCGUACGGGAUUCAAAGGAACAUUUGAUGUUCGAGGUAAGCCUAAACCUUGCUUUCUCAUUUUAUAUAUGCCAACUAGAUUUGUGUAUCAUCGACAUAAUUUAAUAUUUAAUUUGAUAAGUCUGAAUGAAUUACAUGCUAAUUUAAACACACUUUUAUUUACUUUGUCAAUUAAUUAAUUAAUUAAUUACUAUUUGGCUUGGUUUGGACGAAAUUCUCAUGAUGUUUUAAUUUCUUUAAAUUAAUUAAUUAAUUAACUCUGUUUUUAAGUCUUAAGUCUGGGCAUGUUUGCAGAAUUUGAUUCCUUCAAUAACUUAGAAGUGUUGGACAUGAGUUGGAACGAAAUCGACAAUCUUGUGGUUCCUCACGGUAAACAAUUAAAAUGUUAUUCAAUUACAUUAUUUUAAUUCAUUUGAUUAGGGAAGGCCAAAAAGGUAAAAAAAAUAAUAAUAAAGAAACAGAGAAUUUGUAUUAUUUAAAAAACAGAAUGUAAUAAAGAUUUGAUUCUGGUUCUUUAAUCUUUAAAGUGAUUGAAAAACAAUGUUGCUCUUUUCCCAAAGCAUCAAAUACGAAUUGAAUGCCAAUUAACUUAAUCAUUCAUUUCGUUUAGCUCUAAAUUUAGACAAUGAAUUUUUAUAUUAUUUCAAAAACAUGACGUAAUAGAAUUUUUUUAAAAACAGAUUCUAAUAAAGAUUUGAUUCCAAUUCUUUAAUCUUUACAGUGAUUGAAAAACGAUACUACUCUUUUCCCAAAGCAUAAAUACGAAUUGACUCCCAAUCAAAUUAAUCAUUUAUUUCGUUCAUCUCUGAAUUUAAAUAAUGAAUUUUGAUCUUCAAUCGUAUUAUAAUUACUAUUAAAGAACAGGUUACAGAGGUUUGAGGAAGUUGAAUCAUCUUGAUCUAUCGGGAGUUGGAAUUAGAGAUGGAAGCAAGUUGUUACAGUCAAUGGGAUCAUUCCAUCCCUCAACACUCUUUACCUUUCGUGGAAUAAUUUUAUCGAUACAGCGACCGCUACUCAAGGUAAGUAAAAGGUACAAAUGUGGCCAAAUUUAUAAAUAAAUUGUUAAUUAAUUAAUUUUUCCGUAUUAUUAAUUAAGCUAAAUUUGUUGCUCCUUCCUUCUAAAUCUAAACAGAGUUGCACAAUUUCACCAACUUGGAAUAUUUGACAUUGGACUUUUCCUCUCUCCAUAUAAGCCUUCUCCAAAGCAUUGCAUCAUUAUUCCCUUCGUUAAAAAAUCUGUCGAUAUCUCAUUGUGAAGUCAAUGGUGUCCUACGCGGUCAAGGUAAAAGAAAAUCGUUGAUUGUGAACUCACUCAAUGGUGUCCUACGUGUUCAACAUUUUUAUUUAUUUAUUGUUUAAUGUUUCUGCUAGGUUUUCCUCAUUUCAAGAGUUUGGAACAUUUGGAUAUGGAUUACACGCGCAUUGCACUCAACACCGGCUUUCUUCAAAUCAUCGGUGAAUCGAUGCCUUCUCUUAAGUACUUAUCACUGUCAAGGUUAAUCUAUAAAUCGAUGCCUUCUCUUGAUCAAGGUUAAUCAGAUGCUCCCACUCUCCCCUCUUAAUCUAUAAUAUUAAUUUUCAAUUCAAUAUUUAAUUACACAAACGAAUCACUUAUUAUAAAAGAAUAAUACGCAUUCAUUAAUUUUUAUAUUGUAUUAAUAAUUGAUGAAUUUAAUAACUUUUCAGGUCUCUGUUCGUUGGUGCAUCUGCAAGUGUUGAACAUUGCAGGCAAUGAUUUAAGAGGUAGCUUGCCUUGGUGCUUGGCAAAUAUGACAUCCCUCCGAAUAUUAGAUGUUUCUUCCAAUCAACUUACUGGAAGCAUCUCCUCAUCUCCCCUCGUUCAUUUGACAUCCAUUGAAGAGCUGAUGCUUUCAGACAAUCACUUCCAGAUCCCAAUUUCACUUGAACCAUUUUUCAAUCACUCACGACUCAAGAUUUUCCAUGCUUACAACAACGAAAUAAAUGCAGAAAUAACUGAGUCACAUUCUUUGACUGCCCCAAACUUCCAAUUAAAAUAUCUCUCAUUGUCUUCCGGUUACGGAGAUGGUGUCACAUUCCCCAAAUUCCUUUACCAUCAACAUGAUCUGGAGACUGUUGACCUCUCACAUAUAAACAUGAGCGGAGAAUUUCCAAAUUGGUUGUUGGAAAACAACACAAACUUAGAAUAUAUUUUUUUGGUUAAUGAUUCUCUUGCAGGACCUUUCCGGUUGCCAAUUCAUUCACACAAGCGGUUAAGACUGUUGGAUAUAUCCAACAACAACAUCAGAGGCCACAUUCCAGUAGAAAUUGGAGAUGUUUUACCGGGUUUAUUUUCUUUAAACAUUUUCAUGAAUGCUUUAGACGGUUGCAUUCCCUCUUCAUUUGGUAAUAUGAAAUUCCUCCAAUUUCUGGACUUAUCCAACAACCAAUUGACUGGUGAAAUCCCUAAGCACUUGGCCGUGGGUUGCGUCAACUUAGAGUCUCUUGCGUUGUCAAACAACAACUUAGAAGGUCAUAUGUUCUCCAGAAACUUCAACCUGACAAACUUGAAAUGGUUACAAUUGGAAAGCAAUCACUUCGUAGGAGAGAUCCCACAAAGUUUGUCUAAAUGCUCCUCACUAAAAGGAUUGUAUCUUAACAAUAAUAGUCUUUCGGGUAAGAUUCCACGAUGGUUGGGUAAUCUCACAUGGUUACAAUAUAUUACAAUGCCCAAUAAUCAUCUUGAAGGUCCUAUUCCAGUGGAGUUUUGUCAGCUUGAAUGGCUUCAGAUUUUGGACAUUUCAGACAACAACAUAUCUGGAAGUUUACCAUCUUGUUUCCAUCUUCUCUCUAUCAAACAAGUUCAUCUUUCAAAAAAUAUGUUACAUGGACAGCUAAAAAGAGGUACAUUCUUUAAUUGCUCUUCCCUUGUGACAUUAGAUCUUAGUUAUAACCGCUUGAAUGGCAGCAUUCCGGAUUGGGUUGAUGGGCUUUCUCGGUUAAGCCACCUUAUCUUGGCUCACAAUAAUCUUAAAGGUGAAGUGCCAGUUCAAUUGUGCAAAUUGAACCAACUACAAUUGUUAGAUCUUUCUAAUAAUAAUCUUCACGGUCCUAUUCCUCUUUGCUUUGAUAACACCACACUUCAUGAAAGUUACAGCAAUAGUUCUAGUCCUGAUGAGCAAUUUGAAAUAUAUGUUUUCAUCGAAGGCCCUCAGGGAGGUGUAGAAAAGAAAAUCCAUGAAAUUUUUGAGUUCACAACAAAGAACAUUGCGUACAUUUACCAAGGAAAAGUGCUUAGCCUCCUAUCAGGACUUGAUCUUUCUUGCAACAAGCUAAUCGGUAUUAUUCCUCCUCAAAUUGGAAAUUUGACAAGGAUUCAAACAUUGAAUCUAUCGCACAACAACUUGACAGGAUCGAUCCCAUCAACAUUUUCAAACUUGAAGCAUGUCGAAAGUUUGGAUCUUUCCAACAACAAAUUGAAUGGGAAAAUCCCUCAUCAACUAGUGGAGUUAAAGACAUUGGAGGUUUUCAGUGUGGCAUACAAUAACUUAUCAGGCGAAAUUCCAGAAUGGAAAGCACAAUUUGCAACCUUCAACGGGAGUAGCUAUGAAGGAAAUACUUUUCUUUGUGGACUGCUAUUGCCCAUUUGCAGAUCACCAGCAACUACGUCGGAGGGUUCAAUUGGCAAUGAACGAGAUGAUAAUUUAAUUGACAUGGACAAUUUCUUUAUCACAUUUACAACAUCGUACGAAAUUGUGAUAUUCGGAAUUGUUAUUGUUUUAUAUGUAAAUUCUUAUUGGCGACGUAGAUGGUUUUACUUUGUUGAAAUGUGGAUAACUUCAUGUUAUUAUUUUAUUGUAGACAAUCUUAUUACAACAAGAUAUUGUCAUUGAAAUUAAUUAGGAGUUUAAUUACGAUUCUUUAAGUUCUAAUCAAGUUUGCUUAGGAAAUAAAUUUAUUUUUAUUUUUUAUUAAAACUGUAGUAGUAUUUAGCUCUAUAUAGCUUCCAACUUCCAAGCACUUCACAUUUGUCUCUACACUUCCAAACCCAUAUCUAUCCACCAUAACUUAUACUUCCCUAUACUGUGCAGCAUACUUAAAUAAGAGAACCAUCUCCAAUGUUAAAACCAGCCACUCUAUAACAUUCAUUUAGAAUAGUUUUAUUAUCAUACACAAGAAAUGAAACACCUAGAUGCACUUGAUCGCCUAUUUUACUUUAAAAAAUAAUGAUUAUGGUGCUAUCAUCAUCUUCUUCACUAGCAACAUUAACACCAAAUCCAGCGAUGGACCCAGACAUUUUAUCAAGAAAGGUAUAUAUAUAAUAAAGUUGAAGCUUGACAAAAAAUUCAGGAAGAUUAAUGCCUCGCCACAACAAGGGCACAACAACAUCAAAGUAGAGAUGAAGCAAUAUUUUCAAAUCUAAAACUCUCAAAUCCACCCACCAAAAUUUCAUAUCUCCUCAACAAUUUUAAGAACUAAAGAUAAUUAGGAUCUAACAUUAGUUUUUUAUAUAUUAGUUUCAUAAUUUACAAAUCAAUGAAGAUGAAGAUUAUGCUAAUGAAUUCAAAUUAUACCAUAGAUUCUCGAGAUGUUUACCAAAAAUUUCUAAGCCAAUCCCACAUAUUUCAUAAUUUUAAGACUAGAAAAUUUCAUUAGUUAGAAGUUUCAUUACCUUCAAGUGGAAGAUGAAGAACAUUAUACAAUUGAUUCAGAUUAUAUCAUACAUACUCCAAAUGCAACUAGAAAUUAACAAGUUCAUGCGCACAGAUUUCAUAACAUUAUGAUUGGAAAGUUUCACAAAGAGAAAUUCUAAAUUCAAUCUCUUGCAUCAAGGUAGUUUGAUUGAUUUGAGUUACUUUCUCAUCAAGCUACUAAUAUAACAUUCAAGUCAGGGAGAAAGUAAAUUAAAACUGGGAAGAAACAACAGUAAAAAUUUGUUGCUAAACAUGAUGUGUAUUUUUUUUUAAGGCAAUUUGGAAACACAGUUGUUACUACAGAUAUUCUCCUCAACUUAGAGAUAAAUACAAAUAUUAAAAUGCAUAUGAUCGCACAUAUUACUUGGAGCUUAGUAAGAUUUCAUUAAGAGAAGCAAUCAAACCACUUAUCAAUUGUUGCAAUCGUUCUAUAAGCUAAAAUAGCAAUAUAAUACAAGAAAAAGAACAUAUAGAUACUUGGCAAGAGUUCAUUAAGAAGUCGCAUCACAUUCGGGUGAGUUUGCUUCUGAUAUCUUGCUAGCUGGGGCUUUUUCUUGUCUUUCUACGUAUGCCGAGGGAAACCAACCAGCUUGGCCCUUGCAUUCACCUUCCGACCAUCCAGUAGGAGCCACCUUGAGAAGUUAUAACUAAAAGUCUAAAACAAUGAAUUAAACAAAAGUUGACCGUUCAAAGACCUAAGGGGAAAACUAAUUCUUUUACGUAGGAGGAGUGAAUUAGUUGUGAUCACUGAAAUAACAGCAUAACUAUGGAAGCAUAACAAGAUAUAAAUUCACACGUCUAUAAGGGUAAACUGGGUGGUUUAGAACUGAGCUAGCAACCCUACUAUAUUCUGAUUUGCACAUCAAUGUAAAAGGGAAUAUAUGGUAGGAAGAAAGAAAACCAACCAUCAGUUGUUAACUCAUUGCUUUUCAAUCAAAAUUUUAAGAACAAAAUGCCAUGUGCUUUGAACAUCAAAUAAGUAUAAGCAUUAGUUCUAAAUUCCACAUAUCAUAAGUUAGAAGGACAAGUCAAUAGCAUAGUAGAAAAAUCUAUGUGUUGUUAUUUAGAGGGGAAAGUACCUGGCGAACCACAACAUAAUCAUCAAUUGAAAGACUUAGCUCUCCAUUUGCUUGAGCAUCAAAUGGAUGUAUAACCUGCAAGAUAAUGGGAUAAAUAGAACUUAAUCUUAAAAAAAGCAUAACAAAAGCAGCAACAGUAGCAGCAGCGUUCAUUGUAACCACUAUGAUCAUGGCCAACAAAGAUAUAUUACAAACAAAAUUCCAUUUUUACUACGACAUUAAUAUGUACUAUAUGAUAUCAUGACGAUUGGGUUACCAAGAGCUAUCAAAGUCCAAUAAAUUCUGUAUAACUUUAGGUAGUUAUUCAAAUUAUGGAUCAGAUUUUAAAUCCGAAAUUUUGACUGCUCUCCACAAAACAUGGCCUAUGCACAAGAAAGUCAUAGAUAAUGAGGAUUACAAGUGUCUGACAUCUUUUGAGUGAUGGAUUUAACAUGAGAGCUUAUGGUCAGUCAAUUUCCUCUGCCUAGCAAUAUAAGCUUUCUCGGCCAGAUUUAUCAUCAAAUACAUAGAUUGGCCCCAAGUCACAUCCAAAUAAACAUAGUUUUUCUAGGUAAACCAAGUAAGGAGAAUCAUAAUUCAGACAUAAUCAUAAAAAGGCCCAUCUAACUUAAGAGAAAAUCUCAAAAAGAGGGAUGUUGAGCUAUCAGUCUUGUAUCUAUAAGCAAUAUCAAGACUUUACAUCACCUACUACAUCGUGAGUGGCUACACAACUUUCAGUGGUUUGUCUUUCUUUGGCAUGCCUAACUCAGCUUUGAUGUUGCUGAGAUAUUGAUAGUAAAGACACAUGAUACUUCUAGCCCAUGCAUUCUAUCUAGCUCAUCCGACAACUAUCUCUUUUUUAAUUCAUUAGUGUUUGCUAAACCUCAUGCUUAAAAGUCCUAUUCUCCUAAACAAAGCUUCCUAAGAAUGACUUCCUCAGCACCACAUUUGGACACUUUUAGAGCAAUUUUAUUUGGGGGAAAAGAAUUUUCAAGGUGUUAACUAAUAAAUUUUAAAAAAUAAUUACAAUUUGUCCUACAAUUAUAUGACAAUUUAUCUGGGAUGAAAGGAUACAGACAGACAUCUUCCACUUUCAAGACUAAUCACUACUUCCGUAGAUGUUUUGCAAUAAUACAAAUACUUGACCAGAUGGUAGAAAAAAAUUUUAUUGCUCCAAAAUUAAAAUAAGAAUGCAAUAUGUUAAGCAAAAGACUGUGCAACAUCAAAUUAAUUGAUAAGUUUGUAAUUCAGUAAAUUAACAACUUUCAUGGUAAAAUACAACAAAUUUCUUUUCAAAAAAAAAAAAAAAAAUUAAAAGACGGCAUUCAAUUUUUUGGGCAUCUUAUUUCUUAAGAUUUUCCAGGAGGAGGGCACUAGAGGGACUUUCACCUAUGCAAGAGAGCAGAAGCCUUACUUUCGCUAUAAAGUAGACGUCAUUCUGAUUAAUAUGCGUUUGCAAAUCAGCUCCAUUUGAAUCAGUAUUCUGAUAGACACGUGAGGCAUUUACAUCCAUUUCCAAAGUCACAUGUUGCGAGGAGGACUCAUUUGAUUGCUCCUCUAGGAUCAUCUAAUUCAAGUAGCAAGGGUUGGAAGAGAAUAAAAAGUCACAAUUAUUCUUUUGCAUAAGUGAGACGAAAAUGAUAAAUGCAAUAUUAUCAGCAGUAAACAAGAAGAGAACACUCCAAGGAAUAGAUAGAUGCCGACAAGCAAGUUAAAAUGCACAGUUCCAAACCUCCGCAUACAACUUCUCUAAAAUAGCAAUAAUGUGUUGAUGAUAUGUUUUCUCAGCAUCUACCUGCAAAGGCCUGAGACCAGGAAAACAACAAUAAAACCACUAGCUAAAGGAGAAAGUAAAGAAAGAAAUACACUUGACAUAAAUCUUGACAAGAAGCACAAUUUAAGACAUAACAAACCCCAAUCAGAUUGUUUAGAACUACCAUUCGUUAUUUCGUUAUUGUAGCAUUUCGAACAAGUGUUGACUUAAUUCAACAUUGUUGGAAAGAUAGGCUUUUAGAAGCGGAAGAAAGCCUCUCAAACCAAAGUGAUUGUCCUUGUAUUGAUCAAGGGAUGUAAACAUAUUACAUUUGCAGGAUGAGUUUUAAUCACUCCCCUGAUUUAUUUGGGUUGCAGUAAAACUAAGCGAGCAACUGUUUGACUUUCAAGCAACAUCUAAAUCAGCUAUUAAAAUUCAAAUAAAAUUAUAAUAGAAUAAUAACAGGCCAUCUUGCAUAAAAAAUUAAGUUUAAUUUGUGAAUUUUUUUCUAUAGACAUGUUAGUUCCUGCUAUUGAAAUGUUAAAAGCAUUGAAAAAUUAUUCAAUAAAUUAUGCAAACAUUAAAAUAGAGGACAUAUUAAAAAGUUUCUAAUUACAAUGUUAAGAUUUCCUAUAUUUUAGCAUUUGCAUAUUUUAAUUUAUUUAAAAGUUACGUCAAUCAACUUUGGGCGUGAAGAUUUUAGCUUCUACGAGACUUGAUUGGAAUAUGCAUAAGGAAGAGUGUUAAAAUAUGAUGCAUCCAACGAAAGACAAACCACGUGUAGUCUUUUAAUUAAGCCAAAGUAGCAGCUCAAACAAAUGACACUUGGACCAACAUGCAAUCAUGAAGUGGCCGGUAAAAGGACAAAUGCAACUUUGGCUUAAAUAAAAAAUAACAUGUGACUUGACUUUUGCUGGACAUGCAUCAUGUUAUUACAAGACAACAGAAAUCAGUAUGAUAGUACUAAAAGUUGACAAUAACAUGAAGAUAAGAGGCAGAAUGUCAACACCUGCAUAGGCACACACAAGAAAGUAUUAACAUAUAUACCAUAGCAAAAAGUCUUUGAUAUGUCAUCUGUUGCUGCUGUGAUUCAACUGACAGCAUGGCAGCUGUCGCUUCUCUACCAAGAGCCAUUAUUGUAGAUUUAAGCUCGGUCAAUCUUGCUUCUGCAUUUCGAAGCUUCACAGCACUCUCUGCUGAUAUAUCAGAUUUCCUUAUCUUUGAUCGGUGCCUAAAUACUUCAGCUGCCUGGUGAAAAUAUUCAAUAUAAAUCUAACAUAAUUCUCAUCUUGCCUUAUACAUGCAUAUGUUACCUCAAAGCUUGCCUGGGCUUCAACUUCAUGUCGAAGUUUGUCAUAACGAUGAGUCAGGUGUCGAGCAUCUUCCAAAGGUGCUCCGUUGAUUAACGCCCGUAGUGGCUCAGAUACCUACAUGUCCAAAAACCUGUAACAUAGUUAGAAAAAUGAAAAGAAAGAGCGAAACCUCAAUUAAAAAGUUCCUCCAACAUAAUCAUGGAAUUUGGGCCUACUUCAAGGAUAUAUAUAAGGAUAAUUUAUGCAAUUUUGGGUCUUAGGAUGAUUCAUAUUAGGUUAGUGUUCUUCUCUUCUGUAUUUAAGGUUAAAAUAGAAAUAAACCUAUGCAAAUAUCUAAAUUAGGGCUGUAAGACUUCCACAUGCAUCCUUCAGUCUCAUGGAUUUGAUUUUACUAUAGAUGCAAGUGUCUUUAUCGAAAAUGCUUGGAGUCAAUUGAGAGAACUCACAGCCAAUAACUUGUCACAUGCUAGUCUUUGCUAGUGAUGCAAGAAGUCACAAGGUCUCUUCAACAUUUGAACCAAUAAAAUUAUUAAGUCAUGGAUGUCACUAGCAAUGAUUUCAAUAUAAAACAUUAAAUAUUUCAAGUUGUAACUUUAAAAUGGAUUCUUUUAUUCAAUAUCUUAGAACUAAGUUUCCUUAUGAGAAGAUAAUAGUUUCAGUAGUAAUUUACAUGAAAUUUUCUAUAUUUGAAUUAUUUUCUAGUUAGGGAUGAACUAACCUGAUCAUGAAGAAUCCCAAGCAAAGUUUCCCUCUCAUUUUCCAUCAAAUCAUGUGAAGUGCCAAAUUGAAGAGCAGCUCUUGCAGCGCAAGAAUUGUCACUUUGAUUCUCCGCUCCAUACUUGCAACAAUCUUCAGCCAACUUUCUCGCUACAAUAUUUGAAUACAAAAAUAUUGUACACAAGAACCAGUCAAGAAAAUAAAAAAAAAAUCAAAUAUUAUAACGAGAGCAAGAGCAAACAAACAACCUAUUUCCAUUUGUUUCAAGCUUACUGCAACAAACCCUUCAACGCCACGGACAAUAUUCCUCUGAAAAUGCUGUGCUACAGAGCAUAUAUUCCAAAUUAUUGUUCAGAUAAAACCAUAGAAACCAUCAUAAUUAUCAACAUACAUUAAGCUCCGUUUGGUAAAUACUUGCAACUUCAGUCUAGAAAAUACAGUUGUUUGUACCAUAUUUGACAAAAUUAUUAUUUAAAAAUCAUAACUAAUUACCAAAAGCCACAAUAAAUCAAUAUCAAACAGAGUCUUAUUAUUAGCUAAAGGAGGAUGGUGCCUUAGCUGCCCUGGUGGAAUUGUAUAGAUUUUAAAGUUGUUGGUGACACUCAAUUUCAGCUUCAUGAACCGCAAUAUUUUCAAUACCAAGAUGGAGCAGAUGCUUCAAUGCUGCCUGUACAAAUCAUAAAAAACUAAUAAAAAUAAAUAAAAUCGAUAAAUUUCACUAACUAAAAGUCUAAAUAUAAUUUUUGAAAAAAGAAAAGAAACGGACUUGCUGCUGCUUGGCGACUUGUUCUCGGUGCUUGAUUGCCUGUUUCUUGAUAGCUUCCAUACUGUUUCUUUCAAAAAGCAACGACGGCUCAGCUCAUGGAGGUGGAAAAAAAAAGUAUGAUCGAGAAAAAUAAAAAGGCAUGAAUAAUUUUUGACAAAAAGCGAAAAAUAAAAAGGCAUGAAUAAUGAAUAAUUUUUGACAAAAAGCUCUUUCCAGAAAAUAAAAAAAGAAAAAAGAAAAAAGAAAAUUAUAAGUUUGAAAGGAGUAGAUGAUAGUGGAAGUGUGCGGUGUGGCUGCCAGCUACUUGAAUUGUAUUGUCGGGUAAGGUAAUAGUAGAGAAUUUUUUUUUUUGAAGAAAAAUGGGUAAUUUUUAAAAACCUCCCCUGAGGUUUGGGCUUGUUGUAAGUAGAUGGCGAGAAUCCAUUUAUUUGUAAAAAACCCCCUACGUUUUUGCUCCGCUUGGUUGCCGUUUGGGCAAUUGUGGGCAUUGUUGACAUUUCGCAAUAAAACAAAUCUUUUGCAACUUUCGUUUCCUUGAGAACAAUAGCUAGAUUUCUCAAUCUGUUUCAUCCAACACUUCAAAAAUUUCAACUUUUAUGAGUUAUUGCAUUCUCUGGCAAAGUAGACUUCUUCUAAUUUUAUCACAGUGCUUUCAGGAACAAGAAUGGGAUCCAUUAACAUCCCCUCAAAUUUUACAGCUUCCUUACAGCUAUACACUGCUGUAACACGAAGUUUAAUGAUUCCAUCGCCAAAUAGUCCCCAAAAUCUAUUCUUCCCCAUAUUGAACAACUUAAGUUCACAACACUUGCAUUCUAAAGGCUUCCCACUAACAUCUAAUAUCUCAAGACUCAACGUUGCUUUACAAUAAUUGUUAUUACUACCAAACAAACAUGAAGAAACCCCGAUUAUCGGAUAAAUCAACCCAAAAUGAACAAGAGAAGAACCCAAAACAAGUGAAUCGCUAGAGCAAAACCCCCAACCCAUAUCCCUAAUCCCACACUCAAAAAAACCCAAUUUCUCUCCAAAGUCAUUGACACUAGCAUCACUACUAGACUCUAAUUCCAAUCCUAGAUUACAUUUAAUGUUAACCCAACUAAAAUGAAUGUUCUUACUACAAUACGCAUCGUUUACACUCUCAAACAACGCGCUGAACUUACUCUUAAACGAUCCCACAUUGGUCAAACACUCAUCACUCACAUCGACAUCCAAGAAUUCACUCAAAAACUUCAUAGACUCGACAAUUGGAGAAAACAAAACCACUAAACUCAACUUUAUACAAGCAUACCCAUCGAGAAUCUUACCGUCAUUAACCGAAUCACAACAAAUCACCGGGUCCCACGCGCAGUCGUGAACGAGCUUACGCAUGGACGGGGCAACAUUUAACCCCCGCGGCAAAAACGACGAAGCUUUGGAAAAAUUGUGUUUUAGAGCUGGGUUGAGGAGUAGAGAUUGGAGAGAUUGGAAGGUGGAAUCGGGACGGUCAAAGGAAAGAGAGAGAGAAGGGAAGGGGAUCUUUAAAAGAGAAGUGGGGAGAGGGAGGAGAAGAAGGAUUUGAAAGAGAAAAGAGAGGAACGGAGAGGCGGGAAUGAGAUUAAGGUUUUCACUGCAACUAAAAGAGUAAUCAUGUAUGGCUCUUGGUCUUGGAGAUGAAGGAGAGGAUUCAGGUCGAUUAAGAGGACUAUACGCUGCAUUUUGGUGUAGUCUGCCGCCAUUGGUAGAAGUUUCGAAGUGGGUUUCUGUUUAGAUCCGAGUUUGACGAAGAAACGUGGUGGUUGCGCUUGGGACAAUAUUGUUUUUGCACUGGUCAAUGUAGAAAUUAAACGAUGGUAGGGUGUUUUUUUAUAAAUAAAUGAAUUCUCGCCAUUUAUAACAAGCCGAAACCUCAAAAGAAGAUUUUAAAAAUUACCCGAAGAUUCGAAAAAUAGUAGAGAAUUUUUUAAAAAGCUAGAACAGAGCAUGCUAGACUUUUGUGGACCAAAUUCAAAAGCCGAAGGGCACGGCCCAAAAGCUUUUGAAUACAAUAACUUACUAGAAAGCUCCAUUUUUUGUUGGCUACAGUAAAAGUAUGUUGUUUUAUGCUUCUUAUAUGUUACGCUUGCAUCAGCCUCAAUCACUUCUUAAUCGCUUGCUUUAACUGCAUCGCUCUCUGUGUACUCUUCUACACAUGUAACGGUUAUGCGGUUGUAGUUCACGGCUGAGGCUACGUGUUGGUUUGACGCGGCAGUUACGUUACGACAUUACGAGUCUGUUAAACAUUCAGUGAUAGAGCAUUAUUAGUUAUUUUAAGGGGACAAAUAAGAUUGGUUGCAAUAAACCCACUAAUAUUAUAAAAUUCGAGUAAUAUAGAAUAAAAUAAAAAAAUACAUACAAAAUUGGCUUUUAUUUUUUAUGGUUGACUGUAUUUUGUGUUCUCUUUCGGCACUACUACAUCAGUCACACCCAUAUAUCAUCAAUACAAGAAAUGAAAUCUAAUGUCACCUAUUUAGUUAAAGAAUUACUCAUGAAAAAAUUUUACCAUUUUACUUUGAGGAUCCAUAUUUUGAACUGCAAGCUAAUGUUCAUCAAGAAUCACUAAUGUUCAUAAAAAACAGAGCAUGGCCGUUGAGUAGAAAAACUAUUUUUGGACAAAUUAUUUUUGUUGAUAAAAGAAUUUCUUAAGGGACUACUAAUAUUAUGAAUAACAAUGUAGAACACACCCACAUAUCAUCGACACAAUUGACUUUAAGGAUCCAUGCUUUGAAUUGCCACCUAAUGUUCAUCAAGAACAGAGUAUGCCUUGUGAGUUGUGAGUAGAAAAUUUUAUGAUUUUGGUCCGAAAUAAAAAGAAAUUAAAUUAGAUGAGAAUCUGCCACUUUCUCAUAAAGAAAGGCAUACGGAGCAUACCAUGGUACCAUACAAUACAAAGAGUCUCUAUUCUCUGGUUUUUCAAACUCUGAAGGGGCCAAUAUUCCCGAAUUCCCCCUUGAAAAUUCUGAUUACGACAUUAUUCAAUUCUUGACACAAUCAAAGUAGCGACAAAGUUAAGAAAAAUAUGAGUCCUAAGUAAUGGCUAGGUAGGGUUCUUGAGAGCAAAAUUGUCCUAAGCAUUAUAUGCAUACAUGGUGUGGUACAUAGAGCACGUUGAAUUCCACACUAUAACACAAACCCAGAAAGACAAGUAAUAACUCAACUGAUAUAAAAACAAAAAGAAGAUAAAAUGAUAUAGAAAAAAGAAUUUCAAAGAGACAGCAACAUACGAUAGACUGAAGCCACUUGAUCUGCUCACUGAUUGCAGCCUUAAACUUACAAAUAGUUACUGUACGCUAGUGCUCUAAGAAGUGAAAAUGAUAAGAGACCUAAUUUCCUUUUGACUUCCAUUUACUGUCAAACAUUCUAGUAAUACAAAAAAUUGUUUAGAUAUCUUGCUAUAAAUAUAGUCGUUUGACUGUCAUAAUAAAGUCACAAAUAACCAUUCAUAUUGAUCCACUGUCACACAGCAUGCUUUAUGCAUACAACAUCUGCAUGUAUACCAACUCCUAACCUUAUCAAUACAUUUGGCAAAAACUUAAGAAGAAAACUAUUUCUCCAUCUCUUUUUUGAAAUUUCACAAUAAACCAGCACAUUGUGAAAGCUAUGUUCUAAUCUUAUGAUAAAUGCUCUAGACUCCAAAAGGAUUUUAUUUAUGAGAGUUUGUUGCAACAGAUAUAUUGACUUAUCAAGUAUGAAUCAUUGUCUGGAUGAACUAUCUUUAAAUAAAAGAAUAUUAGAACCACUGUAGAAUAUCUUUACGCUGCUGGUUCUAACAGGAAUCUGCAUGUGGCAACAAUUGCUAGAUCCACAAUUCCCCAACUUGAAAUACAUAGUUGCACACCGUGAGAUAGUGCUGCAAUCUACUGAGAUCUAACUUAUUUGAUACUUUAAGCUACUAAUGUUUGCAUAUUUCUACAUGUUAAAUUGACACUACCAUCUAUAAUCACCCCAAAACGACAAAUGAAAAGCAGCUUUUGGCCACUUAUUACUAGCAUCCACAACACAAUUAUAAAUAAGAGAUCAUGGGUUUACUUGUUGCAACUACUUAAUGAUCUGCAUUUGAUACCCUGACGCAAGGUUUAAAUAGUGACUGCUUAGAACCCUUGUAGUUGGAUCUUGACCUCUCCCAUUGUAGCCAAGAUUGGCUACUCUGGUAAUGAAUCAACACUCUCCUGCUUAUUUUUUUAUUUUUAAAAAAUAACGAAAUCAUAAAAUAAAUAAACACGUGUUUGGUUUUGGGCAUUUUCGUUUGUUCAUUUAAUAUCAUCUGGUUCCCUGAUUUUUGACUAAUUAACAACGGAAUCCUGUUAGUUUCUAAAUUGAAAUAAUAAAAGGUCAUGAGAUUAUUUACUCCAUUUAGCACUGUAGACUUAGAGUAUAUUGAAAAAGCUUUGUCAAAUAGUAGUAAUAGGGGCAUAAUAAAUAAGUUUUUCAGAAUUUACAUAAUGUACUUGGCUCUAGGAAGAUUGCCCUCUUAUCACUCAAGUUAAGUUUUGCCUUAGAGUUGAGGUAAAUCAUUAAAAUAAAUUAUAGCUAUCACAAAUUCGUUAGGAGAAUUUCAAUUUUUUUUCCAUUAAAUGGCUAUGAGGCAAAAUUACCUCAGCUUAUAUUGCAACACUAAUACUUCAAAUCCUAACAAUAAAAUUGAUGACAAUGGUUUUUAUGUAUAGUAAUUUUCACUCUUUUGUUUGAUCUAAAAGUAGUUCUUAAAAUGACAAUGAUGACUUAUUUAGAAGAAAUGGCAAACUUAUAGUUUGUAAUAUUGUUUGCACAAACAAUAAAGACUAAUUUGAUAAUAAUGAAGUGUUAAUUACUAUUUAACAUUUUUAAUUAAUUUUUAAAUUUAAAAAAAAAUGAAGGCCCAAACUUGUGCAUUAAAUUUUAAUUAAAAGUUGAUUGCUUCGAAGGUUGGAUCGUGACAAAUUGACAAUUGAAAAAAGAAGUAGGGAAUAUAUAUUCUGAUGAAAGGGACAAGAUUAAGCAAGGGGACAAUAUUGUCUAUUGGACCUACAAAUGGGGGCAAAGAUAUAUAUAUUCCAAAAUUUCUUAUUUGUGGAUUGGCCACCACGUGUAACUAAUAUAAAAAGAGAAAAUUUGGCAUGGUUUUAACCGAUAUAAGGGUCCGUUUGAGAUUGAGGUGCUGUAACUUUUAAGGUAUAGCUGCUGUGGAAAAAAAAACUGUAAGUAUUAAAUAAAAGUUAAUAAUAUAUAGUAAAUAUAAAUUUUAAAUAAUAAUUUUGAUGAAAUUAUUAAAGAUAUAAUAGAUUUUUUAUUAUACAAAUGAAAAUUCAUAUCAACAUAGCUUAAAAGUUACAGCAGUUAGUGUUUACCAAACACUUUAGUGCUGUAGCUUUUAAGCUACAGCUGCCCAACCUCAAUCCCAAACGCACCCUAAGAAGAGAAAAUUUUGAGUGUAUAAGAAGAGAAAAUUUUGAGUGCACAACAAGAACAAAGCAAAACCCAUGAAAAUUCACCUUUCAUGUGGGUUGGAUUGGAUAAAAUCAAUAUCUUGAAUAAAACAAAAUGUUUGGUACUUGAAGGUUUUUUUAACAUUUUCAUUUUUUUUCCAUUUAUGAAGUCCAAUUUUUUUUUAAUUUUGAUUUUUUUGAAUGAUUUUGCAGGUGUUGAUAUAAGGUCAUCAAAAGUUUGUGAACUUGGGGUGUUGAAUUAUAAGGCGAAGCGUGUGUUUUAUCCAUUUGAAGCAAGUAAAUUUCGUUGUCGGUAUGAUUACUAUUGGGCUUCUAUCUUCAAGGUAUUCAUACAUUUUCCCCUGUACUAUAAGCUUCUUAGUGGCGGUCUUGUGAGCGGAAGUGAGCGGUGUGGCUGACAGCUUCUUGAAAAUUAUAAGUUUGAACAGAGCAUGUUAGACUUUUGUUGACCAAAUUCGAAAGCCAAAUGGCACAGCUCAGAAGCUUUUGAAUUGAAUAACUUACUAGAAAGCUCCAAUUUUUUGUUGGCUACAGUAAAAAGAGGUUGUUUUAUUCUUCUUAUACUUUACGCUUGCAUCAGCUUAAAUCACUUCUUAAACGCUUUGCUUUAACUCCACCGCUUCGUACUGUUCUAUAGAUGUAUCGGGUAUGCGGUUGUAGUUCACUGCUGAGACUACGUGUUUGUUUAACGUGGAAGUUACGUUACGAGUCUGUUAAAACAUUCGGUGAUUAAAGUAUUAUCAGUUAUUUCAAAGGGACAAAUAAGAUUAGCUACAACACACACUAGUUUUAUAAAAUUCGAAUGAGAUGGAAUAAAAUAAAUAAGUAAAUUGACUUUUAAUUUAGUGCUUGAAUAUAUUUUGUAUUCUCUUUGGGCACUGCUGUAAUUGUUCCUUAUCACACCCAUAUGUUAUAGACACAAGAAAUGAAAUUUAAGAUCACCUGUUUAAUUAAAGAAUCACUCAUGAAAACAUUUUGUCAUUUUGAUUUGAGGAUCCACAUUUUGAACAACCAACUUAUGUUCAUUAAGAACAAAGCAUUGCCUGUGAGUAGAAAAUGAUUUUUGAACAAAUUAUUUUUUGUUUAUAGAAGAAUUUCUCAAGGGACUAUUAAAAUUACUAAUAAAAAUGUCAGACGCACCCAUGUACCAUCGACAAAAUUAACUAUGAGGAUCCAUGUUUUGAACUGCCACCGAAUGUUCAUCAAGAACAUAGUAUAACUUGUGACAAGAAAAUUUUUUGAAUUUGGCCUAGAACAAAAUGAAAUUAAAUUGAAGGAGAAUCUACUACUUUCUCAUUAAGAAAGGCAGACGGGGCAUACCAUGGUACCAUACAAUACAAAAAGUGUCUGUUCUCUGACUUUUCAAACUCUGAAGGGGGCAAUAUUCCCCAAUUCCCUUGUGAAAAUUCUGAUUACGACAUUAUUCAUCGCUUGAUACAUAAGUAAAAGUAGUGAUAAAAUUAGAAAAAAUAUGACUUAUAAGUAAUUACUAGGCAGGGCUCUUGAGAGCAACAUUGUGCUAGGCUUUAUAUGCAUACAUUGUGUGGUACAUUCUACACUAUAACACAAACCCAGAAAGACAAGUAAUAUCUCAAAUUAUAUAAAGACAAAAAGAAGAUAAAACGAUACAGAACAAAGCAUUUCAAAGAGACAGCAACAUACAAUAGACUAAAGCCAGUUGAUCUGCUCGUUGAUUGCAGCCUUAAACUUGCAAAUGUUUACUGUAGCCUGGUGCUCUAAGAAGUGAAAGUGAUGCAAACCUUGAUUCCCUGUUUACUUCCAUUUACUGUCAAACAUUCUAUUCAUACGAAAAAAAUUGUUUAGAUAUCUUGCCGUAAAUAUAGCCAUUUGAUUGUCUUAAUAAAGCCACACACAACCAUUCAUAUUGAUCCACAUUGCCAUAUAGCCUGAUUUAAGCAUACAACAGCUGAAUGCAUACUGACUCCUAACCUUAUCAAUACAUUGGAGACAACUUAAGAAUAAAACGAUUUCUCCAUCUCUUUUUUUUAAAUUUCACAAGAAAACAGCACAACGUAAGAGCUGCAAUGAAAAUGGACCGUCAGGAACUAUGGCGGAAGCUUCAACUAGUGUAGUGAUUUGACCUUCUUAUUAACUUAGCGAUAUCAAGCACUGCCCUUGAUCUUGAACAGAUCAAUACAAUACGCACAACUUAUGAUUGAAUCCAGAAACAAUCAAAUCUUUAGCAAGAAAAAUUAAUCAGAAUCAAGAAACAAGUUCAAUGAAUAUAAACCUAUAAUUGGAACAAACACAGCCAAAGAACCCAAGAAUGACACAACCUACACCACGGGAGAAGCUUUCCAGUGAGAUUUUAUUGAUGAUCAAAGAAGAAUCUUUUUACAAAGCUAACAAAAGAGAUUUCAAAGAAUAAGCUAUGACUCUCUCUCUUCAAUCUCUCUCUAGUUUGUUCACAGUGAUGACCCCAAUCUGCUUCGUUAGCCAGCUUCAUAAUUGCGUCAGUGACAAACUAGCAAACCCAGAUUGAGCAGAUUACCGACACGUGGAUAACGGCUAUUAAGAACUUGGUUAAAGAACUGCUCACAUAUUCGUCACGCGUGUUACUUAAAUGAUGGCCAAAACGACUUCAACCAGAUGUCGUUUUGAAGCUUGUGAAUUAAAUUGAAAACACGUGCUUGUCUCGUGACACUUAAAUACAACAACAAGCCCAAAACACUGCCGUUUCACUUUGUUGAGUUUGCCAUCUCUAAGCUUCACAACUAGCAACGGAGAAGAUGAUAAUUAAAUUGACAUGGAGAGUUUUUAUAUCACUUUUACAACAUUCUAUAUAAUUGUGAUAUUGGGAAUCGUCGGUGUUGUAUAUGUGAACUCUCGUUGGCGACACUGGUGGUUUUAUUUUUGUUGAAAUAUGGAUGACAUUUCGUUACUAUUUUAUUGUACACAACCUUAUUCUUAGGAGAUUUAAUCAUUGAAAUUAACAUGUUAGUUUCAUUAGCCACUAGGCCUUUGGCUGAGUCGUUCGGGUGUCUGCCCUCCAACUUGGAGGGCACCAGUUUGAACCCCCACAAGCGCAAUGUGGGGUAUUUUCUUCUUUAAUCCCUCGAAUAUUACUGAGGGUUAAAAUCUAGGUAGAGCUCCAUAAGUAUUAAUGUAAGUUGGUUCCAGUAAUAGUCUAAUUUAAAAAUAUCAGUUAUAGUCUCAUGUAAGAUGAGUUGUAAUUUGAGCAAUAGUCUCAUAUAAUAAUAAUAAAAUAAAAUAAACAUGUUAGCUUCAUUACAUUUUUCUUCGUUAAAAUUCUCAAGUAUUAGUCAGGUUUGCUUAAGUAAUAAAAUUUUGUCAUUAAAAUUGUAGUAGUAUUUCUGAGCACCUCACAUUUUCAAUGAUUGUUCAUAAAUCAAUUAAUCUGCCGUACCGAUAUUAGGUUUAGUUUUUCAUACUAAAUAAUCAAGAAAGCAAACAUACAAAUUCACAGUUUAGAGGGGUAAACUAGGUUGGUGGUUUAGAUUUUAGAACUAGGCUAGCUACCCCACUAAAUUCCAAUUUGUACAGUGAACUACAAGAAAUUGAGAAAACAGUGUAUUUAUAGUUUAAUUGAAUCGUGAGAAAGCAAUGUAGUCAUAGCUCAAUCUGAGAUGAUCACGGAGAGGCAUAUUCUUUUCAAGUUAAUUUGAUCAAUUUAUAAGAGAUGAAGUGGAUUGAAGUUAAAAGUUUAAAUAACAAAUCCUUGUUCUUGAGUUUUACGACGUCGUUACUCCUUCAAGAGGCAGAUUAUUUAUGCAAGUGAAUGCAGAAACGCAAUGCAUCAUCCACGGGGAUGGUACAUCAAAAGGCGGGAUCAUAGUCUAUGCCCGCAGAUUAACAAUUUCGCUCAUAUAGAAAAUUAAUUUUUUAUAUAUACUAAUCAACACUAAAUUGAUUAUGUUUUGUAUGUUUAUAUGCGAAUCAACACUAAAUUAUAUUAAAUGAAGAAAUAAUUCAAUUUUUUUCUAAUUUAAUUUAGAAAAUAAAAUUAUUAACAUUAAUAUUCCCAACAAAAAUUAUUUUCCAUUAGUAUUCAAAGUCUUCACUUAUGGAAAAUGUGUUUUACAUGAAUAUUAGUUACUGUGUGAAUUUGAAUGAUAGUGAAAAAUAAUUUUUUAAUUAUUGUAAAAAUAAUUAACCAUAUCAAAUCCCUUACGUAAAUAAUUUUUAUUUUUUAAAAAGAUAGAAAGAUGGUUAAUGCACAAGUAAAUUUUAAGCCCCUCUCUUCUUGGCCGAAGAUUCAAACUCAGAUGACUAGUUAAAUAAACCUAUGUGAAAAUCAUUCGGCCAGGUCCGCGGGGCAAAAAUACAAGAUCCUUAAUUUCAUAAUAUAUAUGAAUUAAUGUCAUUUACUUGAAUUAUCCAAAUUCAUCAGAGGUUAACGAAUUUUCCUGACAUGUAGUAGAUGAAGUUGUUGCUUCCUUCUUGGCAUUAUUUCAGCUCUGGUUGUUGGUCCCGAUGAGCUUUAGUCUUAUUUUAAUUUUAUUUAAACUCAUCAUAAGAUUCGUGGAGCACCUAACUGCUUAACUGACUGUGCAGAAAUGUCACAUAGCAUAUUUAACCGUUUUAACAGUAAUUUUGAACGGUCUUCGCAGUUAUCAUCAACAAACUCCUUCAUACUGGUCCAAUAUUCCGGACGAUAUCAUAUGCCUAAUAAUGAAUGAAUGGUCUUGGAUCGGUGUUUCGCAGCAAGAGCAACUCGACAAAAUCUGGAGUCAAGCUCCUCCGAUCGAACAAGGGAUUUCGAUUGAUGAUUGAGUUUCUUUGUGCUCAAGCAAGUUCAAAUCAUAGUUUUGAUUCUUUAGAUAUGAAUUCAUCACAUUACAUAUAACAGAUUGAGUUAAACAAAAUUUUAAUUUACUGAGAAAAGAAUUCUAUUUUGUGAACUAAUCAAUUGCAAAGCAUUAGUGUUGAACGAUACAAAAAAUUGGGAAAAAAAAAAAACUUAAAACGUGUGGACUCGGAUAGUCACACUAGAAAUCUACCACAAUAAUUACCUUUGAUGCUUGGAAUCUUUUAAUUUCUAGCCGUGUUGACUCCACUAGGUGAAGUUUUUGAAAUAAUAAUAAGCUCCCAUUCUUGAUUUAAAAAAAUGUGCUUAUAAUAAUUUUAGAAUAAUGGCUUAUUUAUAGAACAACUUAUGAUUUCCCAUUAGCAUUAUUAUUGAAGUGGGGUGGGUAACGGUUCACUCAAUUCGUCGGGAAUAAAAAAUUACCAUCCAAGGCAGAAUUGUAGAAAAUUAAAGCGAAAUGGGAAAUAUGGAAAUGAAGGAAGAAAGUUAAGGCAUGAAAGACUUCCAGUUGAAAUUGGUAAUCAUGUUUCUCUUUGGUAACUAAUCAAAUGGGAAACUGAACCAUAAACAGACAUUAAAACAUGUGUACUCCGCUGGCUGCCUUACAAGCCUACAAUAAUAACUGAGUACCUUUGAUUCAUCCUUCUAUGAAUUUCUAGCCGUAUUGACUCCACCGAAAUUUCCACAAAAGCAAAAAAAAAAAAAAAAAAAAAAAAAAGAAGAAUUUCCACAAAAUGCAAAACGCAUGGAACUUAAUUUUUGGCCCUGUGAUCACUAAGAUACAAUCCUUCUAGUGAAGAGCAAUCAGGCAAAUUUUUUUAGAUCUCUCCGACAAAGUGAUUACCAUCUAAUCGCAAUAUUGAACAAAAAUAAAAAUUUUAAUGGGAGUUUGACCUUAAAUUUAGAAAAUGAAUUUUCACUUUCUUCAAUUAUUAAACAGAUUACAGACAUUUGAGGAAUUUGAAAACACUUUAUCCAUCGAAAGUUAAAAUUAGAGAUGGAAGCUAGGUGCUACAGCUAAUGGGAUCAUUAAUUCCCCUCCCUCAAAUGUGUAGUUGUUCCUCUUUCCACAGCAUAAGCCUUAUAGUUAGAGUUUCUUUUAAAAAAAAAUGUUAAACAAUUUCGGUUGAGCAUGGUUUUGGUAGUUGAAUAGACACCUCCGCCGUACCUCAAACAAAACUGUCAUUAUUCGUGUCAUGAAACAUGUUUCGGCCGUCAAAGUCAUGAGUAGGAGUGGGCAUGGGUUGGUUUGGGUUAGAUUUUAAGUCAAUUUAAAGCAAACCAUAAAAAUUUGGGUUCAAUCCAAACCAACCCACAUAUUUUUAACCCAACCCAAACCAACCUAUUUGGGUUUGGUUUGGGUUUGGGUUUUGUUUGAAUUUUAUAAUUAAAAUAUUUUUUAUUUUAAUAAAUUUAACUAUAUCAAAUUAUAAUAAUUAUUAAAUUAAUAUUAAAAUACGAAAAAAUGUGGUGGAUAAAAAUUAUGAAUAAUGGAUUUUACAAUAACUUUGUUCUUAAAUAUUAACCAUAUUACAACAUAAAUUUUAACAAUGUCAAUACAAAUUAAAGUAAGAUAAGAUAUCUCAACUCAAGCAUCAAAGCAAUCCAUCAAAAUUAAAUUAUUUAAUUUUAUAAAUUUAAAUCUUCCGAGAAAUAAAUCUAAAAUUUAUUGUAAUUAGAAAAAGCGCCAAAAUUUUAAACGCAGUAAGAAAAAUUAGACAUGAAAUCUAAUUAGGUUUAAAUUUAAUUAAAAAAUAACAAUAGAAUUAUAUUUUAUUUGAUAAAAUCUUAAAAUCAAUUGCAUUUUUAAUUUUAGUAAGUUACAAUACAAAUAGGAUUAUAAAAUUAUAUUACAGGAUUUCAUAAAAAUAUUAUUUGAGUAAUUUAUUAAAGGACUCACCUACGUUGCCACAGUUGUAGCUUACCACACUUUUUGUCUUUUUCCAGUAAAAUCGUAGAUGCUUUCAAAUUUAAUCUAACGGCUGCAAUUAAUUAUUAGAUAAUUUAAUCAGCCGUUGGCAACCUUUACAACCGGUUAUAUUCUCUCGUUACAUUUCUCGGCUACCAAACAAUCCCCAAGAAAAUGACGAAGUGAGUAACUAAUACACACACCGCAGAGAAAGAUGACAGGAGAAGAGAUGACGGUAGGCCCACCGGCACAAAGGUUCUUCGAUUGCUCAAUUUCUUCGGCGCCAGAUUUAUCUACACAGCUACAAUCGACAAGUGGCGGGAACUCGAGCGGAAGUCAUUGAAGAAGAAACAGCAAGAGAGCAAUCUAUGGACUGAUGAUAACUCAGCAACUACGGUAAAGAAAGCCGUCAAAUGAUUUUUUUUAUUUGACUUUUGAUGGAUUUUCAAGAGUUUUGGUAAUAAAAUGUCUCUUAAUUUUUCAUUUCAAUGGCCUAUUGUUUGAGUUAUUAUUAUGCAUAAUUGUUGGAAGAGUUAGGGUUUUACUAUUGGAUUUUGGAAUUUGUAUUUUGGCUUUGAUAUGUUAUUGUUGUGAUGUCGGUCAAGAAAUUUUUGACAACACUCUCCUCGAGUUUGAUACUAUAGCUAAUGAAAUUUUAUGGCAAAUAUAUUCUUUUCUUUGAAAAAAAAAAAAACACUUUACAACUGGUUAUGCAUUCAUUUAGGAGUUGUUAACUGAGCGUGAGUUCCAUAAUUUUCCAACCAGUGGUUAGGGUUUCAUAGAAAAAUGUCGACAUUGAUCUUUAGGCAGCACUUAAGACUGAAAUUGGUUGUAGAGGAUCGAAUUUGGGGAACUAGAAAUUUCUGAUCAUUAAUAAUUGAAAAUGGCCUCUCACUUGUAGGCAGUUGUUGGAUGUAAUGUAUCCAGUUUCUGAAAUCGAAAGCAGAGUGAGUUCUUAGGUUAGAUGUAACUACAUGCAUUAAGGUUCGAAGAUGUAGAAUAGGCCAAUUGUUUGAUGUCAGCUUUGUUGCACAUGUUCUGAAAUUGAUCAUUUAAGAUGGCUUGGAAGCACUCCGUGAUGUGACUAAGAAGAUUCGAGGAAGUAUUAAAUAUGUUGAAAGUUCACAAUUAAUAUAAGGAAAGUUCAAUGAGAUCACCCAACAAGUUGAAAUCAACGGUCAAAAGAGCCUAAAGUGUGAUAUUUUUCUCUUGGAUUGUUUUUUUAUUUUCCAUUUCAAAGCUGAUAGUGUAAAUAUUUUGUUUGCAAAAGUUUCUAAAAAGUACUUGAGUCAAGAUGGUUAGGUAUUUCAUAACUUCCUUUUUACUCUUAACUAGAUUCAUAGAGAGUUAUAACAUUAACAUAAUUUUUCUUUUAAAAGUGAUCAAUUAGACACUGAUGAGAUAUCUCACUUUUGAAUCAUUUAGCUUUAUGUAAUGUCAUUACUAUUAUAUGCCCCCAGGAAUUGUUGAAGUAUAUAUAUCUUGGCAUUUCUUCACUGACUGAAUUAUCUUUCAUAAUAUUCCAGCUUCAAAUGGGUACACUGCAGAGCCGAUUGGAUGCAGAAUUCCUUCUAGCUCAUAUGUGCUCUGUAAAAUUCAAAGACUGAAUAGUGGUUAUGGCAACUCUUUUUAGAUGAUCUAAGGUAUAAUGCCCAAUUAUUGCUUUUGCUUUCUCUGUUUUACCUUGCAACAUUUUGAAAUUUAUGAGAAGCAUAAAAUUACUGAGCCAAAAUUGAGGAUCUGAACUUUCGUAAAAAUAUUUGUAUUUUUAAAUUAUAAAAUAUUGCAUUUGAUGCUUUAGGUGGAACUUAGUUCACUACAGAAAGGAAAAUUAUGUUGGGCAUAACCAGAUGUUUUUCAAGAGAAAAUUUCACUGAUAUUUUUCUGAGGAUUUUACUUGGCCAUCUUAUUUCAAGCUGCUUGAAUUUUUUCUUUAUAUCAUCUUGGUUGUAUACUAUAACUCGUUGAAUUUGCUAGCACUUUUGCUAGUUGUUUAUUCUAUAUGUGAUUGUGGUGGUAAAGUUUGGAAGUUGUUUUUCUUAAUAACUCCAAUUAACUUGAAGUUGUUACCUGAUUUAUUAUGACAGUGUGCAUUACGAUAAGUAUCCUUGCAUAUUAAGAUUUUCCUUCCAGAUCUUUGCGGUACUUUUUGAUCUUUUCCGACAUGAUAUGCGAUUAUGGGAAGCAUAUGCCAUCACCUUACAGGUAUUCUCUUAAUUUUUAGAUAGUGCUCAAGAUGACAUUCAAGUUGGCUAUUAUUGGGUGCAAGAUUUACCAUGCUCUUAUUUUGCUUUUUUAGUCUAACCCGACAUUUGCUUAAUACCAUGAUCUGCUUCAAGCCUUGGAUGGAAAACUUUCAUUUUUUGUAUAUUCUGCAAUGAGAUGAGGGUAGUUUUUCUGAUGAUAUUUAGCAGUAAAUUGGGACUAAGGUGGCGUUUGUUUUUUAACUUAAUGACUUAAAGUGACUUAACUUAAUUAAUUAAGUUAAUUAGAGAUGUUUGUUUUUAUAACUUAAUGAGACUUUUUUGAUAAUUUUGACUUAAUAAAAUAAGCCAAUUUUUUUGGCUUUUUACUUAAUGGAGAAAUCUUAAUUAAGUCAAUUACUUACUAAUGUCAAAAAUAUCCCUGCUUUAUAAUUUAUUUUUCAUGUCUAUCCCAAAACUCACCCAUAGACAUUUACCCCACAUAAAAAUAUCCAUGUUUUUUCUUUCUUAUAUUAUAUACGAUAAAAUUUGAAAUUUAUGGUAUUUUAUAUAUUAAAAUUCCAAAAUAAUUAUGUAUUCACUUGAAUAUAGUUUUAUUUAUAAAUGUUAAAAUAUUAUGGUAUUUAAUAUAUUAUUUAUUUGACAUUCAAAUUUAAUAAGGAUACAAAUGUAAAAGUAUAUAUUUUCAGCUUUUUAAGUUAAAAAAACAAACAACUUAAUACUUAUUUUUCAAGAUUCAGACGAAAAAAUAAACAUAUUAUUCAGAUUCAGAUAUUCAGAUCUAUUCAGAAUUCAGACUAAUUCAGGUCUAUUCAGAUUUCAGACAAAAAAACAAACGCCACCUAACUAAAGUAAUUUUCUUAAUGGCAUGUCUACUUCUCAGAUGAAUGACCGUCUGUUCAGACUCCCAAGUGAUGAAUUAACAACCACCGAUCUAUUCUGGGUGAAGAUGAUGACGUUGACACCAAGCCAGUGGAAUGACUAGGACUUCCCUUUUGUUACAAUAAAUUGUGUUCAUUAGACACACACAGUUAAUUAGUGUAGAUAAAGGAGGUCUAUGAACAAUAGACUGUUUUGUAUUUCGAGAGUCCUUUUUUUGUUUCUUUCAUUCUCCAUUCUUUUGAAAUUAUGUACAAUGGUUAUAUUGUCUAUAUUAUUACGGAUUUAUGAUGGGAGUAUCCUAAGUUUAUGGAAUAAUUAUAAAUAAGGACUUUAAAUUUUUGUUGAAAGAAGUUGAGUGAGAGAAAAGAAGCUAAAGCAGUAAGCAUUUGUUAUACUUCAUUCGAUUGUAUCUAAAUUACAAAGGUUGGUGGCCUUAUUUAUAGUGAAGUUCCCACAGGCCACUUGCACUCAAAACAUUCGAAAUAUGCAAACAUAUUGAUAUAUAAACAUACAGAAUUAAUAUUCUGAAUCCUUGUAAGUAAUGCAAAUAAAAGUGAGGUUGGGGCAGACAAUAUUUACAUCAUGUAUUAAUAGAAAUAAAAUCAAUUAUUUCCAAAUAAAGUCACUUAGUUCAAAGCACGGGCUUCAGUUAAGUUGAACAAGCAAGCCAAUUUUUGUUGUUACUUCAUGAUUGUCGUAAGCCGUGGGUAGUGGAUCGUGUUCCCUAUAAAAGACAAACAGAAGCAUAAGUUUCUCUCAAUUAAGGCACCUGAAAUGUAUUUCCAUGUCUACUAACCUGGUCAUUCGUCCAUGAACUAAACCCUUCUGAGGAUCUUGAAUAGAUUUAUAGAGAUCUCAGAUAAUUUCCUGGUGUGCCUGAGUAAAGACAAGUCUUAUGUACUUGAUUACUUCUGGCCAAUCUAUCGAGGCCACCACCUGUCUCAGUCAAUUCAAUCUUUUAAUAGAGUGAAUUACUAGAAUAAAAUUGAUUAAAGUUGAUAUAAAAUCUAAAUUAAAAAAAUCAGAUAAGAGAAUGAUCCAAAAUCCAAAAAAUCAAAUAUUUAAGGAGUGGACUUGUGACCCUCUAUAGAAUCCAUGGAAGAGUAACUAAGGGAAAAACAUUAGAGGUGCUUUUGGCGAUACUAUUAGUAUUCUUGUGCUGAUCAUAAUCUUGGGGGUAGAUCUAGACUAAUUAGCUAUUCAUUGAACAAUCCAUUUCUCCACAGUUACAUGCAAAAAUGCAGCUUGCAGUUGCAGCCUAGACCAUAGAAAUAUAGAAUUCCAAUUAUCAACAUCUAAAGCUACUGUAGUGACUUGCAACCAUGAGAUGAUAUAUACAUAUGCUGAGAUUCAAAUAUUUGAGAAGUUUAAACAUCCUGAUGAAAAAUAGACUAGUUCACAGCUACUUUGGGGAAGUUGAUUUCUAAUAGCAGUAGAAAAUACAAGUUUUUUUAAACAUACCUACUCCAGUAAACUCAAUUAACCAAAACAAAACUCAAAGCAUGAAAAAGAGGGAUUUUAACUAACCUAAUCAUUAUCAUUGAUAUUUUAACAUAUUGAUCUUCACAUGGAGUUAACAAACACAAGACUUAGUGCCUAGUACAUAUGUCUGGGGUUGCACAGUCUGUUCGACAAAUUUAUUGAAACUAUAUCCAUGCUCCUUCUUCAAUAAAUAAAUAUCCUCUUGCUUCUUCCAUCCUACUCUAAUUCUUCCUGGAAAGCAUUCUCCCCUUCUCUAAUUCUUCCGAAAAAACAUAACCGACAAUCCUAAACUAAUUACCACCGUUAAAUCUUUCAAACAAAAUUUACAAUUUCUUAUCAGUAGUUUCCUGCCGCAUCCGAUCGAACGGCUCAUCAACGAAUCAAACAGACUUCUUUCCACCCUUUUUCCAUAUAAUUACAUUUGCCUAAUUCCUAAAGUUUCGGCUCCGCCCAAUGUCGGCCGCAAUUGGCUGCCGCAGCGAUAUGUUCAUCUUCAACUUCUCUGCUGCGAUUUCAAAUUUACUUCAGCCUCGUACCACCACACUUCCACUGGCAAUUAAUUUCAUUAUCCGAUUUUACUAUGUGUGGAAUAGAUUUGAGCAAUUUAUGAGUUUUCGCUACGAUUUCGACGAUGUCCUCUCAACACUAAUUUGAUCACCUAAUUUUAACUGUUUUGGGUUAUUUAUUUUUUUAUUAUAUUUAUCUACAGUCUCUGCAGGCAACUGACUACUUCACUUAUAUGUGGAACUCAUCUGAGCUAUUAGAUGGAGGCCCUCCAGAUCCUACGGCGAUUAUAUAUGAGGACAAAAAGUGUUGUAUGUUGGAACUGUUGCAACGUAGGAGGAUCCUUUAUUAAAAUGUUAAUUUAGUUUUUUAACUCAAGUUUAGACCGUAAAAAAUUGUUAUAUAAUAGUGUAUUGUAUAACCAAUUACAUAUGUAUUUGCCUUGUGCAACACUUCUAUUAUUAUUAUAUAAUAAUAAUUAGUAGUAGUAUAAUUACUAUAUAAUAAUAAUUCUAAUAAAAAAUUAUUAUUAAAAUAUUGAUUUAGCCUUUUAUUUUAUUUAAUUUACUUUUUAUUAAUAUGUUAUCUUGAAUUUGUUCAUGACCCAUGAGUAAACCAUACCCAAACCAUUAUAAAAUAAUUUCUUUCAUAAAAACUCAAAUUUAACCCAUUUCAUGAUUUAUCCAACCCAAAUAAUUUAAUUUAGUUUGGGUUUGGAUAAACCUAUGGAUUGUGGGUUUAUGCCCAACCCUAGUCAUGAGAGGGGUGACGACGCUGCAUAUGAUGACACACCAGCCGACAAUGUAGUAACAGCACAAAACCAAAAUCUACCAAAAUCAACCAAAGUCAAUAAAAAAUUAUUUUAUUAAUAAAAAAAAAAAUUAUUAUUUGUGGGGAUGUGUAUCUGAUUCUGUGGACUGAAAUGGAAAAUAUGACGAAGUUCAGAGUCGUUGUAUAGAUUGACUUCAGUUGAACGGGUCUAAUAGAUAUUUUAUGCUGACGUGGCACGAAUUAGUUAUAAUCUGUUAUAACGAUUCCAGAAAUAUCAGUAUAAAUAGAAGCUGAUGAGCAGUGCCUGUUGUACGAUCCUUUUCUUCUUCAGUUGUUCGUCAAUUUGCAUAGAAUCUGUUUCAUUGUGAUCUGUGCAAAGUCUUCUGUAAAUCCACGUAUGUUUGAUUAGUUAUUGAUCAAUAUCGAGAGUAAAUUUUUCCUUCAAAUCUUGCUGGUUCGUGCCCCUGUUUCAGUUCUGGAUUUUUCUUUUUUUGUUUAGUUCUGGUUUCUUAAUUCAAUUGAAUUUCUUGGUGCUUAAUUCAUCAAGAUUCAGUGGAAUCGACUUGAAAAGGACUCAAUAGACUCAAAAUUAUUUAACGACACUCUGACCGUGGGGUACCGUAAUCAUAAUCUGAUUUUAAGAAAAUUACAACUUAUUUUAAAUAGCGCUUCAAUGUAAUUCUAAAUAUUUAAAAGGAAAACAUUAUCCACCUGGAACGACUUCAAGUCCAAAGUAAAAGACAAGAGUGGCUCCCCGCAAUUUUCUUGUUUUCAGUAUAUUUUCUCUUUUUCUUUUUUAAAAUCUUUUGACGCAUGCAUAAUCUACCCUUGUUUAUUUUUAAAAUGGACUUUGCUCUGCUCAAGUCCAUUUUUUUCAAAUAUUAUUUUAAAUAAUAAAUUGAAUAAAAUUACAUUUGUGUAAUUAAUUAGUAUCUGAGGGGGGCAUAUUUGGUGUAAUGCUAUGUAAGACUCAGCUAUUAUAUCACACAUACGCAUAUAAUAUAAUUAAGCAUUUGUUAUUAUAGCAAAGAUCCAUAGCAUGAAAGUGAAUAAAUUUAACUAAAUGAUUAAUUAAUCAAUUAAGUUUCAUGAGCUUUAAUCGAGUUAAAACCAAGUACAAACAUCGUUAACAAAUACUGAAAAUUAGGAAAUUAAAAAAAAAAACUAAUUCAAGUAAGAUGUAGUUUUUACAUGUUGAUCAGCAGAAUACAACAUUACAUUUUGUCAUUGACAAUAUUGCAUACCAGUCAUCCAAAGCAUUACCUCACGAGGUUUUAUGAGAAACGAAAGAUAAGUGUUUGCUCUGAACAAUUAAAGUUGCUGCUACCAACCUCCCCGAAGACCAAGAAGACGGAACAGGAAGCUAAUGCAUCAAUGUCUUCUUCAUUACAGCUGCUGCGUAGUUAGGUGUAGUUUCCUCAUUUGAAGCUGUCUAUACAUAGGCUUUCCCCCUGCUUAUGUACAAAUAAAUGAACAGCCUUGAAGCUUUAUUAUUCGCAACAAAAGGGGUUACCAAUUGGAGAAGACUUUACAGAGUUUCUCUCACACUCUCUCUCUCUCUCAAUUUCAUCUAGAAGUCCCUCCAAAAGCAUCUCCCAAAACAGUUAGUCAUCUUUAAUACUCUGUUUUCUAGAAACAGAGUCCUAACUAGAUUAAUUGACUGUACAGUGCAUUUCAACAUAGCAUAUUUAACCGUUAACCGUCUUCUGAGUUAUCAUCAUCAAAUUCAUUCAUAUUUCUCCAGUCUUACGGACGAUAUCAUAUGUUUAAUAAUGAAUGAAUAGUCUUGGAUCAGUGUUUUGCAGCAAAUUCACAUCAUAGUUUUGAUUCUUUAGAUAUGAAUUCAUCACAUUACCGAAAAGAAUAUGCGCUAAAAAAUGAUUCCAAGACUAUUUGACUACCAAAAGCUGCUGUCAGAGUGCACUGAAAUUUCCGUAGGAUACUUUGCGGUUGUUUAUUAUGUUAUGAUGGGCAUAUAAUUCUCAAAUUUUGACUCCUCUCAGCGAAAAAUAUAUCAAAGUUUAGAUUAUGUGUUCGAGCUUUAAUAAAUGCCUGAGUUAAUAAUAAUAACAACAAUAAUAAUAAACUAAAAAGCAAAAUUACUAUUGAAUGAUCGGAAAAAAAAAUUAGAAAACGUGUGAACUCCAAUAACCACCCCACAAAUUCAGUGGCGAAUUUUGGAGAGGGCAAGGCCGGGCUUCUCAGAAAAAAAAAAAAAAAAAAUUAUUUGGAGAGGGCAAGGCCGAGCUCAUUCUUUGGUUUUACUUGCAGGGAUUGAAGAAGACUAGAAUGACACAAAAAAAAAAGAAAAAAAGAGUUGAGCGAGUGCAGGUUUUGUCUUCAUUUAAGGAGCUCUUUAUAAAUUUUAGGAUUUUUUUCCUGAGAAAAUUUAUGCCAACUCAUUCUUUGCUUCUUUUCUGAAGGGACACAUGCAACCGAAAGUAUAUUCUUGAAUUCUCCAGGAUAAGAGACAUACGUUUAGAUUCUGGAGCAUUUAAAACAAUGUCAAAUUUUAGAUUGCUGAAAUUUUAUAUAUCCGAGUAUGAUGGUGUUCCAAUUAUAAGCUCCAGGGUGCAAGUUCACUGAGGUUUAGAAUGCCUUCCUAUAGAAUUGAGAAAUCUCCAUUGGCAUAAAUAUCUUUUGAAAAUACUGACAUCAGAUUUUGAAUUGGAGAACCUGAUUGGACUCAGCUUGCCUUGUAGUAAGGUUAAGCAAAUUUGGAAAAGAGAAAAGGUAUAAUGUAUUACUAUUACCAAAGUAUCUAUUUUUCUUUCUUUAAGUAUUUAUAAUGAAUAACUUUUAAAUUCAAUGAUGCUCAUUUAGUAUAGUUAUGUAUCUUUGGUUAUAGGAAGCUGUCAAGUUAAAAUCUAUAGACCUUCACCACCCCUCUAUCUCAAUAGGAUCCCAGAAAUACUAAAUCUUAAAAAAAUAAAUCUUUUAAAUUGUGAAAGCAUGCUUACGUUACCCCCGUAUAUCCACAAUUUCAACUAGCUGAGUAUGUUGUGUUUCAGGGAUGCAAAAUUCAUUUUGUUUCUCAUGAAAGGAUUGACUUGUCCGGAUGUAUUAGGGUUAAUAAACCAACUAAUCCCAUAAUUUGUUGAUGUAGGGUCCUAACAAAUUAUUGCAGUAGAUUGUAGAUCAGUACACUAUUCGAAAACGUAUUUGAUCCACAUAGUGAAGUGGAUAUUGGACCAAUUUGAUGAUAAUGAAUUUCUUUCAACCUCAAUCUUUUUUCCUUUUAGCAACAUGACUAGUCAUUGCGCAAAUUCAAACUCUGACAAUGAUUUCUCAAUCGGUUUCUAAGAUGAUGACCAUGUAUGUAUAUGUAUAUGCGUGUGUGUAUGUGUGUGUGUGUGUAGAGAGAGAGAGAGAGAUCACACGUGUGUGAUUUCCUUUUGCUAAUAGGAUAUGCAGAGAGCUUGAUCUUACCCAAUAGCGAAACAAAAUUCCUAAUAGGUGAAGGUAUAGUAUAAAUACUUAUACUUUCAUGUUAUUUUGUUCAUCAGUAGCUCGAUUAUUUUAUAUGCGUCUUCGAUUUUAAUUUUCUUUCCCUAUAAUCGCUAUUAUCUUUGAACUGGUCAUGAUUUGCCUAUAAGAUUUCUCAUGUUGUUUUGAGGUGCAAUGGAUUUUGAAUUUAGUGACGAGCAGUGGAAGCCAGAAGGCAAAUUAUGAAAAUGGAUAAAGAUCUAUAAUUAGUUGUUAUGGGAUGUCACAUAUCAUAUUGAUGGUAACAUUAUAUAUAUGUACAUAUAAUUAAUGGGGUUGGCUCACGAAACCAUUAAUAAUCAUAUAUUAGCUUAAAUACUUCAAACAAUGUACCAUGAAGCAAUUUCACAAAUACUCGUUAGCUUACGUUGAGCUUUAUUGAAUCAGUAGUUCACAGUUCAAUAAAAUGCAGGUUUUCUAUUUAACGUACAUGGUUAUGGUGUGUGCAUUCUUCAUAAGGCUAACUACUAAUUUAUCAAUGAAACUUGAAAAAUGUAACAGAAAGAUGUCGAUAACAGCCGCAAAACACUGAGAUUGAAAAUCAGGGUUACUAAAUUCUAUUAAAAGCUCUUAAAAUAGACAGCGAUCAUCCUUAAUCGCAAAGUUAUGCACUAAUAGAACUAUUGACUACUUAUCUUUAGCAGAAGGUAUAUUUUUAACUACAGCUUUCUGCUUUGUUCUAAGAACUAGGCAAAAGUGGUAUAUCUUCAAUCCAAUCAACAUAUAUACCACUUAUGUUCCUCUUCACUUCUGUCCAUUUUGAUUUGCACUUCAUAUCCUGCACUUGCUGCUUAGAAAUAGUCUUAGUCCGGACAUUGAAAGUAGAAAAAGUACUUGAAACAAUCAUUGGCACAGCCCGAGAUUCCAUUGAAUCGUGGACUCCAAACUUUCAUAGUUCUAUAAAGAAAAUGACAAAACUUCAUACAACUGGCAUUCUGCUUUUAACAUUUGCACAACCUGAGCGAGUUAGCAAGCCCCUUGUUGCGUUCCCAUUGAAUAGACAUACUUCUGUUAUCCACAGAAGAUCCACCACUCAAAAUGUUUAUCACCAGGCUAUUCUUAAACUGAGCCUAAUGUCACGGGAUGAGUGUUUUGCGCAGCUAACCCGUGUGGCACUUAGACAACUUUGCCGAAUGUUGCUAAGUAAGCCUAGAGCUUCUCGAACUAGAGAAGAGAGCAAUUGAGCCAAAGAAGAAAACUUGUAUUGCACAAAGAGAGAAUACAAUGCUUGAGUUGCUUACAAUGUUUGUUGGAUACAAAUGCCUAAUGCCAUCCCAUAUUUAUAGGGGAGUCUUGACAAGCUCUAGAGAUUCUAGAGAAUUCUACCCACUAUCUAGAAUUUACAUGUGCUGGAAAGUCAUAGAGAAUUCUAGAAUAUUUACAUGUUCACAUGUGCUAGAGUUGCCUAGAACCUUCCGGAAUUGGGCCAAGCUAGCACUCUUGGCCUUGUAUUGGCUCUCUAGCCCGAAAUUGUGGGCAAUUGGGCUAGUGAAUUGGGCGGUCCGCAACAUCCUCCCCCACCUAAGCUCGCGGCGUCCUCGUCGCGCUCUCGUGCUUGAACCUUUGGAUGUGCUCAGCGAAUUGCCACAAAUCAUCUUCACGUUCCCAAGUGGCUUCGCUCUCGGGGAGGCUUUUCCACUUCACCAAGUACUCGCUAUGUGUUGGCACGCCCCUCCUCAAAACCACGCGGUCCGCAAUGAUGUAGUCCACAUCUUUGUCGAAUGCGGUAACAACGGCAGUUGGCACGCGCCUCGAUUCUCCGCGACUUGGUUCUCCCAUGUCUUCGUGAUAUGGCUUGAGAAGGCUCACAUGGAAGACCGGAUGGAUCUUGAGUCUUGGCGGAAGUUGGAGUUGAUAUGAGACACUGCCCACACGUCGAACAACCCGGAAGGGUCCCUCGUAGCGCCUCACUAACCCCUUGUGAACUUUCCGCAAAGUCUUGAACUGUUGGGGUAGGAGCUUGAUCAUGACUUGAUCACCUUCCUUGUGCUCAACAUGCCGUCUCCUUGUAUCCGCCCAUUUCUUCAUUUUCCUCGCGGCUUUGUCGAGGUAGGCUUGCGUGAUGUCCGCUUCCUCAUGCCAUUCGCGGGCGAGCUUGUGUGCCGCGGGGCUUUUCCCUCCGUAAGUCGAGGCAUUGGGGGUCAUGGGCUGGAAUCCCAUGAUGAUCUCGAAUGGACUCUUGCCCGUAGCCUCACUUCGCUGCAAGUUAUAAGAAAAUUGGGCGACGUCAAGUAGUUUUGCCCAAUCCCGCAGAUGAGCGCUCACAUAAUACCUCAAGUACAUCUCGAGGAGCCCAUUAAUGUGCUCGGUCUGCCCAUUCGUUUGUGGGUGGAAGCUUGUCGAGAACUUGAGAUCGGUCCCCAACAUCUUAAAGUGCUCCAUCCAAAAACGCCCAGUGAACCGAGGGUCUCGGUCGCUCACAAUGCUCUUCGGAACUCCCCAAAGCUUCACAAUGUGCUUGACGAAUAGGCGGGCUGCCUCAUCCGCUUUGCAAUCGACUGGUGCGGCAAUGAAUGUGGCAUACUUGCUGUAUCGGUCGACAAUGACCAUGAUGCUUCCGCAACCUUCGGACUUGGGCAGCGAUGUGAUGAAGUCCAUGGAGACACUUUCCCAUGGCCUUGUUGCUAGUGGUAGCGGUUCCAACAAUCCCGCUGGAAGUUGGUGAUCCACCUUGUCUUGUUGGCACACAAGACAAGUUCGCACAUAUGCCUCGAUGUCGUCCCUCAUGUGCGGCCAAAAAUACGAGGCUUGGACUAGUGCGGUGGUGCGCUCAAUUCCUGGGUGACCAGCCCACUUAGAGUCGUGGCACUCUUUGAUUACUUCCUUCCGCAAGUUUCCCCACCUUGGCACGAACAGCCGAUCUCCUUUGGUGAGGAGGAUGCAUUCCUCUUGCCAAAAUCGCCUUGUCUUUCCCUCGAGCACCUUCUCCAGCAAGUCCUUUGCUAGCGGAUCUUGUUGGAGGCCUUCCUUGAUGCGUGAGACAAUGUCGGACUUCGGUUGGCUCAUGCUAAGCGUUGCCAAUUCCGCCUUGCGGCUUGGAGCGUCCGCAACGACAUUGGCUUUACCCAGUUUGUACUCUAGCCGAUAGUUGAAUUCCGCAAGGAAAUCUUGCCACCGUGCUUGCUUCGGACUCAACUUCUUUUGAGUUUGGAAGUACCUUGUCGCCACGUUGUCCGUCAUGAUCGUGAAGUGUGAGCCAAGCAAAUAAUGUCGCCACACUCUUAGACAAUGGAUGAUGGCUGUCAUCUCCUUUUCUUGCACCGUGUAGCGGCGUUCCGUGUCAUUUAGCUUUCGACUCUCGAACGCUAUUGGGAGGCCUUCUUGCGUAAGGACUCCUCCUAUGGCGAAAUUCGAGGCAUCCGUUUGGACUUCGAAGGGUUUAGUGUGGUCCGGAAGAGCGAGGACGGGUUCCUCCGAAAUUGCCUUCUUCAACUCCUCGAAUGCGCGUUGGCACUCUUCGGACCAAUGCCACAUUAUGUUUUUCUUGAGCAUAUCCGUCAAGGGUGCCGCCUUGGUCGAAUAACCCUUGAUAAAGCGGCGGUAGUAAUUCACCAGCCCAAGGAAUGAGCGAAGCUCGGGAACUUUCGAGGGAGGCUCCCAAUCGAGGAUGGCCUUUACUUUGGCAUUCUCCAUCAUAAUCUUCCCACCAGCAAUCUUGUGGCCAAGGAACUCCGGAAGAGCGAGGACGGGUUCCUCCGAAAUUGCCUUCUUCAACUCCUCGAAUGCGCGUUGGCACUCUUCGGACCAAUGCCACAUUAUGUUUUUCUUGAGCAUAUCCGUCAAGGGUGCCGCCUUGGUCGAAUAACCCUUGAUAAAGCGGCGGUAGUAAUUCACCAGCCCAAGGAAUGAGCGAAGCUCGGGAACUUUCGAGGGAGGCUCCCAAUCGAGGAUGGCCUUUACUUUGGCAUUCUCCAUCAUAAUCUUCCCACCAGCAAUCUUGUGGCCAAGGAACUCCACUUCUUGUUGGGCAAACGAGCACUUUUCCAACUUGAGGAAGAGCUCGAUGUCUUGGAGUACUUGGAGGACUUGUCGCAAGUGUUGGGCAUGAUCCUCGAGUGUGGUGCUAUACACCACGAUGUCGUCCAAGUACACGACCACGAAGCGGUUGAGGAAUGGUUGGAGUACCUUGUUCAUGAGUGUGCAAAAUGUGGCGGGUGCAUUAGUAAGGCCAAAAGACAUCACAAGGAAUUCGAAAGACCUGUACCUUGCUGUGCACGCUGUCUUCGGUUCGUCUCCCUUGGCGAUGCGCACUUGGUAGUACCCGGAACGCAAGUCAAGUUUGGUGAAGUACCGCGCUUUGCCAAGCUGGUCGAACAAGUCCGCAAUCAAUGGAAUCAGAUACUUGUUCUUGAUGGUGAUCUUGUUGAGCGCUCUAUAGUCGAUGCACAUCCGCAGCGAUCCAUCCUUUUUCUUUUGGAAGAGAACCGGUGCACCGAAUGGGGCCUUUGAGGGGUGAAUGUAGCCUGCGUCCAGCAAGUCUUUGAGUUGUCUCCGCAACUCCUCUAGUUCGGGUGGUGCCAUGCGGUAGGGCGCCAAGGCUGGUGGCUUCGGGCCUUGUUCCAGCUCGAUUGCAUGAUCUACCUCUCGUCGAGGUGGGAGCUUCUUCGGAAGUUCUGGAGGCAUCACGUCCUUGAACUCAUUGAGGAUGGUUUGAAUUCGCGGAGGGACUUGGCUUGGCGACGUUCCUCUAUUUCCUUCCUCGUUUAGUUCUCGGAUUGAGACCAAGAAGCUUGGGUCCUUUUUUAAAGCCCUCUUGAAUUGCACGGCGGAGAGUGUCUUCUCCUCGGACUUGCCUCGUUUCGUGAGAACCAUGCAUGCUUUACUCCCGUCGAGGAUGCUUAGGGAGUUUGUAGCAGGCAGCGGGAAAGCAUGCACUUGGUCGAAGAAUUCCAUGCCGAGGACCAUCUUAAAGUCGUCCAUGGGCACGAUGGAGAAGUCAAACUUUCCGCUCCACGUACCAAGUGUGAUGUGCACGCCUUGUGCAAUUCCCGCAAUUGGCUUGGCGGGUGAGUUUACUACCUUCAUUGUGCCUCUUUCCUUAGUAGCCUUGAGGCCUAAGCGCUUGGCCUCGUCUACAGACACGAAAUUGUGCGUUGCUCCCGUGUCUAGUAGCGCGCGAACGGACUGACCGUUUACCUUUGCGCUUACAUACAUGAGCCCUUUCUUGACGAGUGCGGGUUGUUGGCGAUUAAGUGCGCCGAGGCGUUGGAGAGAACCCAUGCUGAGUUGGGGUUCCUCCGCGGACAUUGUGGGGUUGCUCUUGAGUUGGGCAGCAAGAGCGUUAAGUGACCUUUUCUCUGGACAGUCACGUACCCAAUGAGGACCAUUGCAUAUGAAGCAUGGGCUUCGCGGCUUUGGCGCCUCCUUCUUGCCCUCCAAUUUUCCUUGCCCGCUCUUGUUGCUAGGCGACUUUUUCUGCCCUCAAUCUUUGCGGUUGUUGCCCUUGUCCUUGCGACUCUCUCCCCCACCUUUGCCUUGGCUAGACUUCUUGUCUUUGGAUUGGGUAGAGUAUUUGGUGAGCGAUUCCGCAACGGCGAUGGCGUCGUCAAGUGUUUGAACACCACGCCUAUCAAGCUCGGUCUUGGCCCAAUCUUUGAGGCCAUCUUGGAAGUAGAAGAGUAAAUCUUUGUCGGACAUGUUGCUUAUCUCCAACAUAAGGGUAGUGAACUCAUUGAUGUAGUCCUGAAUGCUACCCGAUUGCUUGAGGUGACGUAAGCGCGCUCGCGCUUCCUUCUCCGCAUUGCUUGGGGCGAACUGCUUUCAGAGUUCUUGCUUGAAGUCGGCCCAAGUGUCGAUGGCGCAAAUGCCCUUGCCCAUCUCGCCAUGCUUGCGACGCCACCAUAGUUGUGCAGCGCCUCGAAGAUAGGUGGGUGCAGUGCCCACUUUCGAUGCCUCAUCUCGGACACCCAUGGCAUCGAAGUAUUGAUCCAGCCCGAAUAGGAAGUUGUCCACGAUUGUGGCGUUGCGUGUGCCAUCGUAGGUGUCGAGCUUUGGCACAUCAAUGCGGCGCGCAUCACUCGAGUUUGCGGAAGCUGGACUAGCGGAGAGUGUGCGCUUGUGCCAUGCCCAAUCCGAGCGGACUUCAUCCACUUCCGCACGGACAGCUCGUAGUUCAUCUUGAACAAAACUACGAAGUUUUAGCAACUCAUCAUGAAAAGAACGAAACUCACCUCGGAGAGUGUUUGCUUGCUCUUGGAUGAGAGCUUUGGUUGCCACCGUGAACUCGGCGUAUUCCCCCUCGAGACCGUCCACUCGUUCCUCCAAUCCCUCGAGGCUAUCCUGAGCGGCGGACAAUGCUAUUUCGAGAGUGCCUACACGAGGCUCCAACGCAUCCACGGAUAGGGCCUUGGACUUGCCGCGAGUCUUGCCUUGGGCGCGUUCUCCCUCUCGGCCGCGGCUUGGUUCUGGUGGAGCAUCCACACUAACAACACCCUCUUAUGCUACGUUCGAAGGGUUGGCCAUUGCUUCGUGAGCUAAUUUGUGUGCGUGCAAACCUUAGCUCUGAUACCACUUGUCACGGGAUGAGUGUUUUGCGCAGCUAACCCGUGCGGCACUUAGACAACUUUACCGAAUGUUGCUAAGUAAGCCUAGAGCUUCUCGAACUAGAGAAGAGAGCAAUUGAGCCAAAGAAGAAAACUUGUAUUGCACAAAGAGAGAAUACAAUGCUUGAGUUGCUUACAAUGUUUGUUGGAUACAAAUGCCUAAUGCCAUCCCAUAUUUAUAGGGGAGUCCUAACAAGCUCUAGAGAUUCUAGAGAAUUCUACCCACUAUCUAGAAUUUACAUGUGCUGGAAAGUCAUAGAGAAUUCUAGAAUAUUUACAUGUUCACAUGUGCUAGAGUUGCCUAGAACCUUCCGGAAUUGGGCCAAGCUAGCACUCUUGGCCUUGUAUUGGCUCUCUAACCCGAAAUUGUGGGCAAUUGGGCUAGUGAAUUGGGCGGUCCGCAACACUAAACUGAGUAGAAACUUCCGCACAUCUCUCAGCAUUUACAUGAAGAAAUCGACAACUAUCCUCAUCUCUCAGCACAUCUCUCAGCAUUCUACAAAGUUGCAUUUCACUAAGCAAUCUAUCCUCUCCAUUCCUAGCAAAGUGACAUUGAUUCCCGUAUUUGUAAUCACCUAACUUGGGUUUUGGGCAUAGCGUGGUCUUAAAAUUACCACCCAAUACUUUGUUCAGUGCCAAUGGCAUCCACAAGCUCUAGCCCUGUUAGCUGAAUCAUAUUCAAUGGGACAGUGAGGCAGCAUUUCACUGACAUAUUCAAUUUGACUACUUAUAUUGACGCAAAUAUUAGAAUUUGAAAUCACUUCUUUUCUUGGAAUAUUAUAUUAAAAUGACCCCAAAUGAAAGUUCUUGAAUGGAAAUGAUUUUUAUUUAAUUUUCCAACAGAUUCAAGAAACCCAGAGAACACAAAAUUUACACAGUAAUAUGAUUAAGACCUGAGAACGUACAUGUAGUAAAUGUCUAUCAAAAAACAUCCAAGGGUUUCUUUAAAAUUAGAAACUAGUAAACAAAAAGAAAGAAUCAUUUUACAUUUUUAGCAACUUUGGGGUGAGUGAGGAGUGAGAAAUUGAAACCCUAAAGUGAUGACAACAGUAAGAUUCAGUAUGAAGUGAAACCCCAAUUUGGAAUGUAGGCAUGAGUUGCUGAGUCAGUAGAUGAAGCUAUAAAUAGGCAUUCGGUUUGGAGGGCCAUGGAAUCGUGUACUGGAGUGGGCUCCAAGUAAUAGCCUCUAUCACUGGAACGACACAUCUGUAAAAUGUGAUACAUGGGGAAGGAUUGGGCAUUAUAUUCUUAGAUUAGCGCCUUAUUUAGGGUGUAUAUUAAGCAGAUUAUAUAUUACAUGGAGAUGGAGUUUAUGAAAUAGAUUAAAAAGAAAAGGAAAUUUCAGUGCCUAAAAGUUUGCCACUUGGAAUAUUUCGGUGUCUAAAAAUUCACUCACAAAACUAUAGCUGACAAAAGGUUACUAACAAAAAGUUAGGUCCAUGGGUUGUUAAAACUAUAUAGCUGACAAAAAGUUACUAACAAAAACAGAAUGUCCAUUUUAUAACUUUCUUAAAAAACUUUCCUUAACUUUUUUAAAAAGUUACCAACAAAAACUUAUUUCCAAUUUUUAUUUUGUUAUAAUUUUUAUAACAAAAUUCGUAGUUAACUAAACUCUUCUUAUUCCCUUUCUCAACUGCCAUACCCUAACCCACUAAACCACGCUCAAUUAAGGCCAUCAGAUUCUCCCGGGCCCACAUUAAUCCAACUGCUCACAGAGACCGACAGCCUCUCUAUCUCCAUUUCAAGCUCCCUCUUCAACUGGCUUCUGCGACCGUCCUACUCUUUCUCGGAUUCGGAGUCCGUAUUUGCUCGGCCGGUCCCACGCAACUCCCUCUCACUCCAAUUGUGACCCAACAAGACCAAUUGCUUAAUCAAGGCACAGAACAAGAAGAGGAUGAGAAGUUGAAACAAUAAUUUGAGAAUUGGAAAUCGAAAACGUACGCAUUGACCGUGCCUGUAAGGUUUGUUUCUCUUCAGAAUUCAGUGCCUCAAUCUUGGGUUAAGGAUUUUAUGCGAAGUCAAGGAAAGAGAUUGAAGUUUCAGAUGAAUUUGUGUGCUAGCAUUGAUGGGAUCUUUAACAAUUUAUCUGUGCCCUGUAACAAAGUUAAGGCUAAGUCAGCUUCUUAUAUGGCUGCUGAUUUGGUUAGUGUUGGUGAUUCAUGGCUCAACUUUGCGAUUAAAAAGAGAUUGAUUGAGCCAAUAGCUGGAGCUGAAGAUCAAGAUUGGUUCAAAUACUUAAGUCAAAAAUGGAAGGUAACAUACUAACAUCUUUAUCUUUGACCCGAUAAUUUUUAUUGUCUUACAUUGAAAUUUGGUAAUGUAAUUUGUUCUCUAUUUGUGUUACCCUUAGUAGUCGUUUUAUUUAUUUGUUUAUUUGCUUUUAUUUGCACUAACGAAAUCUCAGGUAUAUCUACGCAGGAAUGAUGCAGGAGAAAUUGAUCCUCGAGGUAAAAUAUGGGCGGCACCAUACAGGUGGGGCACAACGGUGAUAGCCUCCAAGAAAAGUAAAUUUCGAAAGCAUAAUUUGGCUCCGAUUGAGGUAAUAAUUUUCUUUAAACUCAUUUAGUUUUAUAUCAAACAAAAUCAAGACUGCCUUUCUCUUCAAUAUUUUUUAUGAUAAUAUCUUUAGAAGCAUCUCAUUGACAGGUAACAAUGGCAUCCCUAAAAGAGUCUAUAAACUCAAUGAUAUUAUCUUCUACAAAUGGUUCAUUAAACUUUGUCGUUGUACUCAAAUGUACACUCAGAUCAAUGAGAAGCUAUGCCACUUUAGCAUGUAGUGAUGGCACUUAAUAAGUGAGUUGCUAGGAUGUGAACUAGAAAAAUUAAAUAUUGUCUCCUUGGGUAUGCUAGCUCGUAAGUCAGGGUUAAUAUCAGAGCUUAAGAUACUAUAAUUGUGAGAACCUAUUGAUUGCCAAUUAAAAUAUCCAUUAAAAUGUCUAGGGAGUUAUGAAGGUGGAGGUAACUUCCAAUUUCUAAGGCCACAGAGUAAAAUAAUUUGGAUAGAACUAUUGACUACUUAUCUUUAGCAGAAGGUAUAUUUUUAACUACAGCUUUCUGCUUUGUUCUAAGAACUAGGCAAAAGUGGUAUAUCUUCAAUCCAAUCAACAUAUAUACCACGUAUCUUCCUCUUCACUUCUGUCCAUUUUGAUUUGUACUUCAUAUCCUGCACUUGCUGCUUAGAAAUAGUCUUACUCUGGACAUUGAAAGUAGAAAAAGUACUUGAAACAAUCAUUGGCACAGCCCGAGAUUCCAUUGAAUCGUGGACUCCAAGCUUUCAUAGCUCUAUAAAGAAAAUGACAAAACAUCAUACAACUGGCAUUCAGCUUUUAACAUGUGCACAACCUGAGCGAGUUAGCAAGCCCCUUGUUGCGUUCCCAUUGAAUAGACCUACUUCUGUUAUCCACAGAAGAUCCACCACUCAAAAUGUUUAUCACCAAGCCAUUCCUAAACUGAGUAGAAACUUCCGCACAUCUCUCAGCAUUUACAUGAAGAAAUCGACACCUAUCCUCAUAUUUGCAAGUUUUCUGAUAAUAGAACUCUCCACAAAGCUGCAUUUCACUAAGCAAUCUAGCCUCUGCAUUUAUAGCAAAGUGACAUUGAUUCCCGUAUUUGUAAUCACCUAACUUGGGUUUUGGGCAUAGCAUGGUCUUAAAAUUACCACCCAUUACUUUGUUCAGUGCCACUGGCAUUCACAAGCUCUAGCCCUGUUAGCUGAAUCAUAUUUAAUGGGACAGUGAGGCAGCAUUUCACUAACAUGUUCAAUUUGACUACUCAUAUUGACGCAAAUAUUAGAAUUUGAAAUCACUUCUUUUCUUGGAAUAUUAUAUUAAAAUGACCCCAAAUGAAAGUUCUUGAAUGGAAAUGAUUUUUAUUUAAUCUUCCAACAGAUUCAAGAAAACCCAGAUAACACAAAAUUUACACAGUAAUAUGAUUAAGAGCUAAGAACGUACAUGUAGUAAAUGUCUAUCAAAAAACACCAAAGGGUUUCUUUAAAAUUAGAAACUAAGAAUCAUUUUACAUUUUUAGCAACUUUGGGGUGAGUGAGUGAGUGAGAAAGUGAAACCCUAAAGUGAUGACAACAAUAGAUUCAGUAUGAAGUGAAACCCCAAUUUGAAAUGUAGGCAUGAGUUGCUGAGUCAGUAGAUGAAAUUAUAAUUAGGCAUUCGGUAUCUUUCUUUUCGGUUUGGAGGGCCAUGGAAUAGUGUAUUGGAGUGGGCUCUAAGUAAUAGCCUCUAUCACUGCAAUGACACAUUUGCAAAACGUGAUACAUAGGGAAGGAUUGGGCAUUAUACUCUUAUAUUAGUGCCUUAUUUAGGGUGUAUAUUAAGUAGAUUAUAUAUUACAUGGAGAUGGAGUUUAUAAAAUAAAUUAAAAAGAAAAGGAAAUUUAGUGUUUAGAGUUUGCCACUUGGAAUAUUUCGGUGUCUAAACAUUCACUCACCACUUAUUUCAUGUCUGAUUAUAUGUUGAAAAGAUAUUAAAGUAAUUUAACGCAAUUAAGGCUUAACGUAUAUUUUUUAUUAGUAGAGUGUAGAACUUUUAAGAAAUAUAUUAUUAAAUUACUAUAACUAACAUAUUAUUUUAAAGUUGUGUUAUGAAAAAAAAUGAAAUAAAAACGUAAAGUAAAUAAGAAUAUUCUAAAACUUUUAUCUUUUUAAAAUUAGUUUUUAACAUAAGGUGAACAAUUUUUUUUUAAAUCACAUAUUCUAGUUAAAAUCAAAUAUGUAUUUAUAUGAAGCUUGUAAAUUUUUUUUUAGUACUGAUAUUUGAAUAUUAUCAAUAAAAAAAAAAGGGUAAUGUUCAUGCUGCAUUAUUUUUGUAGCACACAAAAGGACAACACCGUUUAUGUUAUAAUACUAUUGCUUCUGUUAUGAUAGUAUUUUUGUUAGUGGCAAAAUAUCAUUUUUUUUUUAAGUAAAAAGGUGGACAGAAUGCAAAUCAGUUUUUAAUCCUCAAUUUCUCCCAAAAUUUAAAUUCGUAAUUAGUCAAAUAAAAUUGAUCGAAAACCAUUAAGCUAGGUCCAUGGGUUGUUAAAACUAUAGCUGACAAAAAGUUACUAACAAAAACAGAAUGUCCAUUUUAUAACUUUCUUAAAAAACUUUCUUUAACUUUUUUAAAAAGUUACCAACAAAAAGUUAUUUCCAAUUUUUAUUUUGUUAUAAUGUUUAUAACAAAAUUCGUAGUUAACUAAACUCUUCUUAUCCCCUUUCUCAACUGCCAUACCCUAACCACGCUCAAUUUAGGCCAUCACAGUGACCGACAGCCUCCCUAUCUCCAUUUCAAGCUCCCUCUUCAACUGGCUUCUGCUUCGGUCGUACUCUUUCUUGGAUUCAGAGUCCGUAUUUGCUCGGCCGGUCCCGCACAACUCCCUCUCACUCCAAUUGUCACCCAACAAGACCAAUUGCUUACUCAAGGCACAGAACAAGAAGAGGAUGAGAAGUUGAAACAAGAAUUUGAGAAUUGGAAAUCGAAAUCGAAAACGUACGCAUUGACCAUGCCUUUAAGGGUUGUUUCUCUUCAGAAUUCAGUGCCUCAAUCUUGGGUUUAGGAUUUUAUGCGAAGUCAAGGAAAGAGAUUGAAGUUUCAGAUGAAUUUGUGUGCUAGCAUUGAUGGGAUCUUUAACAAUUUAUCUGUGCCCUUUAACAAAGUUAAGGCUAAGUCAGCUUCUUAUAUGGCUGCUGAUUUGGUUAGUGUUGGUGAUUCAUGGCUUAGUUUUGCCAUUAAAAAGAGAUUGAUUGAGCCAAUUGCUGGAACUGAAGAUCAAGAUUGGUUCAAAUACUUAAGUCAAAAAUGGAAGGUAACAUACUAACAUCUUUAUCUUUGACCCGAUAAUUUUUAUUGUCUUACAUUGAAAUUUGGUAAUGUAAUUUGUUCUCUAUUUGUGUUACCCUUAGUAGUCGUUUUAUUUAUUUGUUUAUUUGCUUUUAUUUGCACUAACGAAAUCUCAGGUAUAUCUACGCAGGAAUGAUGCAGGAGAAAUUGAUCCUCGAGGUAAAAUAUGGGCGGCACCAUACAGGUGGGGCACAACGGUGAUAGCCUCCAAGAAAAGUAAAUUUCGAAAGCAUAAUUUGGCUCCGAUUGAGGUAAUAAUUUUCUUUAAACUCAUUUAGUUUUAUAUCAAACAAAAUCAAGACUGCCUUUCUCUUCAAUAUUUUUUAUGAUAAUAUCUUUAGAAGCAUCUCAUUGACAGGUAACAAUGGCAUCCCUGAAAGAGUCUAUAAACUCAAUGAUAUUAUCUUCUACAAAUGGUUCAUUAAACUUUGUCGUUGUACUCAAAUGUACACUCAGAUCAAUGAGAAGCUAUGCCACUUUAGCAUGUAGUGAUGGCACUUAAUAAGUGAGUUGCUAGGAUGUGAACUAGAAAAAUUAAAUAUUGUCUCCUUGGGUAUGCUAGCUUGUAAGUCAGGGUUAAUAUCAGAGCUUAAGAUACUAUAACCGUGAGAACCUAUUGACUGCCAAUUAAAAUAUCCAUUAAAAUGUCUAGGGAGUUAUGAAGGUGGAGGUUACUUCCAAUUUCUAAGGCCACAGAGUAGACAUCAUCCAGGAUCCUAGGAAAGUCCAGUUAACCUCCUGCUCGAUGCAAUUAAUAAAUUUGGUCAAUGCCACUGAAACCUGUUAACUGACGUCACAAUGCGACAUGAGCACUUCAAAAUGGGACAGACGGUCAGUAGCACUAAAUUUUUCUUGCCUAAGAUUGAGCAAUUGGUCUAACUACUAAUCCCUAUUGUAGGUUGAUCAUUAUUUUUUCAAUUAUGUUCAGUUUGACCCAAAAAGUUGCAGAAUCUUGAGCAGAAUAUUGUCACUAAACACUGUCAAUGUCGUUUAGGUUAGCCAACUAACUUGAUGUUAAAACAAACACACAGUGUGUCUCAUGUCUCACAAAUCAAAUAAUCAUCUGUAAUGAUGGAGAAUUUUUCCAAUGUAUGAAGUAUGCUUUGAUACGUGGGUUACCUUGGAGAAGAUAUCUCAAAAUAAAGAAUAUGGGGAGAAAACAGUUCAGUAGUUUAUUAUUCUGUAGUCAAGUUUUGUCUCGAAAAUGGUCAAAAUUUAAAUGAAUAAGGACAGGGGAUCUUCAUUCUUUUUUCCCUUUUUUAUACCAAGAUAUCUCUCAACCUUUAUAUAAUCCCCACUGGAUAUCUGCUUCUAAUAAUUAAAAUAAAAAUUUCACCGCUCUAACAAUAAAAAGUAACAUCUUUAGUCAAAUAAUUUACAGUUCCUCAUCAUCUUAGUGUGAGACUAUCAGUACAUUCCAAAAACAUAAUAAAACUGGUUUGAUCCUGUUUAUUGAUGUUUAAAUGUUGUUCAUUGUGACAUGUAGAAAUGAUGAGGUGAAGUUUAUUUGGACAUCAAUUAGUAAGAUCUUGUUUGAAGUUGUUUUCUGAAAUGAACUGCCAAAUGGUAGUUUUUGGGGGCAUUUGAUGGCUCUUUUUUUUUCCUCAUUUUCAACAUAUGCCUGCUUGGAACAGGAAGGAUUAGGCUGCAGAGUUGUUAUAUAUUUUGAGAUGCUCUGGUCAUUGCACAAUUUGUUCACACUGGAAAUUAGAAUGAGAAAUUUGUUGAUGCUGUUUUGAGAGAUCUGCAUUCUAUGCACAAUAACAUGAUUAAUGAAAAUGCAUUGUAGGACUGGAAAGAUCUGUGGCAGCCUGAGCUCGCAGGAAAAAUUUCAAUGGUUAAUUCUCCCCGAGAGGUUAUUGGUUCAGUUUUGAAGUAUAGGGGAGCAUCAUACAAUUCAAACGAUAUUGAUUCGCAAGUUGCUGGUGGGAAGAUUGCUGUUCAGCAGAAUCUGGCAUUACUUGCAAACCAGGUACUCUUACAGAAAUGAUAUAUGGUCAUUGCAUGUUAUUGGCCUGACAACUGAUUUUGUUUGUAAAAGUCUGCUUCUUGAUACAUAUGAAUGCAUGUGUUAGUGUUUUCUUCUCCUUUUCAUACAUAUAAAUGCAUAUGUUAGUGUUGUCUUUUCCUUUUCAUACAUAUUAACACAUAUGUUGGUGUUCUCUCCUGAGAUGGAUGCAAUAAAGGCUUUUGCUCCUAAAUUUAGCUGAAGAAAUGGCAAAGGAUGUGAGAUUCUGUCUCAUUAAAUUAACAAAAACCCAAAACAAUGAAAAUCCAUUAUAAUGUGGUGUGGGUAAAUUGGCUCCAUUUGGUUCAUUUACUUAAUGUGAACGCGCGAGCAGUAGAGACUAACAAAAUGAAGUGACAACAAGAAGUCAGUGUCCUUUGAUGGAUGCAUUUUUAGGCAGAAAUAGGUUUGUAAUUGACCAAAUUUAUCUGGCAUGCCAAUUUCAAAAAAAAAAAUUAUGUGGUUAUUAGCUGUAAUGAAGGGGGAUAGUAGGUGCAAUCAGGUGGAUCCAGGAAAUUUCAACAAAGUUUUGGUAUGGCGUAGGGAAAUUGGUUUGUGCAACUCAGGAGUCUUUCAG